UUUUUUUUUUUUUUUUUUCUUAAAACCAAAGUUGACAUCCAGAAGACUACUGUGGUUUAAGCAAUCAUGUGGUGGAAGACAUGUCGCAUUGGUUGUUUUUGUAUACAUGCUCUGGCUCAAACGCCCUUGCAUGCGCUCAAGACAAGAUCAGACGGGUUCUUAUUAAUUUUUUUUUAAUACUUUUAGGAUCAUGGAUAAGCAUUUGAAGUCUCUUGCGCCAAGGCAUUUGGAAACAAAGUUCGUCAAAUUAGAUGCAGAGGUAAGUUUUUUCAUCUAGUCUUUAAGUGCUUAUGCAUUUGGUGCGGUAUUUGACGUGACUGACCAUGGGUCAUGACGGACUUUUGCAGAAUGCACCUUUCUUUGUUGCUAAAUUAGCUAUCAAAACUCUGCCUUGUGUAAUAUUCUUCAGGUUUGUUCCACAUUGCUUUUUCUAUUUUGAUUUCAUUUAUGUGGUCUUUUUCUCCUUUUGUUUAAAGUUUUUUUGUAGGUAGUGAUCCUCCAUUUGGUUUCUUGGAAAUUGGUUCCAGAAGUAUGUAGUAGCAUCCUUAAUUUAGGAUAACUCAUAUUACCAUAUGAAAAUAUAUGGGUCUCUAAGAAAGCAAUGUAUCAAACAAUCCAAGGACCUCUUAUGGUUCGGAUGUUUAUUUCAAGGGUCUAGCUCAUUGAAGUUUCUGCUGCGUGUAAUGGUUUCAGCAUAUUUUUAGGGAACUUCCUGACACUGUUUGUUUUUCUGAGACAGUAAUGAUUUGUCCAACCCAACAAAUUUGGUAAUUCUUAAGUUUGGGAGUCAAAGUAGAGCCUUCUAUUCUUUUGAUUAUUUCUGGGUUACCGACUUUUGCUCUGCUAAAUCAAGGUUCUGGAUGUUGACUUGGAUUUCAUGUUCCACCCUAUUUUAGGUCCCCUGUUAAGCUUGUGCUCUUGAAAAUCACAUUCAAUACAUCCCUGAAUAUCAACUCUUCUUAACUAUCUUCGAGAGUCUCAUUUCAUCAUUUUUUAUUAGCAAACCAAGAACCAAGGAAAAUGUUCAUGUUUUUCUUUGAAUUAAUCUUUUUUUCAGGAAUGGAAUUGCAAUAGACAGGUUGGUAGGGUUUCAAGACUUGGUAGGAAAAGAUGAUUUUACUACAAAGGCACUUGAAAUUCUUCUUUUAAGGAAAGGUAAUACUUUUACUCAUUGUUGGCUGCACUCAGUGAUAUGGCAGUUUCUAAUCCACUUUUUGCAGAAAUGAUCAAGGAGAACAAAUUAGAAGAAGAAGAGGAUGAUGAUUAUCACGAAAAUAGACAGAGGACAGUGAGAUCAUCUGUGAACGCUGAUUCAGAUUCAGACUGAAUGAAUUGUGAUUGCUUGAUUUCAAUGUAAUGCAUAUACUUUCGGAUGCUUGAUUUCUUCAAAUUGUUGCUAUUUAUUCAUUCCAUUAUCAAUUACUUCAUCUGAGAUUAACUUCUUCCCAUGGGAUUGCAAUAAUGAUGCUGCAUUUUUCAGAUUACUUCUGGCUGAAUCAGGAAGGUAGCCAAGAUAGCUACAAGAGUACUCAAGUCAGUUGAUCUGAAUUGGUGUUUAUACAUAAGAGCUGUGUGAUGCAAUGAAGCCACUUCUUUAGCUGACUGAGGCAAUGGAGUUUGUUCUUGAUUUGUGCUAGGCUUUCAUAGUGGUCGUCUUCUAGUCCGUUGGAGUCGUGUAGUAGAGAAUAUGUAUUUCUUCAAAUAGGUUAUCCUAUCUGCAACGAGCAGCACCAAUCUGAUUCCCACUUCUAGAAAAAUGUUUUUGUUACCUGAGGUUGCUACAAAUUUGCUGCCUGCAGGACUGAAACUUGCCUCUUUUCUAGAUUGCAGGAAUUACCAACUUUGUCAUAAGUGGGUGCCUUUGUUAUCAUAUUGAUUUCUAUCUUUAAGUCUUGUUAUUUUUAAACUUCGCAGGGGUCAAUUUUCACUAGAAAUGGGCAUUUUACGGGAUUGGCUUUGUAGUUUAGCAGCAAGGUGCCAUAUCAGUGAAUGAAAAUCAAAAUUAAAGUUGCAAGCAGAGGAAAGGACUAUGGUUAUUGAUGAUGCUUUUAGCCUCUGCUGUCUUUCACAGCUUCUCUUUCUUCAUUGGUAAAAAUUUGUCUAACAAGCAAAUGUAAGUGAAGAACAUGUACUUGGCUUCUCGCUAUAUCAGGGAAACAAUUUAAGGCGGGAAGGAGGAGGAAUUUGCAGAACGAUGAUAGCAGAAUUCUAAUAUAUCAAGCUUAUUGGUUUUCAUGCUUUUCCAACUGAAAGAAAUUGCCCUUUUAUUUUUUUAGGGUGAAAAAUCUGCCCAUCCUUCACUUUUCACAUUUCAUCCCCAAGCGGAAAAGGUUACAAGAGGCCUGAAAGAGAAGAAUACAGCAGAAUUGAUCGAUUUCAGCAGAUACCUUUUGGUCCUUUGGGAACCAUGAUUGUCUAAUUAGCUCCAUCUCCAGUAGGAUAGGACGCACAAUGACAUUACUUGAUGCGGGUUUAAGCAAUUUCUUGGAGGUGAUAUAUUAUUGUAAAAGAAAGGAUAUCUGCUUCUUCGAAGAAAUGAGAUGAUUAUAAAAAAAGAAGCCACCGGGUUGACUUGGAUGACACCUCGGUCUUUUGAUUUUCGGUAUUUCUUGGAAGCCGUGUUCCUGUUGGUCCUACCUUCCGUGUGUGAACUACCAUACUCGAAACGAAACAAUCGUUGCAUUUCUUCCGAGUCUUCCUUUGCUCGUCCACUCCGCUUUCUUGCUAUAUUUUCUCCACUAUACUGACUAUAUCUUUUCUGGCAAUAAUCACGAUCAAAGUGCAGGAUUCUCAAAGAUUGAAAUAUAUAUAUAUAUAUUUAUAUAUUGAAGCCGUCUAGGGGAGGAUUUGACCUGAAGAAGGUAUUUUGAAGAAAUAUCUUUUACUGCUCAACGGUAAGCGCAUUUUCCAUUACGUUCACGUUCUUCCUGCAUUAUAUUCGUCAAAUGAAGUUUUAUGUAAUUUGAUCAUUCUUUUGUUUUCUGUUUCUCAUUUCUGUCCCGUAUUUAGCUAUAUCCUUUCCGGUAAUACUAAUUGUUUCUAAAAUCAGAUGCAAAAAUUUUGGCCGCAAACAGCAAAAUCUUGGUAGUUUACUUAUCUUUAUGAUAUUGUCAGUACAUAAAUUAGGGGGAAAAAAGGUGUGAAGCUGAUACUUCUGAUGUCAAAGUUUAAAGAUUCUUCAGUUCAUUCUAGCUUAAUCUGCUUAAAAUCAGAUUAUCGUUCAAGCUUUAUAGGCGAGGGCUACGUUAGGUGCUCUAGAUAUGUUUCGUACCGGUCGAGAUAAACUAACAAACAACUGAGGAACUUGUACUUACUUCACACCCUAAUUACACGACGAGAUGGACUUUUCAAGUGAUAAACUAUCUUUUAAAAUUGACUUAAAAAACGAUUGAAGAAUCCUUCUUGGUCUUGGAGGUUAUUUUGACAGGAUAAGAAAUCAAAGAUAGCAUCGCAUGCUAACUUGCGACUAGUUUGACUUCUCCGAAUUUUGGAAAUUAGGAUCAAAAUUUCCUUUUUUUGACCAUGAGCGAUUGAUGUAAAGUAGAUAUUCUUGUGCAGAAGCACAAUAAAAGAUGGUGGAUGCAGUGGUUUCAGUGUUCUUGGAGAAGCUUCUUAAUGCUUUCCAGGAGGAGAGCCAAUAUCUGAGCAAGUUUAGAGAGCAAUUUGGAAGAUUGAAGAAUGAGCUGCUACUCAUGGAAAGCUUCCUAAAAGAUGCGGAUAGGCUCAAGAGGAAAAACCAGAUUCUUCGAAGGAUAAUGAUGUGUUUACGUGAUCUUAUAUAUGAAGCUGAAGAUAUACUGAUAGAUUGCCAGGCUAUACCAGUUCGCGCAAAUGCGGCUUCAAAGUUCGCUAGUCGUUUCUGUCCCUCAAAACUUCCACUUCAAUACCGAACGGGGAAGCGUCUAUGUGAGAUUAAUGAGAAAAUCAGAGACAUAAAACAAAAUAUUUCAUCCUAUCUGGGGGUGCCGCUUUUGAGUGAAACCCGUAGCAUGGAGACUCAUGACCAUCUCAUGUCCAGAUGGAGCUCACCAGUGUAUGAUCACUCCCAGGUUGUUGGUUUAAAGGAUGAUACUGAGAAGAUGAAGAAUUGGAUAUUGCAGUCAAAUGAUGGCAUCGUUUCCAUUGGAAUUGUUGGAAUGGGAGGAGUGGGGAAGACUACCAUUGCUCAAGAAGUCUUCAAUGACAGAGAGAUAGAGGACAGGUUUGAAAGAAGAAUCUGGGUCUCUGUUUCUCAAACUUUUACUGAGGAGCAGAUCAUGAGAAGCAUAUUGAGGAGCUUAGGGGAUGCAUGUGUGGGCGACAAUGAAAGUGAAUUAUUGACGAAGAUAAAGCAGUAUCUCUCAGGAAAGAGAUAUUUGAUUGUGAUGGAUGACGUCUGGAGUUUGGAUAAUACUUGGUGGCUUAGAAUAUUUGGCGGGUUGCCUCAAGGAAAUGGAAACUGCGUAAUUAUUACUACAAGAAUUGAGAAAGUUGCUCGGAAGAUGGGAGUGAGGGAAUCAAGGACUCAUUGGCCCAAAUGCCUCAAUGAGGACUAUAGUUGGUUACUGUUUCGUAAGAUAGCAUUUGCCGCAACUGGGGGUGAGUGUCGUCACUCUGAGUUAGAGGAUGUUGGGAAGGAGAUUGUUGAGAAGUGCAAAGGGCUUCCAUUAGCUAUUAAAGCAGUGGGAGGAGUGAUGCUGUGCAAACCACCUCAUUAUCAUGAAUGGAGACGAAUCUCAGAUCAUUUUCGUGAAGAAUUAGCUGAAAAUGAUAACUCUGUGAUGGCAUCACUGCAAUUGAGCUAUGAUGAACUCCCACCCUACUUGAAGUCAUGUUUCCUCUGCUUCUCAAUCUUUCCAGAGGAUUGUGUCAUCGAUAAAGAUCAAUUGGUUCAUUGGUGGAUUGGUGAGAGUUUCAUGCCUGUGAGAAACCAUAGAUUAUCAACUGAAGUUGGAGAAGACUGUUUCUCAGAGUUGACAAAUCGAUGUUUGAUAGAGGUGGUUGACAAGGCUUAUAACGGUCGGAUCCAGACUUGCAAAAUACAUGACAUGGUUCGUGACUUGGUGAUUAGAAUUGCUGAAGAUGAUGCAUUUUCCAUUCCAUCUGAUGCUAACUGCCGCCAUCUUGGUAUUAGCAGUGACAUGAGUGCACGUAACCUGGCAGCUGAUCAAAGGUUGCGAGCACUGCUCACUACAACCAAGAUUGGUGAGGUAAACAAGAUUGGUUCAAAAUUGGCAAAGAGUUUCUGCAGAUGUUGCCAUCUGCAGAUACUCGAUCUUUCCAAAUCGAUUUUUGCAGCAUCGCUUUCAAGUUUGUUGGAUGAAGUAGGAACUCUCCAGCAUUUGACCUGUCUGAGCCUAAGCAAUACUCAUCCUUUAACCCAACUCCCAAUUUCACUAUCGAAGCUCCAAAAGCUGAAGAUUUUGGAUGUCAGUUAUUGCCAGAAUUUGAACAUGCUUCCAAGUUGUAUAGUAGCAUUUGAAAAGCUCGUGGUGUUGGAUGUCAGCAAUUGCGGUUCUCUUGAGUACCUGCCCAAAGGAUUAGGGAGGCUUUCCAACCUUGAAGUGUUAUUGGGCUUCAAGCCAGCUAUGCCAGUCGAAUGUGGAGGUUGUCGCAUUGCUGAACUGAAAAGCCUGUCAAGACUGAGAAGAGUAGAUUUAAGGCUUACUCAUGGUGAUGAGAUUGGAAAUGACGAGGUUGAUGCAUUAGUAAAUCUCCAGGAACUGCAAUUCUUAACACUGAACUUCUUUGAUAGUCAUGAUGAUGAUCUUUUUUUGAAAAUCAACAAACUUCUCCCUCCUCGACAACUGCAUGAGCUGAGUUUUAAAUUUUAUCCUGGGAAAAUAAGUCCAGAGUGGCUGAACCCCAGGUCGCUUCCUAUGUUGAGGUACCUGUCCAUUGUUUCUGGAAGCCUCGCAAAAUUGAAUGAUAGCUUCUGGGGCCUUGGAAAUAUGGUAUGGAGAAUUGAGGGCUUAAAAUUUGAAGCUUUAUCAGACUUGAAUGAGGAAUGGUCAAUGAUGCAUCAAGCCAUGCCAUCCCUGAAAAUACUGAAUGUGAGCUGGUGUCCUGAGCUGGAGUCUUUCCCAAUUGAAGAUGCUGGAUUUAGAGGAGGGGUUUGGAAGAAGGAAGAGCAAAGGAGCUAGCAAGACUUAAAAGGUGCAAUACAAGUAACAACAGUUCUUAUACAGUCCCAGCACUGAUUGAAUAAGCUCUUGCAUGUCAUCAUGGUCCUUGCCAUUGAAGUGUUGCAUUUCAUCACUUUGCUUCGGGAUUGGUUCAUAGCCCAUUCCUCCAAUGUUACAAAACUCCAUGCUUCUUGGAAGGGGUGGUCGAAAUAAGCCGCAGCUGCGCCUUCCUUCGGUGGGAAAUUCUUCUCUUUUUGAGUUGGGCUCCUAAAACCGGGCUUCAACAACUCUCGCCAGUUCCCUGAGGCCCUGAUUUUGAUUUAAGGGAGUUUCUUUAUUUUUCGGCCUAGAGCUAUUCAGCCUCGUUACCUUGUUUAUCCGCAAACUAUAUAUGGAUUGGGGUGUUUCAGUCCCCCCAUCUAUGCGGCAAGCUACCCCAAUCUCCACCGUGAAAAUGUCCAACUAAUAGGAGAUUAUGUUUUGUUGUAGGCUCUUAUUUUUUCACAAGAUAGUCUGCUAAUUGCUGGAUAUAUUUAAAUUCCUACCACAUGAUUUAUCUAAUACUUUCUAAAAUAGGGUGGUCAACUUUCAUUGUAGUAAUUUUUUUCCCUCCCUAGGCAACACAUAUAUAUUACUUUAGUUGGAAAAUUAUGGUUGUACAAGGGAUUAAAUGGAAAGACCAAUAUAAAUCAAUAGUACACAUUGGAUCUUUUAAUUGCAAUCUACAAUCGGUGGUGAUUAACAAGCGGGUAGUCAACUGAGGAUUUUUUUUUUCCAUCAUGAAUCUGCAGUCCGACUUUAUGAACCUUACAGUUGGAGUCAAUUUUCUUUUCAUUAAUCAUCAAUUGUUAAAUAAAAAAAAAAGGGGGUGGUUCAAGUCUUUAAGAACCUAUUCUUGAAUCUCAAGCAGUGUAAUUCAAAGCUAUCAUAAAGCUUCAAUUUAUGCUUCGUUCGGUAAUAGCAGUGUAUCCGAGAAAAAUCUGAAUGAUUAAGGGAAGAAAUUGUUUGAACAGCGUAGUAUCCAAAACAUGAUGCUGAGUUCACUGAUUCAACUUCUUUGCCUCUUUUUUCUAACUUGUCUUCGGAUAUUGCUUGAAAGAGUUGUCGCGAAUCAUCCCAAUAAUCAACAUCACUAUGAUGAGCAAAAGAGAAAACAGCAAAUGGAAAAACUAAAGCGGCCAGGACGUCCCUUCCGCAGAAAAUGAUCAUAAUAGUUAUCCGUAAAAUACAACAAAACUUAAAAGACAAGGGAAGGUGCCUAAAAGAGAAUACAACAAAACUGUACCUUGUUGUCUUAUAACAAACAAAUCACCCAGCAAAAAAACAGACGAGGGAAGGUGCCUUUCCAUUUCAGGACGCGACAUCAAUCUAUACCCGACCGACAAGAGCUUCAUUCCUUUCAACCAAAUAAUGAGAAACGGAUGCAUGCCACCUUUCAGAAAUCCCCAUCCUUGUGAAAAAAGCAUAUGAGUUGCCCCCAUGUUCUUGUAAUUAAAAUCACUUUUACAAUCAGAUAUAUAUAUAUAUAUAUAUAAUGAGGACUAAUUUUCAGCAGUAUAUCAGCUGACAGCAGUGUUAUUGUUGUUUAUCUUUUUUGGCGGAGUUAAAACAUGGUAGCAGCCCUUUGGGGAUCAGAUACUCCCAUUGUAAGAGCAACAUACGUAUGACGUGAAAGCAAGGGGUACCAGACACAGCCCUCUACUUCUCAGAUCAUGCAUUGCCCGCUCUUCUUCAUCCUCGUCUUCUUUCAUGCUCAAAACCUCCUGCUGUUCUCAUCACCGGUAAACCAAGACAAAGUUAAUUACAAUCUCAAAUCUCGUUUUUAUGUUUCAUGAUUAUUCUGUUCUGAAGCUGCAAUAAAGAUGAUAAGCAGGAAAAGCAUUUUUCAAAGCAAGUUUUAACCACUUUUCUCUUAGGUCGAAUUACUGCGUAAAUGGAAGCUCAUUUUAUUUGUUUAUUUAUUUAUUUAUUUUUUUUAGGUGUAGACAAAAUUGCAACUCAAGUCAAAAUCUUGAUGAUAAUCGAUACUGGAAGCCGAAGACUUACUCCACGAGUUGCUCGACAGGACUUGCUGCUGCGAGAUGAUUUCAAAUACGCCAUACUCAAUGUCUGCAAAGAAUCAUCAUAUAAGUAUUUAGUGGAUGGACCAAUUUCACGAUCAUGCCAACCAAGAAUUUAUGUCUCCAUCAAGUCUGACAAAACAUUUCCAAAAGAAAGUAGUAAACUUUUUCUUUUCCUUCUUAGGAAAUCAAAUUUUGGGAUUUUUCUUUAAUUUUAUUUCCUGCGGAUUAUUAACAAUAAUAUGUAUUUCUCAGAAAACCAAAAUUAACAAACUUUUUAAGGGUUGGUGGGUUAAUUACCUGGAUUUGGUCUUGGAGGAACUGAAUGUACCCAAUGGCUUCCGUCAAAACUGAGGCUGUAUCCGUCUGCAUGUUCCCCAUUACCAGAAAGAAUUUCAUCAGGGCAUGGACAAAAAUUUAAAAUAAUACGCCAUUCUCUUCUCUCUCUCUCAGUCUUUUUGCACGAUAAUGGAUUCCGAUGAAUGAAUGACCAGACCACAUACUACCUUGCCGAAAGGCGAGACCAAUCUGUGAAGAGCUGCAAUUCUGUCUCCCAAUUUUUCCUUUCGGACCUAGGUAUAUACGUAAGUUGAACCACGAUUACUUAAUAAUAUUGAAUCCUCCCACCACCUACCACCCAAAAAAAAAAAAAAGAAAAAGAAAAACCUUGUUCUGUUAAAGAGUGAGUACGAGGAUAGUAACAUUUUUUGUUUGGCACCUUAAGGGUUGCACAUGAAGAUUGCGGUGCCAGUACUCGAGGUUUCUUGGCCAUUGCAAGGGAUGGCGUUGGUUUUUGGGUUUUCGGUCUUGAAACUUCUUUCCUGAAGGUUGAUGUCUUUGAAACCAAAGGGUAAUUAUUAAAGUUUAGCCUACUAUUGCCAAAAUUAAAUUGAUCAGGGAGCUGUGGAAAGUUAAUAAUAAGAAGCGUAAAUUAGUAACUGAGACUAAUAUUUCAAGUAUCAACUAGCUGCGCUUUGCACACAUGUACUUAUUAUACUUGAAUCAAAAUGACUAUGCACCGGAAAUUGAUAAUUACAAAAGUUGACAAGGCAUUUUCAUUAUUUUUCGUGAAUUCUAUGAUGAAUAUGAGUCAAUAUUCCAGGUGAAGAUAUCUAAGCACUAAAACUCUCGAGGAGCAUUUAACAUACACAUUCAACGUAAAGUGCAUUUCUCUAGAAAUCAAUCAAUCACUCACGUAAUCACGUAAAGAAAUGCGUAUAUACACUAAAACUCGACUAACCAAAAUACUCCAAUACAGAAAGUUGAUGAUGCAUUGCACUGGUACUGAAAAAAUUAAUUCGUCUAAAACAGUAAUUCGAUCUAACCAAUAAUAAUUAACACUAACGCAUUAACACAACCUAUUCUCAUUCCAGUUGCUUAAUUUUUAGUACUGAAUUGCUUCUUGCGAAUAUUGAAAAAUAUACUAAAUGGUCACCCACAGUAAAUGAUUGGUUUACUUCAUCAUCGAUUUAAAAAAAAAGAAAGAAGAAGAAUAGACAAGAAAAUCACUGGUGGAAGAAUAUUAAACCGAAACCAUAUGCAUUGAUCCAUGAUGAAGAUUGCACUAAUUAGAGACGUCCGUGUAUGGUGAAUGAACAGUUGUAGACUUAGGAGCAGAUGAAGAAGGAUCUAUUUGAAGACAAUAAACUUCCGGAAAGGCUGUAAAAUUGUAUGUUUCGACAGAAGAAAGAGGAAAAUACCCACUUUGUUGGAGCUGUUUGAUGGACUAUCACUUGAUUGUCGGAGGUGACAAUAAUCCGAAGACAUUCUUUCUUCGAAGGAUUCAUGAGUUCGAUGACCCUCAUCAAAGUUUCUGCAAUUCAGGAUCUCCGUGGCCAAAGGCAAGCUUUGUGAAGUGGGAAGUAAAGAAGUAGAGGCAUAAAGUUGAUGCUGAUCUGUGCUUUCUGAAGUACCGCUGGACAUAAAAUUUGGAGGAGAUGGUGGUAGACCUACAAAACUAGCAAAACCAUCCCCAUUUGAGUAGGAUUCAUUAGUUGAAAGCUUCUGGUUGAUGUGGCUGUGGGAGAAGGAACCAAUCCAAAGAUUCUCGUUUAGGUCUAUUGACACAUCUUGUUGCCCAUUUUUUAUGUAGCUGUUCUUUAAUAUGCUCCCAUUCAUGUCAUCCGAUUUGAGGAAAAGUCCUGGAUUAAUGCCACCCUUACUGGGCAAUGGAUGAUGCAGAUAGCUUCUAAAAUCACGACAAUUAGAAUCUUCAUGAUCAACUUCGAGUAGCGAUUUUUUGACAGAAGGGACUGAGUUGAUACUCCUUGGCCAAAAGUAGUCCCUCGAAUUUGGAAGGAUUUCAUUCAUGUAUCUGCUGAAGUCAUCUCCUUCCCUACAUCAUCAAAACCAAUAGUGGGUAAAUCUUCCCGAAUGAGUUUAAAAUGUUAAAAUUAAACUUCUUCUACGUAUCUUCCAUGCCCUUUCAUCUGUUUAACCAAAAUUUUAGCAUGAUGACCUAACUCGGAAGAUGAAUGUUUUUCUAGGUGAUAAGUCAAAUAAAGAAUUUUUCUCUUUUUUUUUUUUUAUUUUGACCCCUCUAAAAACUGCAAAAAUGAAAAAAGAAGUGAAUUAUUUAUCCGAAUCACAGUUGAAUCAUAAUCCUUCAGAAGUUUUCGCGAAAUCAACCGAGCUACUUGAGAAAGUUCGUUAUGUAGGACAAAUAUUCUUCUCCGCUGUAACAGUGAAGAUAAAACAAAAGCAAGAAUAUUGCCCCCAGAAAGAAAGAAAAAAAUAUAGCAAGAAUAAUAGAAGUAGGGAAAUCCUCUAAGCUUGUAUACUUACAAGACCAUGCUGGGGUUCCACUGACCAUUCACGGUUGAUACUAGUGUAGCUGAGGAAGAGGUCGACGAUGAAAAAGCAGGAUAGAUAAGCUGUUGCUGCUGCUGCUGCUGAUGCUCCUGUUGCUGUAACGGCUGAUCAUGAUGCUGAUUAAAAUUCGCUGAUUCCAUGAUGAUUUUGUUCAAGACUUGAGAAUCCCUAGAAGAAUGAUCUGGAUACAUAUUUAUGGUUCAAACGGCCCCCAAAAAAAAAAAAAAAAAUUCACCUGAAAAGUUCAAGUCACGAAUAUUGAUACAAAACCCUUUUACCCCUUAGCUUUAUACUCCACUUGAAACCGGCAUCAAGUAAUUAAUAAGAGCAGACAAUUUAUGAUUUUACUAGUAUAUAUACAAUUCAUUCAUCUUCUCUAAUUGAACUUAGCUUGACCUAGAAAGUGCAUUUGUAGCCAUGUCGUUUCCCUACUGCCCAUUGUCACAUAAUUGAUGAAUUACCCACGAGGUGAAAAUCAUUACCAAAAAGCGGCAAUUUUUCUGGCCACAUGUCUAUACUUUUCUAUCAUUGAGCAUAUUAUAAUAGGUUUCAGGUUUAAGAUUGAGGAAAAUGAGAUAAACAAGAAAAAAAAAAAGUUAGCUUAUUAGUUAGUAUUUCCAUGGACUGCAUCGAUCAUGUUAAGUGCUAUUGCAUGUGCUCUGUGUUUGUGUGCCACCCCAUGUCUCUAAUCCCUAUCUUGUAAUCAGGCCCAUGUACGCUGUACUUCUAAGCAGGAAUCAUUGAUGAACAGAGAAAAUUGGGAUUUACUGGACUUUGUAUGGCUGAGAUGGCAACCACCCACUCGUAUCUCUUAUGUUAUGGUUGGUUGAUGCAAAUAUGAUGUCAUCCUGCAAAUGCAACAUAUAAUUAAUUAAGGCAAAUUUGAGAAAAUUAGAAUACCAGUUGAUGCAAAUAUAUAUCAUCAUUACCGAAAAGUAGGGAUUUCUCUGGUUGAUGCACACCAAUGUUCAUUUUAACUACUACGAUAAAAUCGAAUUACGCUUUGAGGAUUGCACUAUUUUGUGCAAGUUUGGAUGCGAAUUACGCUUACAAUGUUUUUCUAAAAUGUAACAUUGUUUUCUAGAACAUGAUUACUGAUUGAUUUUUUUUGGUUUGGGGGGGGGGGGGGGGGGAGAAGGUAGGUAAUUCAUAUUACAGUUUCUCUACUCGAGCAAUAACAAUUUAAAAAAAAUAACAGUGACUAUCGAGCUAAUCUAUCAACUUAUCACAUAAUUAAGUCCAAGCACAUACAAGUGAUGAAAGAAGCACUAUAUAUUCUUAUACUAUAUAAGAUUCAGUUUUGGUCAAAAAAGGGAGUUAAAUUUCAACCGCAUGGGCGAGGGCAUUUUGAAAAUUUGGAAAAUGUGUUGCUUUUUUCAAUCUUUUGGUACAACUGAUUGCAGCAUGUGUUUGGGUGUUUUUAUAUUAAAACCCCCAUAUUUGUGCAUUUAAAAUUUACAUUUAUAGACACAUCUAAGUAUUUGUGAAAUGUGGGUUUAUUUGACGAUUAUUUGUGCAUUUGAUCCAAUUCAUAUAAGCGUAUAUUUUUUUGCAAUUACUGAAAUGGGAUUAUUAUGUAAUUAAAAUAGAGCCACGUUGCUGCUAACCUCAGUAAUUGCAAUAUAACUCCAUUUUAAUUGUCUGAAACACUCAUAAUUAUAUUAACACUUGCUUUCCUAUGUCUGAAGUUCAGCUGUUUGAAACAGCUUCUCUACCAGUAAUAAAAUACUAUUUACAUCCCAAUUAAACAUCCAAUAAAUGUGGGUGUGCUGCUAAGUUAUUAUAUGAGUAUCAGUUAUAACUCUUUCAAUUCUUCCUCCUUCACAUUCUUCGAUUUUUCCCCUUUCGACUUUCAGAAUUGCGUUAUUUUUUUAACCUUUUCGCUGAGCAUUUCAUAAUGGUUUUCAACAGAAGUUAUAUUUCCUUAGUAUUACUUAAUAUGUACUGUUAUUUUAUAUUUAUCUUCAUUUACUUGCUCAUCACAGACACCUAAAAAAUUCUCUUUAAUAACACGCGCCAAACACCCGCACGAUGCACAGGCAUUCCCCUCUAGUUUUGACAUAAGUUUAACGACCCUCACCUACUCAUGUUAGAUAAUUAAAUAUUCGAUACUCUUUAUCUGUUUUCCCCUAGCCGACUAAAGUCAUUAUUACCAUCUUCUCUUUGACUCUUGGUUGAUUGGGGACCAGAAUGCAGGAAUAAUCAACUUCAAACAAAUUUUAUUUUAGUACGCACAAGGGUCGCAAGGAAAACCACAAUACUAUCUUAUGCAUUCCCUUUUGUCAGACAAGAGUCCAUAGAAAUAUCAAAUCUGAGAACUUGAACUGGGAAAUCAUAAGCAAUGCCAUCUACUACAAUUCAUUUGUUUUCUUGAAAUCACGUUGACAAAUGAAUUGCACUGCAGCGUUACUUCUUCCAUCCCACUAGUUCAUUCCUUCUUCCUCCCCUUCCCGUUCUACUGGAGCUUAGUUCAUUAUUUGCAAUUAAUGGGUAAGGGUGGCUUAUGUGCCUGGUAUUUUGUCAAACUGUCAUGCAUGCAGAUUUCAGAUUAUGUGCUAACUUCUUAGUAAUGUGUUCCUUGUCCAACUCUAAUCGCCAGCAAGAGAUUCUUUUCCUUUCUCUCUCUUUUUUUUUUUUUUUGGGGCAUCACCAUUUCCCAGCUGAGAUCUUCCAGUGAUAUCCUAAACUUGAUUAUUUUAUGCUGAGGAGAGAGGAAUGUGUUCUCACCAUCCCUCAUUCUCUCUCCAUUCCAGCUUCUUCUUUCCCACUUCUCCCAUGCUAAAGUAAAAAGGUACAUGUUGAAGUACUAUUUCACUAUUUUUUAGAGAAAAGUAAGAUCGGGGGAGGUAACUGAUAAUAGCAACCCAACAAGAAGGCAAAAUGAUAUAUCAGGCGAAAAAGUGAUCAUGGAUUAAUGGAUUUCCAGGUUAUGGACAGGUUUGUCUUGAUCUCUUACUUUUUCAGCCGUACUCAAAAUUCAACUAGCCUUGCCAAUGCCAUCCACGGCCUCCUGCAACAAGCUCUCAAUCUCAUUUUCUAAAUUUUUUUCACUCUCAUUAUAUCUUAGCUUUUGCAUAGUCAAUUUUAGCAAAUUUUACCUGAACUAUUGGACACGAUUGCAACGAGUUCAUUUUCUUACGUGAUAGGGUCGUUAAUUCAAUAUCUUGUACAUGCAACACUACAUUUGUUUUUUUUUUUUUCCAUUUUAAUUGACUAUACGAGUAAUCACUCUAGAAUCUAUAUGCAUAAUGUCUUUAUGAUUUAUUUUUUAUACACAAAUAAUAUAUACACGAUCACCAUUGAAUGCAUGAUAACUGAUUUGAAUGUUAACUUGAAAUCCAAAUUUUACAUAUAUAUAAUACAUCCAAUCGUGAUAAUAUAUACACCACCAAUAUGGAUAAAAUUAAUUCAUAUUUUUAACAUCCAUGUUUUAUAUGUUUCAAAAAGAAAUUAACACCUUAUUUCAUUUAUUUGAUUGAAUAUUAGAAACCUCCCUGCUGAAAGUAAAUUGUAAGAGUGUCAAAUUUGAUGUUUGCCGUUUUUUUAAAGAUAUGAACAUUAAUAAAGAUACAUCAAUCAAAGCUACCCCCAAAAAAAAAAGCAUAUAAAGGACAAAGGGUUUUAUGGCACAGACUUGCUAAUACAUAAAUUCCUUGAUUGAGUUCAAAACUUAAUGCACUUUCACCGACAAUAUGCCAAAAAUACCCUUACUCGAAGACUUUGGAAGUUCCAAGUGUUUGAGACUAAUGGGAUGCAUAAACUAUUAUGAAUUAAUCUUUUCUACACAACACAACAGUGUAUCCAUUGUCUGCUAGUUUUUGAUGAAUGACAGUAAUUCAAUUUCAAAUUUGAAUUUGAAUUGUCUGUAAAAUUUGAACUUGAAAUUCAAUUUUUUUGCACGUAUCAUUAAUCCAAUGGUGAUAGUGUACAUAUUAUCAGUGUAUAUAAGGUUUACUCAAAUAUUUAACAUUAAUUUUUGAAUUUGACCUAAAAGAUCUGUGUCACUAAUAGCAUGAAGAUGGAACUUAAACCUAAGAACAUGAUUAAAUAACCGUUCCAAAUUUUCAUGGAUUUAAAGGACGACUUGAUUUCUCCUUCUAACUAAUUAAGUUGGUCAUGCAUGCUACGAGGGUGGCGUGAUUUUGAGGGCCGACAUAUAGAAUAACAAUGCAAUUAUUGGUACUUUGGGAUUAAUCCCAGAUGCCUUUUUCUGAAUUAGUCUUUUUAUUAUUGUAAUUACUUGGAGUUAUGUUAAAAUUCCCUAUAGCACUUUAUAGUCCACUUGCUGCUAUGGGUACCAAAUGGAAUCCUAGUUGGAUUCAUUAUGUUCCUUCGACCGUCUUCCCAUUUGAAUAUGUUUUGCGUGCACGAAACACGUCCUUGCCAAAAUGCAAUUGGCGUUGCAAUCAUUUGUCUAUUGGUGACAUUUAUCUUGAGACCAUCAACCAUUGUAUGUAUCAAUUAUCAUGUCUAGACCUGAGAUUUGUGUCCAUAAGGUAGACUUAUCAGAAUGAGUCCAAGCGAAAGUGGUGCUAAUCUAAAUUAAUACUAUGCUCUUUUCGUGUUUUGUAUUUCAUGGUAGCUUAAAUAUUUUGUUCUGCUCUAUAUGGGUAAUCUUGAGAGUAAAUUAAAACUCUGAAUAUUCUCUACAUAGUUGACCCGUAAUUUCAUGCACAAAGCUAGCUCCAAGGCCUUAUUUUUGGCCUCUAACGUCAUAUGGUUUUUCUAGCAUACGGUAGCACUACGACCUUAUGCUGUGUACUAUUUUACUUUGUAACAAAUGAUGAUAGUUCCUUCACUAAAAAUGUAAGUGGCUGUAGUUUAGUGGUAAGAAUUCCACGUUGUGGCCGUGGAGACCUGGGCUCGAAUCCCAGCAGCCACAUUUUCUGUUUUAUAUGAUUGCACUUAAAAUGCAAUAAUUGUUUUUGAAACCUUUCUCCUUUUUUUUUCUCCUGAAUUUAGCUUGUUGCCAUAUAAUGGAUUAGAAAUUUACUUAAGAUAGAAUGGCGUCUCUAACACGGCCAUUGGCCAACCUAUUACAAACUUUAAUACUUGCACAUGUUUAGGUAAGAAUGGGUAGCAAUAAAGCCUUUAGGGGAUUGCCUUUAAAAAAAAAAAAACUUUAAUACAAACUUUAAUACUUGCACAUGCUUAGGUAAAUGGGUAGCAUUGAAGCCUUUAGGGGAUUGCCUUUAUUAAAAAAAAAAAAAAAAGCCUUAAGGGGAUUAAAUGUUUUUAACUGUGUUAUUCAAAAAUCACACUGUAAAAAAUUUGUUAGGUGCACAGUGCACCUACCAUAACCACCAACCACCUCGAUCACCACUAUUCAUCUCCACUACUACUAUUGCCCUUCCUCCCUCUUUCUCUCUCCUCUUCAUCCUCCCUUCUCUUUGGUCUUGGGAAGAGGUAUCGAUAGAGGAGGGGAGGAAAGAAAGAGAGAGGGGGGAAGAGUGAGGGAGAGAAAGGAGAAAGGAAAGAAAGAGCUAAACCCAACUUCAAAAACACUUUUAUCCUAAUAUAUUAAAUAAGAACAAAGUGUCUAUUUAAUAAGUUUAGACCUUCUAAAGGAUAAAAAAUAGGUAAAGUUUAGGAAAAUUUAACGUUUUUUGUGAACACAUUUUUCAGUUUUUUUUUUUAAUUAUAAACAUCAAAUUAUUAUGGUACAUUUUUCUAUAAAAAUUAAAAAAAAAUUCAAACAACACCUUACGAGUCAAUCAUAUUUGACCUGUAACAUUUAACCAUGUCUUGUGUAUACUUGUAUUAUGUAGAUAGUUAGUAAGGUUGGGCUGUAUUGGGUACUCAUCCUGUGCAUUAUUUUGUUGAAUCAACCAACACCUUAUGGGUCAGUCAUUUUCUGACUUUUACUAAGCCCAUAUAUUAGCAAGUACUUGGUUAACGAGUACCCAUUGAGGUACGAUCGAAUCAAUAGGUACCUGUUCUACCUCGUUUAUCAUUUAUUUUUUUUAAAAAAUAAUUUAUACUAAAAUAAUUUUAUAUUUUACAUAUUCAUAUAAGAUUUAAUAAAUGUUUUCUCAAAAAAGUUUCCUACCAUGAUUAUUAGUUUCAUCGUUUAUCAUUAUUUUACUUAUUUAGCUUUAAAAAUAUUACUUUGUAGUAUGUGUAUACAAAUAAAAAUAAAAAAUAUAUAUACCAAACGGAUUGGAUAUCUAUGGGUUCUUAAUCACGUAGCACUAACCCGACCCUGUAUAUAAGCGCGGAUUUUUUUAUUUAUUUUGGCCCAACCCUAGUAUUUUUUCUUUUUUUUUUUUGUCGAUACGAUAGAUUUCUACACUAAGGAGAGGAGGAGGACUUGAAAAGGUCUAAAAGUAACCCGAAAGGGAUUGAACCACUGGACUAGAUGAAUGCACUGUACACCCGUUUGAAGUUUUUAAACAAAGCCAAUUUUUAAUAUGGCGAAUUGAUGGGAGGCAACGUUUAAUGAACCCUUGUCUCCCACCCUACAAAGAUUUAAUGCAAUGAUGGUGGCUACCGGUCCAAAGGCAGUGGUUUUGGCCCAACCCUAGUCGUAACGCUGGAGCCAUGGUUGAUUUUAAUCUAGAAUUCUACUGGCAUCCGCGACGCUGGCUGCACUUUUCACUAGCCAGCCAAUUCCCCGAUACUUUCCACGUGGACAGCCGGUCGCCGCUUGCUUAAGGAGCCGUCAACUGAAAAUGUCUCAUCCAGACGAUGAGAAGACCAAAGACUUCUAAGUUUCAAACAUGCACGUUGUCGAGUAUUAUGGUGUAGUAUGGUAUAAUUCUACUCAAAAGUUAGUUAAACAAACAAAAGGAAACCCACCAGGCCACCACCAAUCCCCCACUCUAUCCGUCUAUCAUCAUCGAAUCUCAUCAAAGACAUAUCCCUUAAGAAACCAAACUCUUUAUUGAACAUCCAACUUCCAACUUAGCCGCACGGCUCGGCUCCUCGCUCUUAUAAUACCUAAGCACUAUAAGCAAUAUAGAAAUUGAACCCUAACUACUUUGACCAAAAAAGAAAAUAAGUAAUCAUAUUCCUACCUUUUUUCUAGACACGAUUUGGUAAUUUCAAGUUCCAUGACGGAGUUGGAAAUAUUUUCUGAGCGAAGGCACAAAUUAGCAAUAAAAGUUUGUGUAAUACUUCAAAGAAAUAAAUCUUAAUAAGAGUACUCGAUAGAAAUGUGGUGGACCAAUUUGUAACUUAAAGUUUAUUUGGAAUUGCAGCGACUUAUAAAAAAAAUACUUAAUUAGUAGAGGUCUCAUCAAAGUAUUUAUUAAGUGUUUAAUCAUAUUAUUUGGAUACAUAUUUGUAUAAGUAUUUUCUCUAUUUGAUAAUAUGCAAUUUUAAUCUCUAUUCCUAAAUUAAAAGAAUGAUGCUCGCUAAAUGCGUUAAAAAUUGCUCUUGUUAGCAAAAAAACCACAACUCCAAACGAGCCCUUAAAACUUUAAGUUUAAGUAGUUCUAUUUAUUUGUUUAUUUAUUAUUCAUCAAAUUAUUAUAACAACCAUGAUCUUAAUUAUUUUCACAAUUCAGUGGGGACACAAAUUUCUUAAGAAAUUCUAAACCUAUUAUAAGCCUUUUUUUUUUAGACCUUGCCAACACGUAAUGAAGGCAAAUAUAUAUAGUAAACAAAGUACAUAAUAAAAUCAUGCAAAAAGAUAAACAGGGCUUGAUUAUUUUAAUUUUAAAAAUACAAUCUUGAUAUUUUGACACUAAAUUAUAAGGCGGAGCAACAAAAAUUUUUAGUGAGGAAAUUAAAUGUGAUUUUCACAAGCUUUUGACAUGCAUCAAUGUCUUGAAAACAAUAAUCUCAACUGAUUCCAGCUGACAUAACUGGACAUCGUGAGGUGCUCAAUUAAAUUAGGCCUUCUACUUCUACUGCCGGCAUUCCCCUCGUGGAGGCCAAAAAAAAAAAAAAAAAAAACUACGAAGCUCCGAGUCAUAUUUUAUACUUCAAGCUUGGCUUAACUGGCUUUUGAAGCCGAGAAUAAACCAUAAUUGAGCGGUAACAACAACUAAAGGGCUGUCCCCAUUUAUUUAUCAACUAAAUUGAUUUUGCCUGAUUCAGUAAUAUGGUUGAAAAAUUCAUGCAUCCGAACAAAAUUACUCGUUCAAUUUGGGAUAAGAUUUCACAUCUUUGUGGGUAUAAUCCUAAUCAUUUUUACUUUUCCAAUCUACUCUCCUCAUCUUAGAAAUGCCCAUUUUUGUCCAUUCCUCUUUGUAUAUAUCUGUCUCUGACUCUGUAUCCUUCUCAUCAAUUUCAAGCUGGUAAGGCACCGGAUAUUUUUACGAGCUGGAAUUUACUGGUUUUGAAUGUAUAUUUUUCACUUUGAGUUCUGCAGGAAUUUGUAUAUAGAUCAAAACUUUAUCUAACUUCGGCUUUACUUCUUCUCAUAAACAGGUUUUUGAUGGCCAAAGUUGAAAAAGUUGCAGUGAAUUUGUCGAAGAUUGAAGGGAAAGAAAAGGGGAAAUUCUCAAAUUAAAUUAUUCAUUUCUUGAAGAUUAAUAGAGGGCCCAAGAAGAUUGAACCGCCGAAAUGUAAGUAUCAAUCUUUUCAUACUUCCAUUUUUUAAGUUCCACUUCACGUUUGAGAAUAGUAAUUUGGCUGUUCAAUUCCUGUUACGCAUUGCUUCAACAGUGGGUUUUAGCUUUUUGGUAAUCAGUAGCUUUCUACUCUGCAAACGGAAUAAAUUUUUCUUCGAUCAAUUGGUGAAUUGUGAGUGAUGAUUUUUUUUUUCUAAAAUUGUGGGAUGAAAAAUAACAGUGAAAUGGGAACUGUAAUGGAGCCAGCCAAUGAGAUUAGACAAAGAGGAAAGCAUUACUACACAAUGGGGCAAACUUUGUUUGAGAUCGAUACAAAAUAUGUUCCAAUCAAACCCAUAGGAAGAGGGGCAUAUGGGGUUGUUUGUUCUUCAAUUGAUAUGGAGACUCAUGAGAAAGUGGCAAUCAAAAAGAUACAAAAUGUGUUUGGGAAUAGGAUUGACGCAUUGAGGACUCUCAGGGAGUUGAAGCUUCUGCGGCAUCUUAAGCAUGAGAAUGUGAUUGCCUUGAAGGAUGUCAUGAUGCCUAUGCACAGGAGUAGCUUCAAGGAUGUGUAUUUGGUGUACGAAUUGAUGGAUACUGAUCUUCAUCAUAUUAUAAAGUCAUCUCAGCCGUUAUCAAAUGAUCAUUGCAAGUUUUUUAUUUUCCAGGUGCUGAUUCAUUUUGAGCUUUAAGUACACUAGAUUAAGUUUAUCCUUUUUAGUUCCAUGAGUUUUGUUAUUUGAGAAAGUUAUGGAUUACAAUUUGCUUGUAUGAGUACUAACUGCUGUUCUCAUCCUAAUGGAAGAGGUCUUAGUCACAAUUUUCUCUCUGUUUUUUUUUUUCUUAGUCACAAUUUUCUCUCUGUUAAAAGAAGGAUAGAACCACAUUAGCUACUAUAGAUGCGGUGAUCAACAGCCUUUUUGUGUCUUAAUUUUGAUAUGAACUUCUAUUUGAAACUUUUCUGCUUUUUUUCUUGUUUAUCUCUCCUACACUUACUUUCAUUUCUGAAAUUUGGGGGUCUCUCAUUUCAAGUUCUGAAUAAACUGAAUGAAUUCCAUAUCUAGCAUAACAUAUUUUGAUAGCUUUCCUGAUGAUUAACCUUAGAGUACUCGUAUAGCUUGAAAGCUUUUGGGAAAGACCUAUGUGUUAAAAUUGGUAUUUGACUUAGAAAAUGUAAUUAGUACAUUAGAGCUAGUUCGUAGUUUUAAGGUUUCCCCUGAUGGUGAACUUUGCUACUAUGCCUGGUGUGCCAGUUGUGAUAUACAAAACUUCAUUGUGUCUGAGGACAUUGGAACUAAUUUCAAGGCUUAUGAGUUCACUGUAUCCAGAGGACCAUGUAUUCGGGACUUUAUGCUCAUAAUCAUCUUCUCUUUUUCUAAAGCAUCAAAGAGAUAAGUAGAUAAGUAUAAAUACAAGUAGCAUACGUAGCAGUUAUUUUGUAAAUCCAGCAGAAAAGGUUGUAGAGGCAUUGAUCCUCUUCUGAGUGAAGAACUAUGGUUUCAAUUACACUUGAGAAAAGCUUCAAUUUUAUAUCUUGUGCCUGCAUUUCCUGUCAAGUUGCAUGCUUUGUCUUUUCAAAAUGUUUUCCCGUGGACUAUAUCUCAAAUUUAGAUUGGGUGAAUGGUGCAAAGAAAAGGUUUAUUUGUUGCUUUCUUACAUCAUGCUUAUCAUGAUGGAAUUCAAGACAAGGCAUGAGCCUUUCUUUAGUUGGACUUUCAGGGUUUAUGUUUUAUUUUCAAUCUAAUUUUAAUAACCUUUCUGAGCUUUCACGACAUAUGCAAACAGAAAAUCUUUUCCUGUUGAAGAUUAUUAUCAAUUGUUUCAUUUAACCUUCUUUUCUUUAAAUGCUGAUACGUUGCAAGAUUACUGUUCUUGUGAUUCUUGAACGGUCGCAUUCAUGGCUGUAGCCACGCUCUCACGUGAUCUUCAAUUCAAAAUGUUAGGUAUUAGAAAAUAUGAUGCAUCAAAAGCUCUUGAGUUAUUCUCCUUAAUUUUUUUGCUGGUCUGAUUCUCUGCUCCUGUUUUUCCCUCAUCACUGAAUUGCAAUGUGCAGCUUCUUUGUGGUUUACAAUAUCUUCACUCGGCAAAUGUCCUUCAUCGGGACUUGAAACCAGGAAAUCUCCUCGUUAAUGCUAAUUGUGCACUCAAGAUAUGUGACUUUGGAUUAGCAAGAACUGGCAAUGACAGUGGACAAUUCAUGACUGAAUAUGUAGUCACAAGGUGGUAUCGUGCGCCAGAGUUGCUUCUUUGCUGUGACAAUUACGGGACCUCUAUUGACGUCUGGUCUGUAGGGUGCAUCUUUGCUGAAAUCCUUGGCAGGAAACCAAUAUUCCCAGGAACAGAGUGCCUCAAUCAGCUUAAACUUAUCAUUGAUGUCCUUGGCAGCCAAACUGAAGCCAAUCUUGCAUUCAUUGAUAAUCUGAGGGCUAAAAAAUUCAUAAUGUCACUUCCUUGUUCAAGAGGGGUUAACUUUGCUUCUCUCUACCCCCAUGCUGAUCCUUUGGCCAUAGAUUUGUUACAGCGGAUGCUAGUUUUUGAUCCAUCGAGGAGAAUCACAGUGACAGAAGCUCUUUAUCAUCCAUAUUUGUCAGGUCUCUAUGAUCCAAGUCGCAACCCUCCUGCUCAGUUUCCUCUCAGUCUUGAUGUUGAUGAGAACAUGAGCGAAACAAUGAUCCGCGAGACGAUGUUGAGAGAGAUCCUUCUUUACCAUCCGCCACAAGUUACUUACACGAACACGAACACGGUGAUAAAUUUUUAAUUUGAGAAGCAUUUCUUUGGCACUAGACCUUUGGAAAAAGCAUAAAAGUUGUGGGGAAGGAAAGAAAGAACAAAAAGUACCAAUACAUUAUUAGUACACAAGUAUUGUUUUAGAAUCAUACUUGUUCUGUACCAAGCCUUGGAUACUUCUUUUUGAUUGCAUCAAUUUAUUAUUUAAGCCCGAAGGGGAAAAGGGACAGUGCAGUGGCAGUGAUAUAGCAGUUGAAUCCGAGCAAUUUGCCUGGAGAGUGGUGACUUCAAUCGCUCGACUCUUGGGCCAACCCUUGCUCCUCUAAGCUCUGAAUAUUUUGAUUAGUCCAGAAAUUUUUGAUCUAUGCGUUCUUUUAGUUUGAGAUCACUGCAGAAGUAGCAGCAUAUCAGAACCUAUAAGAGCAGUAGCUUCACACAUCAUUCCUUGAUGGAGAAACGGUCUUAUCUCAAAAUUAGUCCAUUAAUAAUCUUAAGAGUCGGCUUUUUUCCCCCUCCCUCCCCAUUAAUAAUCACAAGUGGUGGGCAUCUUUGAGGGAAUAUUAUGAUCAUCGAAGCAUAAAGCAGCAGCAGCAGCUAUAAAAGGCGACAGAAUACGUCAGUAUUAACUCAAACUAGUGGAUCUCCACUACAGUCUGACACAACGAAAGAGAUGCAUCAAUCGAGUCUGACAGGGAAAUCACAAAUUUUAAAAAGAUACAACAAUUUGCAGGGAAGUAUCUUAUCAUUAUGCAAAGCUAUAAAUUGAUCAAGCUCUUCUCUUAUUUGCUCGGUGUGGAAUAGUCAAUGAACACAAGCUUGUAUCUUUCUCCAAAAGCCCAAUCAAGAAAAUAUACAACACACACACACACACACACAUAUAUUACAUAUAGCUAAACUAAAAGCUGGCAAGCCAUCCAUCCAUGAAGGUGAAUGAAGUUUCUAUCUUCUUUCCUCUAACGUACAUCAGGGGCCCUUCGCCCAUAAUGUACGGUUGUCCGGCACGCACGAGAAGAAAUUAGAGAGUCUAGAAACACGUUUUGCCGGAAGCCUCCGCUAAUUGUUUCCACGUUGUCAUUUGGGACUCAUAAUGGGUCUGUUUAGAUAAACUAGAUUUUUUUCUUCCAAAUAUUAUUCAACUUGUGUCGUAUUUUUUUAAAGGCACACGUUAAAAUAUAUUUCAGAUAAAUUAUUUUUUUAUUUUAUAUAUAUAUAUAUUAUAUCAUAAAAAAUACUACGUUGUCAAUCUAAAUAAUUUUUUUUUUCAAAUUAUCUUUUAUCUAAACAUACCCGUUGCUUUUGCCCCGCUCCUAGUGUUCCGCUCCUAGUGUUCAAGUGUCGCAGGAUUGAAUAAAGAUGUUUUACCUAAAACCAUGGAUGCAUGAUACAGCCACUUCAACUUUGCCCAUGUCAGCUCAAUUUUCCACUAGUUGCUUUUUUUUUUUAAACAACUUUUUUUGUUUUUCUUUUUCUUUAAUCAAGAAGUGAAGAUUGGUUUUCUUACUCUGUUGUCUCCUAUGCGUAAUACGUGUUAGGAGAAAGCAAGAGAAAAAGUAAAUUUAAAAAACGUUAAACAAUAAUAAUAAUAUUGCUUAGCUUCUUAAACAUGACUUUGAUGAAUAAUAUAUAUUUUAUUUAUCAGACGUAAAACAUUUACGUACUACAACAUUCUUAAAUGCGGUCAAAAGUAAUUAAACCUCGUGCAUGGAUAAUGUAUAUCGCGUUCCACGGGAUGGAGAAUCCCUUUAGGCUUUAACCCCUGGAAGUUAAGUCAAAAGUCAAAAAAGAUGAACGAGGAAAAAUGGCCGAGCCAGCUUUGAAGUUGAUUGACAGUUGCUAAUAGAGGCCAAGUCAGAGUGAAGGUUCCCAUUUUCUGCGAUUUCCCUGUUCAAGCUGCACGGGAUAGGCUCCAGCGCCGCCGCCCCUUAUCCAAAUAUCCACCCAUUUGAUACAAUUGAAGCUUUAGCCACCAAACAACGUGCGGAAAAAAAAAAUAGCAAAUUUUUCCUUCCAAACGGAUCAGUCUACCUAUCAUGUGUCAACUAUUCUCUCACUAUUUCAACUGCUAAAAACCAAACAAAAGUUUCUUGAUACAUUUUCUAUUGGCACCAUCCCAAAAAAAGAAAAAAUUUUUUUUUUUGUUUUUUUCUGUAUUGUGGAAUUUAGAUACUACUCCACGAUAAAAGUAUAUUUGAAGAGAGGGAAGACUAGUAAGUGAUUGACAAUUCUAAUUAAGUCGGUAUGAGUAGCGCAAUUUGCUUUUGUCUUCACUUUUUCAGGUAAAAAGUAGUGAUUGAUGGCUGAUUUCUCUAAUUCAGAAGUAAUAGUACUAAAUUGGUAGUUUAAAUCAUAGUGAGGAUGGCCAGCUGGCCUCUGAGCCGUCACUUUAUGCUUCUCAAUGGGCCUAAAAAUGUGUAUAAAUUCCACAGCCAAAUUCUCCUUCCUUCCUCCCUCCCUCCACCUCCCUUCCUUCCUCAUUUCUUUUUGCAUUUAGCUUUGUGAGGUUCGGCCUCUGCCUCUCCCUAAUUUUCUGUUCCUCCAGGUUCUGAAACUCCCAGCUUCCACAAAGCCCGAAUAUUUCUUUUUCCCCUUGAUCCUCUACCCGAACAUUCAUGCGGCAACAGGCGUUUAUUCUCUAACCUUUGACAUUCAUGUCUCCUGUACUCAGCGAAGUCCUCCUCUCCGGUUUCACAAUCAGCUCCACCCUCCGCCGUACCCACUUGAUGCAAUCUUUCUCUGUUGUAUUCCUCUACUGGUUCUAUGUUUUCUCAUGAACUCAUAAAACCAUCAUAUUUACAUUAUUUUCAUUGACCAAAAGACUUCUUUGUCGUAAGUUCAUUAUCCAUAUAAUACUCCUACCCUUUAUUAUUUGCUUAUCUAAAAGACUGCAGAGUAGUAUUUUGCAAGAGAUUUUGUACUUUUUGGCAUAUAUUUUGCGCCAUGUCUUGUACCAGCGGAAAUUCAUCAGGGCCAAGCCAGAUUCAGAAUUCGGGGUCCGAUGAAGAUCCCCAACAAAUUAUGGACCUAAGAAAACGCAAAAGAAUGAUAUCCAACCGGGAAUCUGCUAGGCGAUCAAGGAUGAAGAAACAGAAGCACUUGGAUGAUAUGAUGGCCCAGGUGAAUCAAGUGAAGAACGAGAAUAAUCAAAUUCUCACCAAUAUCAACCUUACAAAUCAGCUUUAUCUGAACAUUGAAUCUGAAAAUUCUGUCCUAAGAGCUCAGCUGGCUGAACUCAGCCACAGGCUACAGUCCCUCAAUGAUAUCAUUAACUGCUUGAAUGCUACAACGAAUUCACCAGUUCUUGAAACACAGGACUCUGCUUUUGAUUAUCAGAUGAUGAGUGCUUUUGAUCAUGAUUUCUUCAACCCCUGGAAUUUACUCAGUGUAAAUCAGCCCAUCAUGGCUUCUCCAGAUGUUCUCAUGUACUGAUUCCUUCGGAGAAGUGAUCCAUUGCUUCGGUGUUUGGCUUGCUGAUGAUCGGGGUUGUAGACUUCUGGGUGCUUAGUGAAAUUGAACUAGAAUGUUGUCCUUGGUUUGUAAUUGAAACGAUUAUGUAUAUUAUGGUUGAUGUACUGCCAUUGCGAAUGCAAGUAAUUUUCUAAAUAUUAGAACAAAAUUCAAAGUCCAUUAUUGAGUGGAUUAGUUCAUUACCUAAUUACGUUGUUUUCGGUGUACAUCUUCAAGAAUGAUGCAAGGUUCGCACUCAUAAUAUAAUUUGUACUCCCAUCUUUUAAUCCUUUCAUAUAUGGUUCACAGAAAUUGUUCACUGAGUGCGAUGUGGAGAAUUUACAAUUAGUACUUUAGCAGCAAAAAAAAGGGUAUAUAUAUUGGAAGCUAAAAUAAAAGGAGUAUAUGUCAAAGGCGAUUUGUGUUGCUGAGGACGCCAAUGAGAAAAUUUUAAUUAUUUGAUGAUGACAUAUGUUUUAUCUACACAUUCAACUACCACUUUAGGUAAGGAUUAAGAUUAGUGGACAAACUGAUGUACCAAUAAACUACUGGCAGAAUUAGUGGGCGGACCAACAUAUAUUUCCAUUCAUGAACUAUACAUAUAUGGGCUGUUUGGCCGGGGCAGAAAAGAUUUGUUUAAAAAAAAUACUACCUCAAAUGAUGACAUCAUCUUGUAUUGUUUGGUAAUCACAAACCGACAGAUGCAUUUGACCUAACAAGUAGAAUUAUUAGUAUUAUACAAUUGUUGAAAGGAAGACAUCUUAAUCGCAUUAUGCGUGGAAAGUUAAUACAAGACUCGCAUAAUGCUCUGCCUCUAAUUGUUAAUAUUUUAGUUAAGCCAUGACCUCAAGGCUAAGGACAAAAUCUAUGAGUUUUCGUUAAUGUUUUGAAAAAUAACUAAAAUAUAAAAAGAGGUUAACAAAUCAAUAAUGUCAUCUCUUCUACACGAAAGAGAUGAAUACAAACCGCCUCGGUCGGAUGCUUAUUCAUUCUUUAAUCCGUUCUCCGUUCCACAGGACUCAAAUCAAUCUAAGAUUCCUUGAGAAAAUUAUUGAGCGCCCCCCCCCCCCCCCAACACACAACACAAACAGAACUUAAAAAGAAAUCGAUCAGAAGUUUCUUGAUUAAAGAACUUAAAGAGUAGAAUUAUUAGUAGUGAAAGAGAAGAAACACGUUGAGGUCGCAAUCCGACGUCUCUGUUAUUCUUAUCAGUUCCAUGUUGUUUUCACCUGUCUUUGAAAGAACAAAUAAAUGAACUGCAAGGCGCACCGAAUCAGCAAAAUCACUUUCUAGCCCAGAUUAAAGAAACCCCCAUUAGACUCUCAGACUCACUGUUGCAUGCAUGCCAGAUCGAGCAUAUCCACCUAUUGAAUUGAACCCUUUUAAGAGUUGUUCUGAUGUCACAAUUUUAUGUAGAAAGUAGGAUUCCACUCUUCAAGAUUCAAUGAAAAUCUCAAUUUCACAAUAGACGGACGAGAUUCAUAAAUUUUCAAGUCUUAAAAGGUUGAACAGAGAUGCUUCUGGUGCUUGUCUACUAACUAAAGAAUGCUAGAUCAACUCUACAGAACAAAAUGCAGUUACACGCUAUCUGUUCUGCACAGACAUUUGAUCUCUAUGUGAUUCAUAUUAAACCAGUCGAAUCCUUUUCUCUGGCUAUUGAAUAAAAUGAUGAUAUACGUACAAAAUUACUGGCAUUGAUUUUGCCAGCUGUUGGGCUUCAUCAGUUGAGUUAAUCUGGUAUCGACUUGACCAAACUUUGCCAGCAGUAUGAGCAGCUCAGCAUCAGGACCUUCUUGAUUUGUUUUCUAUUGAUUAGUGCAUCAGCACUAGGACCAGGGGGAAAAAGUAUGUUGGAGAGAUGCACGGAAAGAAAAAAUUAUUUGCAUGUUGUUUUACUUUGGCAUAGCCGUACGUGGUUUAAUUUUGCAGCCUGUUUUUUUUUUUUUUUUUAAAAAAAGAGUUAGGUCGACAAGUUUUCAAACUUCAACCAGACAUUGCUGUACCAUGUGGCCAACCCUUUUCGAGAGGACGCCCACAUGAUUUGAUCAGAAGAAAGAAAAACAAAAGUUGGUUUGUCUGUGGAGUCCUUGAGUGGGAAGUUAAUGGGUUUCGACUAAGCCAACCGACGCCAAAAAUUGGCUUGCUUAGGCUGCUCACUAUUGUAACUCCAUGGCUUUAUAUUAUUCAUGGAGAAUUGGCACGAGGAGUGGAAUUUUCUCCAUUUCCUUCCACCUACAGAAAUCUGGCAAACAGUUUUUCCCAUCAUAUUAAAUCUUUCCGUUCAACCCAAAGACCAAAAGAGCAAAACAAGUACUCUACAACCAAUCAAUAGUCGGUGUGGAGUGGAGUGGGACUUCCUCUCCCGCGCCGUAGGGAUUAGUCGGAUCCCGUAAGAAUUGAUCCGAACACCCCUGUGUCGACAAAAAAAAAAAAAAGUACUCUACAACCAAUCAAACUAUUAAUCAAUAGUAUAAUUUUUAUUUGAUUUCUCCUUCGAUCUGUAUAUGCAUCAAGGUAUUAAAAUCGCGACACCCGUAAUUGACACGAGACAGCAACCACGUCUGAUUGAAUUUACCAUGUGUGCCCGAAUUGUAGCAUGUUCAUUGAAUUGGUUCUCGAUCAUGAGUAUGGGAAUUUGUAAAUUACAUAUUCAUCUAUCUUUAGUACAAAAACAUGCUUUUGACCAAAAAGAAAAAGUAUAAAAGCAUGCACCCUAUUAGAAAUCAAGUUUAAGCAUUUUCUUUUUUCCUUUUUUGUUUUGAGUACAUCAAAACUUAAGUUUAGAAUGCAAAAAUCUUAAGGCUACUCAAUAAGUUAUUGGUGCUUAGUCAAUUUUUAUAGUUUGAUCACUUCACGUUUGGAUUGCUAUUUAUAGGAAUUUUUGUAGAAAAAUGUAUCGUAAUGAUUUGAUGCAUGUACAGUAAAAAAAUGAACGAAAAAUGUGUUCUCGAAAAAUAUAAUUUUUUUUUGCAAAAAACCACAAUCCAAACAUAGAUAUCCUUUAUUUUUUAAGAUAAAGUUUGGGUGAGUUUAACUCUGGUCACCACCAUAAGCAUAGGAUACACUCUUUUGUAAGAAAAUGAUCCGUUCUUAUCAAUUGAAUUAACUUGUGUUGGCUUAAAAAAAAAAGAAGAAUUCCUCUCUUAGCAUGUUCAAUGUUUAAUUGUUUAAGUACCAAAUGCAAGCAGCAGGACAGACGUGCAUCAAGUCAUCAAAAUUUACAUGCAUAAAUUGUUUGGGAGGAUUGAAGGCAAAUAUUUUCGUCAAUAGUACAUUUAUAAUUUUUUUGAAUAGCUUUUUUUCAUGCAUUGUCAGUGUAUAAUUUUUUUACAUUAACAAAUUUAAAUCAUAUCGCAUAACAUGAAUAAUUCAAAUCAUGCACAUGUAGCAUGCAUCCAAAGUUGCUAGUGUAAAAAAAUUACUACAUUGUCAAUGCAUAAAAAGUUAAUUCUUUUUUUUAAUUAAUUGAAAUUUCACGUUUCAACCACGUAAUAGGCUCAUAUUCUAUUGACAAAAUAGGGAAACUGGCCGGGCAACUUCUUGAAUGUAAGAUACGAUCCUCUUGUAUUGGCCCCAAACUACUCCGUGCCCAAUGGGCAUAUCACCGAUGGGCGGUGGCCCAAUAAGAGCUCUUAAGUUGCCGCCAAAUCCCUGAACUUUUCCUCUAAAUCCCAAAAAUGUCCUCAUCCCCAUCCUCAGAGCUUCCCCUUCACCCCUCCCAAAACCCUAGCAACUGGCGCUUCACAUGGGAGGCCCAAUCUCACAUCCCAACCGUCCGAUUAUAUCUCUUCAACCCCCACAUCAAACCCUCAGCUCAAUGCAUCAACUUAGAGGUCGACUUAUCAGUGGACCAGUCUUCACUCCUCGUCAGAUUCUACCAAGCAGAAGCCGAAGCCGAAGCCGAAGCCUGCACUUCAUUUCGGGUCCCGCUCCCUAGAGUUUUAAUCGACCCGGAGUCACCGGUUCAGUUCACAGCUUAUGAUGAUCAUAUUCAUGUUAAACUCGCUCUGCUUCUUCCCAUUGAUCAUCCUCUUGUUUCGCAAUUUGAUUCCUCGUCUGAUGAGUACCGGCCACUUUCCACCGAUUCCGGUGAGCUUAUAACCAAUCACUUAAGAUGGAAUCUUUUUAUUCUUUUUGAUAUUUCUAUUCGCUUAUGAAUGAUUUGCUGUUUAGGAGCAUUUGUCAUUUGGUUUUAAAUUUGUUUGUGAAUAUGUUUUAUUCUUUUUUGGAACAAAUGUGGCAAUGUCGCUGGUAUUUUGCUUUCAAGAUGGAUGGUGGAUGAUUUGACCUUCACUGCGCAUAAAGCUGUGACAUUUACUUUUGAACAGGUCAUUUUGCGAUGAAUAAUUGCUUGACUAAAUGAUGUGUGAGCUGAAAUAUCUUUUAGCUUACCAUUGUCCUUCCUUUGCAAUCUGGAAGAAAGAAUAUGGAAUUGCUCGUGCUUCUAGUGUCUGCAACAUGAGUUCACUUGGCUUUCAAGUUUUAAGGGCAAGUUGGGUACAGAUUGGGAACCCGUGAUUAUACAAUUUUCCUUUUUGUCUAGAAGUCUUUUCUUUUUUGGGCACUUAUUCAAACACUGACCCAACCUUUUGGUUUUAUUUAUUUAUUUAAUUUUUAUUCAAGUUGUAGUAAUCAUGCACAAGCUAAAUUGUCAGUCAUACUUGUCAAGUUGAUUUAGGUGGAGCUACAGAGUGGAGAAUGUUAUUCGAUUUGUAGUUAGAAUUAGGCUGAGGAUAUUGUACACACGGGUGGGUGGAAAAAAGUUUGUGACAUUUGAUAUUUGUUUCUCUUGUGAAGGAAAAAUGGUUGUGUUUAAGUUUAAAUCACCGUAUCACUUUUUCUUUGUCUAUUUCAUUUUGAAGAUGACGAGCUAACAUGUUUUAGCUUAAUAUUUCUGUCUUUCCUUUCAUGGCAUCUAAGAGGUAUCUUUGGAAGCUCAAAUAUUGUAUCUUGUCAAUCUGUGAUGAAUCUUUUUGUUUCCAUUUAAUUUUUUCCUUUUUUAAAAUUUCGUUUGGUAUUUGUAAUCCAAGUGUAUUCCUAGUAAUUAUGGUUGUUCGUUUAGAUCUAAAGAAUUUAUCUGCUUUGGAGGAAGUGUACUUUUACUGCAGAAGUUGCUCAGCUAAGUUGACAAGAUCUCUCAGGUAGAUUCUACUUCGAACAUUUUUGGAGGAAAUACCAAAAUCCUCAUGGGUGCUGAUUCUUUCUUCUAUAAAUAUUGCAUUUUCAUGUAUGAGACAUUUAUGAUUUCUAGAACAUUUUUGCCCCCCCCCCUCCCCUCCUUCCCCUUUUUUCCCCUGAAUCACUGGCAAUCUCUUCUUUGCCAGUUAAGUCCUGUACUCUUCUUGUGGAAGGGUUACCUCACCUCCUUUCAUGGUACGGCCCGGUAGACGGCUAGAUUUACCAUUGGCUUGGAAGACCUAUAGAACCUACAUUCAGUUUGUUCUUUCUUUUCCUGAACAAAUAGAUGGAAUCCUACCUUGUUCAUUGGGAAUUUAUUUUACUCUUUCUUAGAUUUUAUUACAAUUGUUUUAUGCAUUAAAGGAUGUCCUUUUCUUGGCUGAACUUUCCAAAUUAUAUAGAUGUUUCAAGGAGAUGCCAUCAGUCAAUUGGCAAGAAGCAGCAGACAAUUGGUUUGGGGCUUGUUGUUGUUCAUUUGGAGGUAUCAGUGAGAAGCUGGUUAGAAGUUAUGCAAAGUCCUAUACAUGUGCAGCAGGUGUUUGUCUCUUAGAUACAGAAUCUGUCAUUUUGUGCAAGGACGAUCUUGUGGGAUGUGAAUUUCCUGGAUUUAAUUGGAACCAAAGUGUUGAGUUUAAUCUGAAAUUGACUACUGACGAUAUUUUGGUCAAAGCUUCCUCAGAUGAUGCAAGUAAACAUGGGCAAACUGUCUGCUCUGAGAAUGAUGACUUUGGGAGGGAGGUCAGCAAUGGCAAGGAACAUCAUCUUGGUUCUGAGGAAGAAAACCUCAAAGAGAAACUGAGGCAUGAAGCUACUGGAAAUGCUGGUGAUUGUGGUAACUUAUCUUGCCUGUCUUCACACUUACAGACUGCAGAAAACAUGGCAACUUGUCCUGACUUCCAUGCAGUUAUGAAACAUGAUCUUGGGUACUGUGAUAAUGGAUGUCAUAGUCUUGAUCGUUUAGAAAUCUCUUCAGAGGAAAAAUCUGGAAGGGAUAUUGAACUCCUAGAGCAUCAGAAAGUAUUACUUAAUGGCUUUCUUUGGAAUGGUUUCCUGGCAAGAUCCUCCAAUCUUUCAAAAGAUGUUAGGUGGGUCGAAUUCUUGUGUCCUCAAUGUUCUUCCCUACUUGGAGCAUACCCUUGCUUCAGUGAUAGUAGUCCAUUGGACAGUGGAAUUCGCUUGUUUAAAUGCCACAUUUCAACCACUUUACCUGUUGGUGGCUCCGGUAAUACGUUUAGGUAAAAGACUUCUAUUUAUGAUUGCUAUCACAAGAAGUGUUGUAAGUUUUGUGCUUGUGACAGUUAUGAUCAUUUAUUUGUUUUUCAAUUGUGGAAGGACACAUACCCAAUGCUCUUAUAAGAUGUAUAAGAGUAGGUCUUAGAAGGAGAAAGUCAUCUUUCAUAAGUUGUUUAUUUGUAAGUGGGUCUGUUAGUAUGGCUCUGAUGAUAUGCUGUGGAUACUUUGAUUUCUUUUGGGUUUGACAUUUUAGGAAAUAAAUCCUAAAUCCAUCAAAGAAAACGACUUCUAUCCUUUUUUUUCCCAAAAAAGGAAGGAAGUCAUUCAUUGGAAAUAAGAAAAGAAAAUAUUGCUAUGGCUUUAAACACUGGCUAUUGGUAGUGUCACUAUGCCUCUUCCUCCAAUUGGUUAGUUUACACUAAAACAUCUUCAGCGCUCUUUCACUUUAGUUAGUUGGCCAGCAGAACUGGGUGUUACAUUAUAUUGGGAUACUUUCGCCUGUUAUAUUAUGUGUUCAGCAUCAUGAAGGGAAUAAAGCAUGCAAGUGAUGUUGGUUAAUUAACUAUUUACUCUUCUUCAGUAUGUUGGAACCUUUCCUAAUGUCCUUUAUUAUUUUUAAUUAAAUCUUUCUUGGUCUGAAUUUUGCAAAGUUCAAUUUUGUGCAGAUGUUAUAGCUUGGAGAGGAUGUUUGCAAUUCAGUUGCUGGAAAGUGCAAAAGAUGAAUUAUCAUUCCGGACUGUUGUGAGAGAUAUGCAAACCAAAUAUCCUAUGCUGCAAAUUGUUCUGUUGAACCCGGAUUCUUGGUGCUGCAGUGGAUGUUGUUUGUACUCCACUGAAUCAGCUUCAAGGAAAAGCAUGUAUCCAACCAUCAAGGUGCUAUUUUCUGCCUGCUGCAAUGAUGAGGAAAACGAGUCUAGGUCAGUUAUUCAAAUGCAUUUGAUCUAUUUCGUGCAUAUAUUAAGGCAUUGUUUGUCCACCAGUUGACAGCAGAGUAAGUGUCAAUAGGGUAAUAUAGCGAAGUGGUCUUCAAUGUACAAUAAUUAGUCAUCUGAUUAAAUUUCGACGUGGCUGGAAUGUGUUAUCAUACUUUUCCCAGGGGCCUUUCUUCUUUGAGGAGCAAAUGCAUCUAUGAUUGAUUUUAUGGAUUGGCUCUAGAAAGAUUCUGUAAUGGUCACUGCUUAAACACAGCUUAAUAGCAAUCUGUUUUUCCGAUUUUGACUCUAUCCAGAAUUUAUUUGGCCAUGGUUGAAUCAUGUGCAGGAAGCUUGAAGAAUGGAUUACCAAGAAUCAAGCAGAUGAAGUGUACAUGUUGCCAUCUCAAAUAGGAAACUUGAUUUCCUAUUUAAAGUCGGCUAAUAGUAUGUACCCUCCAUCACAAGUUCCCCUGCAGAAUCUGUCCCUGUCAUCCAUGAGAAGAUAAACAAGAUACGGGAGAUUUUGAUCUCCAACAAAAUCUUAUUGUGGUCGGUUUGCAUGAGGAGGAUCUGAAAUCCCAAAGAAGGCUCAGAUUUUUAAUCUUGCAAGUUCUAUAGAAUUGUACGCAAUUUCAAGUUGCCAGAUUACUAGGGGGCUGAUCUGGCUGUCAUUCUGUUCCAUGACCAGAGGUUUAAAAAUCUCCCUCCGACUAUGCACGCUCUUUCAAGAGGAAAAAGAAGCGUCUAGGAUAUUGAAACUUACAGUUCAUCAUGGCAGUGCCAGUACGAUUAUAACACCUACCAUUAGAGGCAUUUGAAGCGUAACUGGUGCCCUUGCCCGACAGAGAGGGUGGAAAAUUAGGGGUUGCAAUGGUAUGCGGAGCCCGCAACUUACGAGGUAUGGGAUUCUGUGAUCGAGUCAACAACGACGAGACGCAGUCCCUGCAUACAUGAAUUUCCCUUUGUUCUUUGGUGGGACUGGUAUAUAUGUUUGCUUUGUUCUUUGGUGGAAAAUAAAAAGCUAUUAUUCCAAAAGAAAAAAAGUAAAUUAUGCUGUCUAAUUGGUGAUAUGUUCUUUGAAAAUUAUUUCGUGGCAAUCAUUUUGUCUCGGAGGAUAUUUUGAAUGCUAACAAAUAUUUUGGCUAUUAACCUUCUCUGUUUGCUGAUUACUUGAAAUUUACAACUGCAAUAAAGCCAUACAACUAACCACAAAAACAACCAACCAUCUUAAGCUUUAAAAAACUUCAUAAGAGAAACCAUAAAUCUAAACUUAAGACACUACAUAAGAGUAAAAGAGAAGAACUAAAAAUCAUCAUGCAUAAUUUAAGAACUACAAGGAAAAGUAAAAGAGAAGACACACUAAUGAUAACCGCUAGGGGUGGGCACGGGUCGGGUACCCGCCCCUAACAUGAUUUGGCUGACCCGACCCUAAUAUAUCGGAUCAGCCAUUUUGCGACCCUAACCUGCUCCUAAUAUUUUCGGGUACCCGAAAAAAAGGGGCGGGUCAUAGGGUACCCGCCCCUAAAAAAAACUAUUUUUCAAUAAAAAAAAUUAUUUUCUACUUAAUAUCAACAUAUUUUUCAAUAAAAAAACAUGCUUUUCCAAUUAAUAUUGGUAGAGAUAUUGUAAUUAAAGUCCAUACAUCACCAUUUUCACACAUUUCAUCCAAUAAUCAAAUCAAUCUCAUAAAUUUAGUACAUAUUAGAAUAUCUAAUGGACAAAACGAAGUUUCAUAAUAAUUUUGAGUACAUCACCAUUUUCACACAUUUCAUACUUCUACAACACAACAAACACAAGGAUAAUAAGUAUUUGGUAACUUCCCCAAGGAUAUUAUGGUACAAGACCGCAUCUCAAAUAAGUCAAUUGUGAAAUCAAGUUCGGAAAAGAAUUGAAUAGAACUAAUUAUUUUUGAAAAAAAUAUAACCAAAAUAAUGUUAAAAAUCUUCCCCAACUUCUUUACAUCUUUGGAAUAGACCUUAUGGUAUUAAGGUGAUGAAAAAGAAAAAUAAAUUUCUUGCACUAAAUAAAAGAGACAAAUUUAAGAGAUAUAAUUGCAAAUGAAUGACACAAAUAUUUUAAUUAUCUAGCUAACAGAAAAUUGAGACUCCAAACAAAAAUCUUUGAUUGAAUUGAUGCAAGAUUUGCAGGAAAGAUCGAUGGAGAUAGAAUAAAAAUAAAAAAGAUGAAAGGGAUGAACAAUUUUUAUAACAGAGUUUCACAAAUUUUUUUUUUCAUUUUGUUCAUGUUUCACCGAGAAUAUUCACUUUCUUCAAAAAAAAUGAGAAGAGUAGAUCAUAUAGGAUUAGAAUAUGAGGCUGCGAGCCACUUCACUUGCACUUAGGAUUAAAAAUUACAAAAUUAUAAAAUGAUCCCUACUUUUUAAAUAUUUAUAAAAUAUACCCUGCGGGUCGGGUACCCGCGGGUUUUUAUUUUUCUGAUCCGUAUCCGUACCCGAUUUUUCGGGUACCCGACCCUCAUCUGCCCCGCUAAGAAAAAUCGGAUCGGGUAUCCUAUUUUUCGGAUCGGAUCGGAUCGGGUUCAUCGGGUUUUCGGAUCGGCGGGUUUUUUUGCCCACCCCUAAUAACCGCACUUGAAAAGGAAAAAAAAAAAAAAACACGCGUGCACUACUAAACGUGCUUUUCUGCGACUUUUUGAAUUAUUCACUACUUGAAAAAUUGAUAGGAACUUUAUUAGUGGAAUUGACCACUAAAAUUCUUACAUUUUGACUGCAGAAGAAACAAAGGAAGUUCUUGUAUUAAUCCAGAAGGAAUGACUAAUUCUUUCGUAAAGGUGAAUGACACCUAUGUAACAGACGAAGAAUACAACUUGUAUUAAUGGAUUCUUUGGACAAAGCUUAUAGAAUUUGCAUACGCUUUAACAAGUCAAAUAUAUCUGCCAUUGGACUUUAUGCUUCCUCUUUUUGAGAGGUCAAAAGCCACAAAGUAUAAAAAGAAGAAUAUAAUGUCACAAGAGUGGAGAAGAAUGCAUUGUCGUAGUAUCAGCUGGAGGCAUUAAAAUCGCAGAAAUAAAUUUCAUGCAAGAAAUCCUUUUAGCAAGAUGUUGUGUCGACUGAACUUUAUCCACCUUCCGAAAGUGGCUACAUGAAUGGGCUCAUAGCAAUUAUUUUAAGCUUUAAAGAUCAUGGCCUUGAAAUUGAAUGGGUGAUGACAGUAGAUUUUCGGUUUCUUGGAAUAAAAUCAACAUUAGUGGUUGAAUUAUUUGAACUUGAUUCCAAAUUCUAUACGUUUUUUUGGACACGAUUCUUUUUCCCCAAAUGAGUAAACUUUACUUAAAUUUUCUAGAAAUAAAAAGUAGAAUUUAUUUUAUUUUAUUUUAACAAUGAAAAGAGGUCUUGGUUUUUUUUUUUUUUUGAGAAACCAAUUGCUCAACCAUCACAUUGCAUAUUAUUAAUAGCUUCCUAAAACCGUAAACCUAACCUAUAAUCCAUAUGAUUUGAUAUUUUGUUCAGAUUGAGCCACACCAUUACGUAUCUGAUCCCAGACAACCCACCAUGCAUGUAUUGCUCAAUCCUAAUGAAUCUGGGUACUCUAAUAAGUGUAGGACUUGGAGUUUUAUUAUUGAAACGUUAUCAUGUUUUUAAUUUUUGCUAAUAAAUACGAAGUGCUGGCAAACCAGUAUAUUUACCAAGAAUCAGAAUACCAUAAUGCCUCUCAUUUCACAAUUUUAUACUCGUGUCUUUCUUUUGAUCUUUAAUUGACUAAUUGAUUAGUGAAAUGUAUAUAGAUUGUCUCACGUGCUUUUUCCGAAUGUCUCUCAACGAGUCGGAUAGAGGUAUAUUCAUGAUGGAUUUAAAGAUUAAAAGGAAUGAUUGAACUUGGCUUGUGUUUAAUAAUUUUUUGAAAGAAUUUAAUUGAAUUUGGUUUGAAAUUUCAGAUAUAUAUUCACAAAAAGUUUGGCUUGACUUAUCAAAAUAUCGAGUUCAAAUACAUACAAUCAAAGCUUGGCUUGUCUUGAAAUUUCAUAUUAUAUUAUAUAGAGAUUUUCACCCUAAUUUGUUGCUUUUUUUUUUCCCUUAUUUUUUGCCCUAUGAUAUUCAAGAAAUCUAUUACAAUGAAUUAGUGAUGUGAUUAAAGUUAAUUAUGCCUAUUUAAAAAAUCUAUUACGAUGAGUUAUGGAAGUGAUCAAAAUCAAUUAUACCUAUUCAAGAGAUAAGAGUAGUAUAUCUAUUCAAAAGACAGCUAUAUUUUAUAAGACAAGUAAUAUACGGGAAGGAAAGAAGUGGGGUUAAAAGUAUUAUAUGCUUGCUAUAAAGAUAAGAUAAGCAAUAUAUAGGAAGGAAAGGAGUGGAGUUAAGAAAGAAAACUUUAUAUAUAUUUUUAUCAAAUUUGCUUGCCGUAAAUGUUUAUGAACACAUCGAGCUGGACAACGUUUCCCACCCUGAAUAGAUGAAAGCUUAUACCAUCCCACUCUUUUUAAUUUGAUUAAUCAGCUGGAUUCUAAUAUUUUAGUAGGAUGUAAUAAAUUUUUUUUUUUUACCUAGACUAGGUUGCUAAAGAUCGUACAGAGUAGUACAAGUAGGUUAACCAAUUUCCCAUGAUCAUUAAAUAUUUGACCAAUUUAGUAGGUAAAGAACAAGAUUCAACCAAAGUUAAGCUCAAGGCUCACUUAACUAGUAUUCUAUACCAUGUAGAAAUAAAAUUUACUUCUCCAUUCAAUUAAAAAUAUGAACUUUCAUGCAUGCUUAUUGUUAUAAUUAUGACAAGUGUCACUUAAAUUUUGGUAACACCAUAAAAAUGGCCGCUAUAGCAUAAAAAUAUUUAAAAAAAUGGUCGUACAGUUAACAAAAAUUCAAUCUAUUUUUCUCAAUCAUUUGCAAAUUUAUGAUUUUUUUUUUGGCCUUCUUCUCUAAUUGGCUGUGAUUUGUACUCAUUGUAUUUAGUUCCCAUAUUGAAAGUCAAAAAAAAGGAUAAGGGCAUAAAAGAAAUAAGGAUAAAUAGGUAUUUCAGAUUUUAUGAACUAAUAAGGGCAUAAAGAGGAUAAGAAAAUUUAACACCACAAAAGUAAAAAUACUAAACGAUACUCAGAAUGUGUUUGGUUUGCAUUCCAAAAUCACAGUCAUAAAUCUUUCAUCAUUUUCCAACCUUGUUGCUCCAUUUAGAACCAAGUUGGAUUUCAUUCUAGUAAUUAUUUAAUCAAUUUGAAAUCCAAGUCAUUACAAAUAUUUUUGACACCUUUUUCCCAUUAACGGAUUUCCAUAAUAUAUAGUUUAUCAAAUAAUAGAUAUAAAUAGCCUCAAGAAAACAAUAGAUAGAGGUAUCAUUAACUUCAAUGCUAAUUCCUAACUCAUUUGCCAAAAACCCCUAAAGCUAACCAUUACAAGUAUGGAUCCGUUAGGAUUACAAGCAUGGCAACCAUCCGCCUGUCUAAUGACCCUAACCAGCGCUAUAAACAACGGUCUAAUGAACCUAAAUAAAAUAGUGCUGUAAACAACGGCCUUAUCAUUUCAUUACUACUAGUAAUACUGCAAGUGCUUUGCUCGUGGUUAUAUUUUCCCAAACUUUUAUGUAUUAUUUAUAAUGGAGUAUUUUGUGAAAUAUUAAUCAUUAAAACCAUAAAAAUUUUUCUUUCCAUCAAUCAUGCAUAGGGUGUACUUCAUCCCUAUAUAUAAAGAAAGAGUGGCAAAUUAUGAUGUAUUAUUAUUCAUGCUAACACAUAUGAAGUAAAAUCUGUUGAGUUAUAAUUUUCGGAUUCAACCUUCAAGAAUGUAGCAAAAAAUUAAUUAACUUUGGCAAGAGAUUGCACAUCUUGAGUGCCAAAUACAAAACAAGAUCUGUGGAGUUAUAAUUUAUAAAUCUAACCUUCAUAAACGGUAUCAAACAUGAUAGAGUUCUGGCUAUGUAGAGAAGUUUAUCUUGAGCUUCUCCUUUACAAACCAUUAAUACAAAUUAUGGCAGUACUAUGUUGGUUCCUUUUUAUAAUUUCGCCAUAUAAAGGCAGUAGUAAUAACGUGUGCAUGAUGAUGAAACCAAAUAAACAGAUAAGACCGGGACUACGAAACCAUAUUGUCAUUUGGGUACAUUGGUGCGUUGUAUCCUUAAGGUACAUUGAACUAUAAACGGAUAUGAGUAGGUGUGUGAUAUAUUGCUACAUUGUAAAUUUCUAAUAAUAGAAAUUUUUUUUUAGUAUGUAUCCUUAAGGCACACGAUAAGCCUACAAAAUACAAACGAUGGACCAAUUUCAAAUUUUAAAUAUCAUUAUCAACCCCCAAAAUCUAGGAAACUUUAGCAAUAAAUUUUAAACUUUUCCUUAACUAAUACCUGAUCCACCCCUUAAUUAUCAUGUGUUUUAAGGGUACAAAGAAUCCUCGUAGAAAUAAUAAUAUAUGGUAUCUUAGAACGAGGGAAUGCAAAUAAUAAGCACUUAGAUAAAUUUAGAGAUAAUUACGGUCAGCAAAUUUGUAUCAUAACCAUUCAUUACACUAUUCUUCCCAUACUUUAUCUUUCAUUAAAGUUUCUAACUAUGUUUUUGGCCCAUUAUUUCUGAAUGCAUUUUGAUCUAACAAUUUAUUUUUCUGAAUGACUUCUUAAAGAUCUUAAUUUACCAAAAUUAAUAUUGUGGAUAUCUCUUAUGUUCUAAAUUAAACACGAGUUCAGCACAACCAAAAUUUACACACAAAAUAGUUUAGAUGUUUGAGAAUUAAGAGUAUUUUUCAUGCUAACCUUUCUUCUUCUUUUCCUCCUCUAUUAGAGAUGUCCUUUGAAGUGUGUGCUGGAUGGACCUGAUUGAAUCACCUUAAAAAAACAAAAAUCCAGGCACAAGCAACUUAGCCUCCUUUACACUCAAAGAACUCAAAUGUUCUUUUUGGUAUUGUUUGAAUUUUCUUUAUUAGCUUUAUAUUUAAUUGUUUGUUCACUUUAUGCCAUUUAAUUAUUGAUUUUCAAUUCUAUGGAGCUUUCCUUUUUUUUGUGGAAAGUUUUGUAGUUUCUUUUGGGCAUUCCACUAAUCUGUGUUUUUAAACUCGGACCGGAUCGGACGAUCCGACCGGUCGAACCGAGAAGUGUUUGGUCCAAGUUGUUCUUCAAAAUCGAAAGACUGAAAACCCGGACAAAAAUCGGGUUUGACCGGAAAAAAACCGGUUCAACCAGAGCAUUUUUUAAAAAAAGGUUAAACUUUUUCAAUAUUAUGUUUUGACCCCUAAAUUUUUAAAACUUAUUAAUAUACCUCAAAUAUUUCAUACUUUAUAAAUGUUGUCCUAAAAUUUGAUGUUAUUUUUCAAUCAAAUCCAUAAUUUUAAUUCUAAACUUAUUAAUGUUCAUUAAAUAAUAUAAAUUGCUACUUGACUGUUCUAAUUUCUUUGUAUUUUCUUGUUAAAUAUAUUUGAAACAUCAAAUAUAUAUGAAUGUACCUUUAUUAAUAUUAACAUACUUUUAGGUAUUUUAUAUACAAUAUUUUAAUUUUAAAUAAUUUUUAUUUAUGACAUCAUCCGGUUCAACCCCGAUCGAAGCCGGUCGAACCCAUUGACCCCUGACCCCUGAGUUUGGCCGAGUCGAUAUCCGGUCCGAGUCUGAAAACAUAGCCACUAAUGAGAUUAAAUUUGCCAUUGGAUAUAGAAUAAGAAUUAUCAACCCUUAAAUUACUUCAAGAGUCUAAAUCACUGAAUGAUGCGACAAGAUAUAAAAGGAUUUGAAUAAUGGGUACUGUAUCCAAGAGGAACUGUAAUAUUUUCCUUUUUUUAGCUUAUUUGCUUGUUCUUCAUAAUGAAUUUUAAUUAUUGCAUUGUGUUAUUUCAUUUAUGCAUAACUUUUUAUUAUAACAAUUAAUAACAUGAUUGAUAUUCAUUCCCUCAUCAUUAUUGAAAUGCAUUAUAAUUAUUCUAUAGAGGGUAGUUUAGGUAUUACAAAAAGUAAGACAAAAUCUGUUUACACUACCUAUACUUCUAGACCCAUGAUACUUUUACAGGGAGUAUAGACAGAGUCGUGGCUUUCUUUUGCUCUUGAAUUGAUUACGUAAAUGACCAAUAGGGGUUGGUUCGAGUGGUAAGCAGUUUGGAUUAGCUUAAGCAUGUUUCGUGUUCGAGUCCUAGUGUACGCAGACACCCCUGUUGAAAGACUCACCCAUCAUAGCCAGGUGUGCGACGCAGGUCGGGUCCGGAUUAGUCGGGGCAAAGUUCGGAUACCGGGCGGUCAAUCAAAAAAAAGAAUUGAUUACGUAAAUGUGCAUAGCUUGUCCCACAUGUUUUUUUUUUCCCCAAAUAUCCUUGAAUAGCCAAACGAAAUCUUGUACCGUUCCACUCCUUUCAAAUUGGUUAAUCAAUUGGAUUAACAUUUUUUUUGGCCGGAAAAAAAUUUCUAUAGAUCGUGCAUUUUAUCAUUGAACUAGUGCAAAGUGGAUUAACCAAUUUCCCAUAGGUCGAGCAUAGCACUACUACUUGAUCUAUAAGACAUUCAAAAUUUAUCUUCCUCUCUCAGAAUCCUUCUUCGUCGAGGACAUGUAGCGCAUUAGUUGAACGCAGAUUCCUUAGAAUGCAUGGGAACUUAUUCGUUUACGAAAUGGGCAAUCGAGAGAGAGAGAGAGAGAGAGGCAGGAUUAUAAUUUCUCGAAGGGCCAAGAUCGACCAAAGGGUCGUAUGGCAUUUUAUGCAUUGAUCAGAAUCUCUUCAAUAUUCGUUGCUUGGUUAUAAAUAGAGUUUGGGAAUGAUCAGUUUUUGCAAUGCAAUGCAAUGGGUUGAUAGGAAGGUAAGAGGAAGAGAGGCCUUACAUGAAGGUAAAGGUCCUCAUUUGGUAGCCAAGGAUGACUUGCCUGCUCCACCUCAGGGGGUUUCUCUAAGUCCACAAGUAAACCCUUUGUCGUGGUCGCCAGGAAGUCUCCUUGGCUAGCCUGAGAGGCUCUUUUCUCUCAUGCUAGGUCUUCUUUUCCCCUGCAGCCUCUGCCACCUCCCAGUCCUUUAUGAUUUUCUUUUAUCUCUUGCAAUUAUUCAAUUUUCCAUUAACUCCUUCAUCGUCGUGCUUUGCAGUUUGAGUACUUGCGAUGAUUGACAAAGCAUUGCAGUUUGAGUAUUAACUUUUGUUUAUCAGAAGCGUUGAAAAAUUUUCAUCAUAACACCGAUAUUUUGCAUUUCGGUACGUAAAAGUAUGUCUUGCAUUGUUUUAGCAUCAGCCAUCGUCUACUCCUCGGAUAAAUGUCAGUAAGAUGGAUCGUCUGUUUCAACAUUCGACCAGGUUUUACAAUAUUCGAUCCGACAAAUUUUUGUUUUUUGGGGGGUGGGAGGGGGAGUAAUUUUUGUUGGAGAAAACCUUACAAGCGCACAAAUUUUAGUGCCCCUAUUCCCUGUUCCCUAGCAUUUAAUUUGUAAGCCAUGUUUACUAAUCCUUCCUUUCUGUCUGUCUUCUUUUAUUUACAGAUCAAUUGUUUUUUUUAAAAAAAAAAAAAAAAAUCUUUAUCAAGAAAACAAAGGUGAAGUUCUUUGAAGUAUUCGGAGCAGGACUCCAAACGUAGUAAGGUGCCUAAGAUUCUCAUGUAAUGGCAAAAUCCAAUUAGGUCACGAAUGAAAUUUAAUGCAGGAACGAGGAACGAAACAAAAACCGUUCAUGGGACGUGUCAUACAGCAGCACUAAAAGUCUUCAAACAGCUCUCCGUGCCUUGAAUACCCAACAUUUUAGCAGCACACUUGGACGAUUGUGGGCAGAUGGCAUAUUUCAGCAACACAACUACUUACAAAUCCAGAAUAUAUUAUCAUGGAGCAAAAUAUCAAUAAUAUAUUUCUGUAUGGGUGUGAUCCAAUGCCCACCAAGCCACCAUGUGUACAUUUGCCUCCCAAGGGCCGGGCCCCAAAGAUUUAUGGAUAUACACUGUUUACAUCCAAGCCACGAUUGAGGCAUUUAUGUCCGGAUCCCUUUAUUUAAUCCAUCCAUUGAACCAAAAAUAUCCUGCCAAGGAGGGGAGCCUUCAUGAAGCUUUCGUGGGAGCAUUAUGAUGACGAUGCGGAAUUUUUUUUGUCUCUUAAAGUUCUCAUACGCGGUGAAGUGUCACCUUACCUAGCUUAUCACUCAUAAGAAGAUCUUUGAUUAAAAAGAGCGUUUUCAAUUGACCAACCUUAUCUACUGCCGACAGAGGACACUUGUCACUGUCAUGCACAGCCACGUAACAUCUUGCAAACUGACGCGGUGUCGGUACUGCAUGAAUUCGGCUUACACCUGGAACGCUGUUUGUGGCUCUUCCUCUGCAUGCACCGGCAAAUCCUCAUAACUUUACUGAUCUUUUUGGUUGUUCCCUUUCUUCUUCAGCUUGCCUAUAUAAAAACAGGGUUCCGCUGCAACUAUUUCUCGUCAAAUCCACCCAUUUGUGUGAAGAAGUCUUAUCAGUCAGUCUCUGAUCUUUCACCUUUCAUUGAUUUGUGUUCUAUAUUCUACUUCCGCUAGUAGUUGAAAUUUGGCAAUUAAGAUGGCACAAUACGGGGCUGAAUAUGGCAACCAAAAGAGCCAGUACGAUGAGUACGGAAACCCAGUUCGUCAGACAGACGAAUAUGGUAACCCAGCCCGCCAUGGAGGUACCAUGGGUGAUUAUGGAACCACUGGCACUACUGGAGCCUAUGGUGGCACAGCUGGAGCACAUGGGACUUAUGCAACUGGAACCACCGGCACUACCGGUACCGGUGCGUAUGCCACCCAGCCUGGCACUGAUGUGGGGAAGGAGCACCAUGGCCUUGGUGGCAUGCUUCAUCGCUCUGGUAGCGGUAGCUCUAGCUCGGUAUGCCCUCCUAAUUAAUCUCGUCUUGCUUAAAUUGUACUGAGUUGUAGUAGCAUUUAACAAAUCUUGACCAGCUUGUGAUGACUGGUAAUUAAAAAGUUCUUAUCUGUUUUCUUUUUGUUUUUUCGGUUGGGAUGCAGUCCGAGGAUGAUGGGCAAGGCGGGAGGAGGAAGAAGGGGAUGAAGGAGAAGAUAAAGGAGAAACUGCCUGGCGGUCACAAGGAGGCUCGACCUGGACAAGAAUAUUCGAGUGCUACUACAGCUCCUGGAUACGGCGGGGAAGGAGAGCAGCACGAGAAGAAAGGAAUUAUGGAUAAAAUCAAGGAGAAAUUACCAGGGGGUCACAACAACUGAAGAUCUAAUUCUAAUAAUAUGGGAUCCAAUUAUGAUAUUGUGUACCCCUAUUUUCAAUCUCAAUCUCAAUCUCGUUCGUGUCAUGUUUGUGUUUUCUGAGAUUUGAGUGUGUGGACGUCUUGAGUUUCUGUAAUUGGAAUAAAGAUGAUGAUGAUGACUCUGUAGUGUGUUUGUCCGUAUAUUCGGCGUCUUGUACUCGGGUCAUCUGGUCAUGUAUGUAUGUAACAUGUUAUGUAUCAAAUACGUGAAGUUUUGCGUUACUUUAGCGUGUGAUCGCUUGUAAGUUGUAAGGAUUACGACUCUGGUCGCAUCUAUUCUUUUUUGUCUCCUCAAACCAUAAUGCGCUAACACGAGCAGUGCAAACAAGAUUUCUUAUUAGCAAUAUAACCAGUAGUAACUCAACCCCUCAGGACCUUGAAGUCAGUAGAGUAGUUGUAGGCUCUUGUAAUUGUACACCAAUAUCUCCAAAGUUUCCAACUUCACUAUAUAUUAGUUCCUUGAUCCAAUACCAAAACCAAGCAAGCAAAUGCCACACAGAAAAUCGGGACAGGGACAAGAUAUGGACCUAGCAAAUCAAUAGACUCAGUUCAGAGGUAUAUGCUUGCAUUUGCGUGGCCAAUCAUCAUUGUUUUUUUUUUUUAAUUUUUUUUUAUCAUUUUUUUCGCCGCUGGGGAUGUAUGAUGGUUUGUUGACGAGGAACAAAUCAGAGAAAGGGUAACACCUUAGCAAACACUCGUGUUUGCUAAGGGGAAAAAGACACCAAUUUCAGUAACAGUGAUUGCAACUUUUCUUGGCAUGCGGCAAUUCUUUCAGCCCCAAGGAGGGGGGGAAAAGUGUUAUCCUUGGACUUCACCUUUAGGCCAAGCAGGGUACACCUAAUAUUCAAGGAACGGUUAGUGACAAAAUGUGGCUGAGGGCCUGAGACUCGAUACGUCAGGGGAUCCAAAGCAGACCAUAAGAACCAGGCAAGAAUAUCAAUUUUACUAGAGAUGCGAAACCCGAGGAGAGAAAGAAACGACAUAAGGUCCUUUUGGAGAGUAUUAUCACAGAUGUGAAUGUGAUGCGAUGCGACAAAAAAAGUGAAUGUGAUGCGGCUUCAGAGUAGAAUAUCGUGUUAGAUUGCAGAGGCGAUGAACCACCAUCACAUCAUUGACUCUUUAAGUAUACGCUAUAUUUACCUGGAUUAUCUGGGAUUAACACACGAUAGUAUCACAAGCUUACUUCCAGUUCUGCCCCAACAAUGAAAGAAUCCAAACGGGGUUAAGGCUCAACCUACUGAAAAGAAUUCAAUGUUCCGGGAUAGGGGAUUCUCUUACUGAGGCCCAAAUAGAUUGGCUCUUUAAGUAAUUAUCUCAACCCUAACAAUUAAGAAUGUCUAGGCAUUUUCAUUGCUACCGUGGUUAACCCCAGGAUUCCAACUUCAAUCACCAAAAAUCACCACAGGAGCAUAUUCCUUUCCGGAAAUGGUGGAACCUCAAGUUAUCCCUAACAACUAUCUCCCUGCUCGUGAGCUGAGAUGCUCUGCUCAUUACAGAGUGGCAGUCCUCACAUAUUCUCAGGUUCUUGGUGAUUCUGAUAACACAAUUAGCACUUGUAGUUAGCAGGGAAUACGCCAAAGCGAGCUUUUCACUAUGCGUUAGAAGGAUCCGCUCCUUUUCUUCAUCACUUACAUCAUAAGGAGCAGAACUUAGUAUUGGCUGAUAGCCAUGGACCUUUAGUCUCUUAAGAAGAUCCUGUAGUGUCUGCUUAAUCAAUUUAGACUCUGGAUGAAUCGUGUCAUCAGAAUAGAAGUUGUGAAGUCCCCCAUUUUCAUCUUCAACCAUGCUAAGUGAAGGAGUUUUUAUUAAACGUUUUGCUCUUAUCAACUUCCUUACUCUUGAAACAUCUUCCCACCUUCCAGCUGAAGCAUAGAUAUGGGAAAGCAAGACAUAGUUUCCAAUACCAUCAGGUUCAAGUUGAAACAGUUGCUUAGCAGCUAUUUCAGCAACCUUAGGAUUUCUAUGAAUUCGGCAAGCUCCUAGCAAGGCUCCCCAAAUGCUGCCAUUGGGCUCUAUUGGCAUCGUUUGAAUAAGUUCCAGUGCUUCUUCCAGUCUUCCAGCUCUGCCAAGGAGAUCAAUCAUGCAAGUAUAGUGGUCAACAGACGGCUUAAUACCACAACCAUUCUUCAUCAUUCCAAAGAAAUGCUGACCUUGUUCUACCAAGCCUGCAUGACUACAUGCGGCAAGGACCCCGACAAAAGUCACCUUAUUAGGCUUCACCUCAACCUUCAUCAUCUUCUCAAACAACUCUAUUGCUUCUCUAGCACAUCCGUGCAUUGCAAACCCACCAAUCAUUGAACUAUAAGAGAAAACAUUUCGAUCCUUCAUACUCUCAAAAACCUUAAAUGCAUCCUCCACACUCCCACACUUCGAGUACAUAUCAAUUAAUGCCGACCCAACAAGGACAUUAUCCGUAAGUCCAAAUCCUGACUUCUCUGCAAAAUCCCGGACCCAAUUUGCGUACUUGAUUGCACCCAAUUGAGCACAAGCUGAAAUAACACUAGACAAGGUCACUUCAUCCGUGUUUACCCCAGAAUUCUGCAUUUUCUCAAAGUACUCUAACGCUUCCUUAGGCUGAGCAUUCUGUGCAAACCCUGUCACCAUCGCGGUCCAUGCCACCAUAUCCUUCACAGGAAGCCUAUCAAACAACUCGCUUGCCGCCACCAUAUCCCCGCUCUUCGCAUAUGCAACGAUCAAAGCUGUAAAAGAAAUGACGUCCCUCGUGGGCAAUUCAUCAAAUACCCUCCUAGCAAAAUCCAAGCACCCACAUUUUACAUACAUAUCAAUCAACGUAUUUCCCACAAAUAAAUCCUGGACAAACCCACCAAUCUUCAAGCUUUGCCCAUGAAUUUGCCUGCCCAAAUCCACAUUCAACACGCCAGUACAAGCCUUCAACAAUGCCGUAAAAGUAAAUGAAACGGGCAAAAUAUCAUCCCUCCUCAUUUGGCCAUACAAAAAUACGGCCUUUUCUAGUGGCCCCUGAACAGAAUAACCGCGGAUAAUUGCUGUAUAGAGAAAAGGGUUGGGGCAAUAUACCUGGCUGAAGAUCAGACGGGCGUAAGUAUCGAUGGGGGUAUUGAGUUUGCAGAGCACCCGAACGAGUUUUGUUAGGAGGAAGCUGCAUUGGUCGAGACCUUUUCUGAUGAUAUGAGCGUGGACUCUCUUGAUUUCUGUGAGACUAAUGCAGGAAUCGAGGAUUGAGACGAGCUGGGCUUCUAGAAGCUUUGUUUCUUGAAGCUUAGAGACGGGAAUGAAGGGUUCUUGGAGGUCCAGAGCUGGAGCUUUCGGUUCGUAGAAUUGGGGGAUGAGAAUUGCAGGGCGUCUAAGGGUUUUAAUCAGCUUCUUGGAAAGUGAAACCAUCACAUAUUUUGCACAGAAUUUGUGGACUAGAAGUGGCCGUUUGGGGAUGCAGAAGAGAGUGAAUUUUGUGUUGGCGCCAAAUAACAGCAAUCUGUUGUUAAAUUUGAGAGUAAACAAGAGGGUGUAGUCGUCAGCGCAAGGUAGUGAAGAAUUGACGCUACUAAUUGCCAAACCAAUUUUCUUUUUCUUUUUAUUGUUAUGCUUAGAUAAUAUGUAGAUAAUGAAAACUUGUAAUUUAUCUGCAUGAAGCAUAAUGAUUAUUAUAUGUUUACUUCAACAAAACUAAAGUUGUGAUAGUAAAAUAUUUGAAAAUUUUUUUUUUAAAAAAUAUUAUAACACUUUUUUUUUUUAUAUGAAGUAUGCGACAUAUAAGAAAUAAUAAAAAAAAAAUGCGUUAAUAAUGCCCAUAAAUACAAACAAGCCCAGUUCCGUAAACAUCUUCAAAACGUUGUGAAGAUAUUUAUAUUUCUGAGUUGGAUGCGCUUUAAACGGUUUAAUAAACCAACCACCAAAAAGAUAAAGGCCUCAUGAAAAAGACAACCAUAUAUAAGUUACUCGUGCAACAAAUGUUCAUCAUCGGGGCCUGUUUAUGAUAGUAAUUGGUAAAAGAAGAAAAGAACAGGAAAAUUUGCAGAGGGAAAAGGAGGUUAGUUAAUUAGUAGGGGCACUAAUCAUAUAGCAAAUAAUCGGCUUUCAUAUGACUAACCAACAUCAUACAGCAUAUAUAUAUUUUGACAAACCUACUAAUGAUGUACAGCUCAAACAAAAAAAUACCAAAGGUUUUCACUACCAUAAUGAGCAGCAGCAGAUUAGUGUGCUUUCUGGUGUGCCUUGACGUUCCGAAGCACAUCCUUCAGAACCGCUGCAAUUCUUUGCUCCAUAUGGCGUUCUAAAAACCUUUCUUUCACCCUCUCAUAGCCUCUCUUCCCCAUCGUCAGUCUCCUUUCAACAUGAGUAGCAAGUUUAACCAUAUUUCUCGCAAGAGGCAUUACUCCCUGUUUCCCUACCGGAUGCAGAAGACCUGUUGAUCCAUUCACCACAAUUUCUUGAGUGCCACCUGCUGCUGUUCCCUGAAAAUCAAGCCAUAAUCAAGCAGUCAUAAGAUAACCUAUACUCUGAAUCAACCGAAUGUCCUCAAGAAUAUAGAAGAGCUAAAAUCUCAUGCAUUUUUUACUGGAACAGAUGUCAGAGAUUCAGGGCAACCAUACCAGUACGGGUAACUGAAAUGCCAUGGCUUCAAUUGUUAUCCUCCCAAAGCACUCACCUCGUGCCUACAUGGAGGGAUGAGGAUGUAGAUAUUAGUACCGACACCGAGACCGAGAUCAAGAUACAUUUCACAAACACCCUAAAAAAGUCGUACAAAAUAGCAGACAAACUUGUUUCACAAUGAGAUUUUUAAAUUGUUAACAAAUUCACAACUAUGGUUCUCUUUGAGUCCUCCCUUAAUUGCAUGACGUCAUUUGUAGAAUUCAAAUCUAACAAAAGCAUGUAGAAUCACAUGCUCAUGGGUUGCAAAUCAAACAGGAAUAAAAUUUUUGGGAAAAUAUAUCUACACUAUAUACUGGACUCAUCUUUCAUUUGAAAUGAGAACUUAAUUUUACCACUACUGGACCCAUAUUUAGGCAAAAGGGAAGAGGGGGAAAUAAAAACAUCAAAAGUGAGCUCAGCAAUUGAAGUUCUAAGAAUGCAAUAAGUCGGCUAGUGUAGCUUUUCAACUGCCCAGGCAAAAAGGACCCACGAGAGAAAAAAUCUUUCCAGUGUUUGGUGCAAAAGGAAAAUGCGAUCAAAUUGACCUUUUACUACUUUUGCUACAUAGAACGUGCCUUUUUUGUGCAAUUUAUGACAUUAAACCGAAAAAGCUUCCAGCCAGCCUUCUAAAUAUUUGAAUAGGUUUUUUUAUUAAAUUUGAUUGGCAAUGGCAUGUUACAAUGUUCAGUAAAACAUACAGAACUUACAAAAUAAUAAUUAGGAACAGGUCACAAUUCCAAAUAACUUUCUCCUAUCUAGGACAUGGUGGAUAUGGUUUUUCUAACAAUUUUUUAAGAUUGUCGGCCGUGCAGUUUCUCUAAAUUAUACAUGUAUUUGGAGAAAAUAAAUAGAUAACAAAUACUGAAUGUGCAUGGGGGCAAAAGAACGUAAAUUGCAGCCAGAGAUUUGCAAAGUUAACAGCGGCAGCAGAUAAAAAUGAUUUACCUGAGAAUUCUGGACAAGAACAUCAAUUGCAGCAAGAUAAGGAGCUACAGCCAGAGUCUUAUUAACGAAAUGAACAUGACCCUGAAUCUUUUUAGAUUCAACAAAGGCCCUCAGCUCAGACUCAAAUUUGCUUUGAGCAUUUACAUCACUCCCCACAAUUGCAGCGUGUAUAGGUGGCACUUGUAGCUUCUGGUGCUUGAUGUAUAUUAGGCUCUCGUGAAAAGAAUUCAGAAACAAAUCUUGUCCUUUUCCACGAGAAACACCUACAGCAUUACAACCACCAAACCAUCAAACAAAAAUAAAAAUAAAAGCAUGAAUAUUUACUUAGCAAGUCUUAUAAGCAGAACAGACAAAAUAUUCACUGUCGGUGAUUUGCAAACAUCAGUACAACCUCCUCAUACAAAUAUGCCAAUAAGUAAAAAGAUCAUUUAUACAUAGAAGACUUGCAAAAUGAAGAUGCCCAAUAAAUCAAGUUAAGCCAAAAAAAAAAAAACUGGGUGAGUAUUCAUGAUUCUGAUCCUUUCAGGAAUCAAGCAUACUUGGUUGACGACCUCACUUACGGAGGCACCUCUGCAUUUGGUGGAAAGUACAAGACUAAUAUGCAAGGUGAGGAUCACAGGACUUAAAUCUUGACAAAAAUCAGGAAAGCUCACAGAGGGAGGGAAGCUGAAGCGACUGUUGAUGUGCAAGAAUUGAUAGAUGAUGAAUGUGAAGAAGAUUAUCAGACUUUCCUUGACCAUUUAAACUUUAAUGGCGAAAAAAUGGUUCUGAAAUACAAAAAGUCGAUGCCUUAUAUAUGACGGGGAACUAAAUGUCCAAACUCAACUCCGUGCAGUGUGUGUGUGUAUAUAUAUCCUUAAUUAUGAAUGCAACAGGAAGAAAAAUUCAUCCUAACGUGUCUAAAGCUCAUGAUUUCUUCUUAAUUUACCACAGCAGUUGUUUAAAUACAAUAUCAAGUCAGUCUCUCAAACAAGCUUAAAAACUCCAAAAAACAUUGUGGAACAACCUCCCCUAUACUAAACCAAAUCUCAAAUUCUUCUCACAAAAACAGCCCCCAGGUUCAACGGAAGCAUAAGGACCCCAAACAACCUCCAAAAAAAUAUGUAAAAAAAACACAUAAAAACAUUUUUUAAAAAAAAUGGACCCCAAACAACCUCCAAAAAAAUAUGUAAAAAAAACACAUAAAAACAUUUUUUAAAAAAAAUGAAAGUUAGUGCAUACUAUUUAUGAUGGCAAAAAGUAUAUCUUCAUUCUGAACCCCAAGAGAUUCACGAACAUGCUCCCGCAAAACCCUUUUUGCCACAGUAUCCUCAGCAACUUCCAUAAGUUCUUUACUGUUCCCAAGAUGAACAACAUAUGUUUUGGGCAUUUUGAUCCUAUAAGAGAUUGACAAAUACAGUUAAGAACAGUCAGAAUGAUGAAAAAUUGAGAUCGAGGGAAUAAUGUUGGACAGUAAACAUUGCCAUGAGAGAAACACACGAUCAAUAGUCAGAAAUCUUAAUUGCCCAUGUCAACCAAAUUUGUCCCUUACAUCUACAGGUUAUGGCCUUUUUUAAGACUACAUCCAUUUAGACCAGAAUUUUCUAGAAGUUUUCUGUAUCCUCAAAGAGAUAAAAAAAAAAAAAGGCACAGAUCAUGAUGGAUGCAUAGCUAAGUUUGAACCAGCUGCUUACCACAUCAGAAGUCUCAACCAUAAAAACCUUCCUCCUUUGAAGAUUAAAUUAAUAGAAAAUCGAUAUUAACCAUUCACCAAGCCAUACAAAGGAAUCAAUUCCCCCAAACAUUCACUGUUAAGGCUCCAAUUAUGAAAUUCAGCAACUCAAGAAUCUACUUUUCAAAAUUUUUGAGAUUAACACUGCAGCAUAAAUAAAUAUGCAUAGUAACAUUAUUAUGAAAAAACAUUUUAAUCGAUUUCAUCAAGUCAUCCCGACUUAAGGUGCUGCACAUGACUUGCAACACACUUGCACCUUCAUCCCCAUCUUGCCCCUUGCAAUAUCUUCAUGGACUAAAAUGUCAAUCAUGAACUCUAAUUCUCAUUGUCUUACUUUAAUUAUUUGUUAUCACAUCAGCUAAUUCAUCCAGAGAAUAAAAAAAUGAAACAUAGCAAAAAUAAAACAAGAGAAUCGGAGGUUGCAUAGCACUCCAGUUUUCUUGUUCUACCAGCUGAUCUUUACCAUAAGAAGAUUAGAAGUCCUUUGCUGGUAAGUUGUUAUUAAGAUACUUUUCCAAUUUCUAGCAAAAAUGAUAUGAAUGUUAACUGUCCUCCGCUAAAAUUCUCACACACUUCUAUAUCACAGUGCAAUAUAAGAACUGAGAAAAUCAGCAUAACUACCUUCUAUCUUGAUAAUUGACAAGAGCAAGAACAUUAUUUGUGUCAGGCAAGCUAGUAGUGGCAUAUCUUGGGAAGCACCUAGGGUUGUUCAACCUUGUACAUACACCUAGGGCUGAAAACUGUACUAAUCAUACAUCAUCACAACACGCUAAUGCAGUGAUCAACAUAUAAUGCAUGAGUUCAAAUAGUAAAGAAAAAAAACAAACAUAGAGCUUUGUGCAUGUUGGAAGCUGCAUUAAAUAGGAGGCCACUAAAAGAAGUAAGGAAUGACAUACAUAGAUGCCUACCUUAAUCGCUCCUGUGUCCUAUUCUUCCAGUAUUCUGCUGUGACAUGUGAAUCUAUCAUUGCACCAGCAACAAAUGGAAGGUGUUUUACAUAAUCCAAACUGAAGUAAUGGCCCCGCAUUUCAUGGAUCCACCACAAAGUUUUGGGGAGAACAAGAUGAACUUUUUCCUUAAGAACAGCAUCCAACCACUUUCCAGCCACAGCAGUGUUCAAAACCACCAGAUCUGCUUUCAGUGCUAUAUUUACGGCCUCUUGGCUUCUCGCCGAGACAAUCUGAGAUGUAAAAGGGGAAAAGGUGAGCAUACUGCUCAACAGUGUUUGAACCUCAUAAAAUUAGCAACCAAUGCAUCAAGUAUUUAGAAAAAUUGAUUCGUGUUGAUAAGGCUGCAUCUUAUCCAUCAUAAAAUUUUAUUUACCAGAAACAAUUAUAUUCGUGCAGAACGGAAAUCUUUAUUACCGUAACAUAUACUGAACCUUGUCACAUUAGGAAUGGAGAAAAUAACGCUGGCAAAUUCAUGGAUUAAUUACCUGAUAUAUCAAGCGUAUUGAAAAAAAAUGCAAAGCAUUUUGUUGAAAUGGAAGGGGGAGGGAGAGUGAUUGAACCAAUUGAAUACAUAUACCUUUUUCCUCUUUGUAAAAUUAUAUACAGAUGUUUGCCACUGAGCUGACAGAAACGAUAUGACUAACUAAAUAUAACAUUAGCAAACUCGAGAACAUCGAGCUCCAUGCAUUACUUUAGCAGGAAACCAUGACGAAAACUUUGACAAACAGGUUAAAAACUAAAGAGGCAAAGACUGCAUCCCUCAACAAGUAGACUCGCAAGAACUGUGAGAUUUCAUUGUCAAAAGAUUUAAGGAAUAAAAUAUGGAAAUAAAGAAGAUAGAUAUUGCAAAAAGAGCCAUGUAAGGUAGCUGAUUAUAAGCACAGAAAGAUUUUGCAACCUGCACUCCUCGAGUUAACAUUUUGUGCUCCAAACUGUAGAUGACACUGUCUGUUCCUGAUGGUCUCUGGUUUGUAAUCCAUUGAACAUCAGCACCAACACCUCGUAACAGAAAAGCCAGUUCCAUCAGCAACAAUGGUCCACCUACAGUGUGUUUCAGUAAAUGGAUUAGCUAGAGAUAAAGUUACAGAGAUACUAAUAAAUGACCGAAAGCCAGUAACUUGAAUAAAAGACCAACAUUAACCAAUCAAAGCUGAUUAAAAGACUGAUUAAAAGACAUGAUAGGUCACAUUUCCAGAAGGUUUAUAUUGUGGGAGGUGACAAGAAUAAGCAUAGAAUGAUUCUGUUGCAGGGGCACACUUAACCAUAUUCCAGAUGUUUUUAGAGGACCUAAAUGGAAUAACUUUAAAAAAUAUCACUUAAGGCUGAAGAGCUGGUUUAGAAUACAUAUUGUUUCCAUGUUAUUGCUAUGGGUUUUAAGUCUCUCAUUUGUUCAUGUAGAACCCAUCAAAGGAACUGAAAGCUAUUAUUAUACCUGUCACUUUCAUAAUGUUGCUUCUAGGAUUUAUUAUCCAGCAACUUCUGCCUACACACUUUACUUUUGAACAACCCCCUAUAAUCUCCAUUCCUGGGCAUUUACCUAUAUCCCUUUAUAUCCUUUAUUUACCAUUUCUGUUGCAAUUACUGCAAAUUGCACUAUUAAGAAAGUCGCAAUGGCAAUUUAUCACUUAAAACUUCAACAAACAAUCACUUAUGUGGUAUCAUAUCAAUACCUUCAUUUGGUUGUAACUUCUUCCCUAAGCGUACAUAGCCAGUCCAGAUUAUCACAUAAAAUCUCAUGCUAUCUUUUUCAAGAAACAUACACUUUAUGCCAGUUCACAAACUGAAAAAAAAAAAAAGAGGUAAUGAAACUCUAACAAAAUCGAAUGAAGCACGGAAGUUGCCAGAGAAAAAAAGACGGUUCACCAGGACAUACAGAAUCAUAUCUCUAGUAUCCUCUACUCAGAGCCCAAGUUUUGCUAGACCAAGACCUCAGUACUAAAUGUGCAUGAUAUCAAUGGCAAUCCAUGCAUCAGCAAACGGUAACUGGAUGGCUUGAAAUUACAUGCUGUUAACAACAUCAGCCUUUUUCUCCUUGAAUUUUUCAUCUCUUACCUCCUAUAUAUCAUUUUUUUCCUACCUGACCUGUUAUCCAUCUUUGAUCAAUACAAUAUAAUUUCCACUUGAAGGAAAAAGUUUUGCUGGAUACAUAUAUGUAAUGCACCAGCUAAAGAAUUACUACUUGGCUAAAUUUGCAAUAUAUCAAUAACAGCACCACAACUCAAAAUCAACAUUGAGUUAAUUUUCUAAUGAGAGAUGAAAAUAACAGAGGGGAAGGGGCAAGCUCUUCUUACAAGAUACCUAAAAAAACUCCAGUAACUCGAAUUGAAUCAUUAAAUAUACAUAAUUCAGAUUCUUGAGGAAACAAAAAAGAGUUCUCUUUUUUUUUUUUGGUUCUUUUGUUGAAGAAGAGACGGACCUGAAAGAGAAAGCUCAUGAGAGACAAGAAGCACGAGCUUAGACUUCAUAAAACUAAGUGGGCUGGGAGACGGAGCUGCGGUAACAAAAGGCGGCCGCAGCGGUGGCGGUGAGACGGAGCUGAACUUCUUCUGGGAAGGCACAGCCACAUCGUGACGGCAAUCACAAGGGGUAGAAUCCACGCCGAUGCCGGACCUGAUAAUCAAAGCAACAGAAAACAUCACCAGCACCAUAAUUAACAUCAUCCACCGCUUCCUGAGGAAAACAGAAGCCACGGAGGAGGACGACGGCGUCGGGUUGUGCUUGGCCAUCUCCGCCACUAGCAGUGCUUACACAAGCAACAAUGUUAGGGAUUGAUGAGGGAAUGAAAGGCGGGACUAAUGGGUUAACUUUUUCAGGCAUUUUAAGGGUGGGAUUUCUGGUGGGGAUAGGUGAAUGGGAGAGAACAUUUGUCACUUGAGAUAUGGGAAAAGUGAUGCCUCAUCACUUUUUUUUCUUUAAUUUUUCUUUUAACUUCCUGGGCCUGGGGUUUUUGGCUGGGUUUUUCCCAUGUGGAAGGGAAUUGAACUUUUUUUUUUUUGUCUGGGUAUGGAAAGAAUUUUGGUAUUCAACUUUCGCUUUCCCACUUCGAGCAGUAGAAGACGAGACGAGGAUAGGCACUGCACUUAAUUAGGCUGUGUUUUAAUUGCACACAUUCGCUUGCUCUGCCCAUCACCAUCAAUUUUGUGGUCUGAUGAUGAGAAAGACAAACUGCGUCUCUUGACCGAAAUGCCCCGUCAUUAUGUUGCAUCUGUGCCUCGAAGGAGUGAUGUUAUGACAUGUUUAGGUACCUUGGCUUAAUUUGGCAAUCAACACGAAUCAAUAUUUAUAUUUUUAGGAGAUUGCGGCCUUGCUUUUGGUUGUUUUAGACUUUACAAAAUUUAAAUUAUAAAAAUUGAUUAUAAAAUAAUUAAAAUUAGUAAAAACUGCAUUUUAGGUGAUUAUAGAUUCUAACUUUUUAAAUCAUUAAAAAAUUUAUAAUCAAAAUGCAAAAGUAACAGAAAACAUUAGAAAAAUUGAUUCAAAAUUUAUAAUUAAUUAAAAUAAAUUCAACCACGAACAAGUCUACGAUACUAUAUAUUUGUUCAAAAGUUACAUUGGUUGACUUUUUAUUUUUUAUUAUAGUGAUUGUUAUGUAGUAAAUUUGUUUACUCUUUUUUCGAGUAGAUGUUCCUUAUUAAUUGAUACUUGUAAUUAGCAUCAUAAUAGUUUUAUCAACUUUCAUCUCUCACAUCCAAUCUUUUUUUCCUUUUAAAUAACGAUUAAUUUAUAUGAAUUGGUCAUUAUUUUUUAAAUUUUUUUUGAUUAUGUUAUAAAUAUAACCUCUAAUUAUUUAUUUAUCAUUCCAAUGAUUUUUUAUUUAAUGUAUAUCAUACUACAAACAUGCUAUAGUGUUUUUUAAUAAAUAAUAUUCCAUCAAAAAUAUUUGGAUACAAAUUACUAAACCGUUUUAGUAGAAUUGUUAUAGAUGUUAUUGGACAGAAUUGUUAUAAAGUAGUUCUUCAAACUAACACGUGUGACAAAAAAAUUUUGGUCAAUUGUAAAUUUUCUUAAUCCUAACAUCAUAAAAAGUUUUAAAAAUUGUUUAAAAAAUUGUUUACUUGCCAAUGUAUAUAUAAAUAAUAUAUCACAUUUUCUUGAACACCAAAAUAGACAACAGCUACUAUUACAACUAUUUGCUUGUGUUUAUGCAUAGAUUCGUUAGUUGAUCUUCAUUCACUUAUUUAGAAAGAAAUAAUAAAGCCUGGUCAAACCAAAAAAUAAAAAGUUUGGGCAGUAUAGUCAUUUUGAUUGUCAGGAGGUUAUCUGAUGCAUCGUUCUAGGGGGGUUAUACGCCUUGGCUGGAACCGGACAGGCGUCUCUGGUUUGUCCGAGACGAAGGAGAAGAAGCAGCAGCUGAGCUGACUAAUGAGUAAUGACCAUGACAAACCCAUCAACAGCUUCUGCUAACUCUAUGCGUCAUUUAUUAAUCGCUGUAAUCGGAGGUAAUCAUUUAAUAGCAGCUCUAAAUCAACAUUUAAAGUUUCUUCUAAUCUCGAAGCAUUAUUGGUUUUUUCCUCUGGUUUUGAGUAUUUGUAAUAACUCAUACUUUUGUCGUCCUUUUUGCCUUUUGGGUUUUGUUCAGCAGUGGUCUUUCAUGCUCUGGAAGCUGUUUCAGUGGUUGUACCAAGUACCAAUUGCUAUGCCCUAGACAAUUCCAGUCGCAUUUAUGAUUUUGUAUCCUGUUAUAUUAAAUAAAGUUGCCCACUUUAAAUCUUGUUAUCUCUCAUUAUUAAUUCCCAUUAACGUAUGAUUACCUUAAGUAAUUAUUUGGAGUAAUUACGUCAUGAAGCUUUCCGUGCACUAUUUGUUUUCUCUCAAGUGAUGAGUAGAGCAGCUGGAUCGGAUACCCUUUUCAGUAUGAUGGGAAGGUAAUUUGUUCUAAGCUUUGCUCUGCUAUAUGAUGCAUAUAUAGGUCAUAAUCUGAAGGGCUAGAUAUCUAAUGGUUCCAAAUAUAUGCAGGAAGCUGACUUGGUCGUGAGAUUUUGUAAAGAUGUCGAGACUAGAUCACAAGCGGUACUAUUGAACUUAUCUUAUUUGUCUAACUAUGAGAGCAAUAAUUAGACAGUUAAUAUUUCAGGGUCGAUAAUUGAAUUGGACCCUUUUGUUUGCUAUUCUAUGUAUGCUUAUUUGCUUGCAUAUCUGAUGCUGCAGAAAUGGCUGAACUGAAUUUGAUUAUUGUACUUGUGACUGUAAACCGGCAGGGAUAUGUGGAUUUUGGCAGAUUUGACAAGUUAAAUCAGUUUGUUGCUGCUUCUGGAAAUUUUAAGUUUGUUCAAGUAAGCUGUGAUUGCUGACCCAGGUUCUUAACAGUUUAUCUCUUAAGCUGGAAUAGGUGACUGUUUGUUUGGUUCUAGUUCUCAAAUCUCCUGUCUGAGGUCAUAAAUACAGUCCACAGUUGCCUGAAUAGUCCUUACACUUGUUCGCUUAGUUGUGCUGCAAUUGAUCCAUCUCAUUUAACUCAUUAUGUAUGAUUACCAAGAUAGGUAGAUUAGCCUAUCCAGUAUGCCUUGCUGAUGAAAUCCUAGAUGUGGAAUUGGACUAACAUAAGCAAAUUUAAAGUUUUUUCUCACUGUAUACAGUCAUUAUGUGUGCAUAGCCUUUGUGGAUAGUGAAUGUGUUCUGAUUUGCUUUGCUCUUCUGAACAUUCAGCAAUAUUAUAAUGGUGACUUAACGAGCUGUGAGCAAAGUUUUGAUAAAUUGGGACGCACAGCACAGGUCAGAUCCAUUGAUACAAUUAUUAGUUACAAUGUGUUUUUGUAACUUUGAUUGCAUUCUUUAAAAUUUCAGUUUUAAUAGCAUGCCAACUGCUCUUAAGGAACGUUUUAAAAGUUUGUUCUUGUAAAUUUUUCAGGUCAGCAUCAUAUGCGGAAGUUGCCCAAAUGGGCAAUGUAAAGGUACUGAAAUAUUGCAUGUUAAGAAAGUUAGCGCAUUCUUGACAGAGUCGUUCUAUUUGGUUGUACCUUAGCAUACAUUAAAUUUGCUAAUGUUGUCAACAUGAAGAGUCUUUUUGCCUUGAACGGGUUUCAGAAAUGGUCUUACCACGGUGCUAUAAAGAUAUUCCCAGAAGACUACCUUUCUAGCAUAUUCAUUUUACUUGUUACUACUCUAUAAAGAUUUCAGUACCUUCUGCAAACUAUCAUACAUCAUAACUUACACUACAUAAAUCAGCACUUAAUGCACAUGAGGUAUAAACUUCAGUGAAUAUCUUUGCCAGAUUCAAGAUAACCAAUAUUUGAGGAUUUUUUUUCUGUUUAUUCGUUUUCCUUUUCUCCUAAGUUGAUUCCUAUGAAAGCUGGACCAUGGUGUACUUCUAGACUAUCAUGUUAUGGCUAUGGAUUUUGUUCAUCUAUUUUUGUUUUCUUCCCAAGGCUGCUAAUGACUUGUUGCAGAAUGGAUGAUAGCUUGUUUUAGUGAUGCUUUUAUUUUCUAUUGUGUGCUGAUGUGUAACUGCAUUAAACCCUGCUGCAAAGAGAAAAUGGAGAGAUGCAUAGUGUUAGCAGAAUAAUAUGUUUAUGGAUUGCAGCCCUUGAGUUUUAUAUUUAGAGUUUCCUGUGGUUUAUAAAUUUUCUAAAAUUUAUCUCAGGUGGUCUUGGAUGCAUAUGUGAUGUGACGUAUGAGUCAAAUUGCAGGUUUUUCUCAUGAUCUCCUGCUAUUUAGCUUUUCCAUUUGUUGGCUUUACAUGCAUUAUACAUAGCUGUUUCUGUUAAGGCAGUGCUCUUGUUGAACUUGCCAUUCCAUGCGAGAAACCGGGAGCACGAGUAUUUGAAGGCUAUACAGUUGGUUUUCAUCCACGUUCAUGGGAGAUUGUAAGAAGUUUCUCUUAUUCUCAGUGACAAGUGAAUAAUAUUUCAACUUUGAGUAAUUGAUGUAUGGAAUCCUUAGGUGUACAAUGGCAUGACUCAAUUAGGUUUUGAAAAGGCUCACAGCGAAUUCAGGUACUGAUUUUUCAGCUUUUGCCAUUUGCUAUCUCUUUUUUCAUUAUUCUGCAGUCUGCAGUGAUCGUAAAGGAAAUAAGUCCAGAAAGUAUAAAAUUUUUAACUUGGUCAUAUGUUUCCUUUGCAAAUCUGGAUCUAUCAUACUUCAACUUCUUCUUGCCACACUGGUGGUUGUUUUACAUGAAGUUAGGUAUCUAUUGUUAGCUAAAUUUAAUCUCCUUCCUUAUCAGACUUAUGUUGUGAAAAAUAGAUGAUUGUAUAGGGGUACAAUGUCUAUCUACGGAUUUGUAUGAUAGAGUAUUUUGCCAAAUAAUUAUUUGGAAUAAUUACUGUAGCACUUUUUGUGAUGUAAUGUAUGUGAGAUAAAAAGGUGGUUGGGAAUAUAAAAAGGUAGAUUGGGAAAUGUGUCUAUGAUGCAAGCGAAAAAUUUUUUGGAAAAAUUUGUUAGCCAUACAAAGCCGUAGGAUCUAGCAUCUAUUAGCAUAUUAUUGGGGUAUAAAUGAGGUGAUUGGUGUGGUUUAUACAUGUUGUAGGGAUGUUUGGGUAGAGACAUCACUUUUGGUGAUUAAUCUUACAUAGUGCUGCUCUUUGAGGAUUAAUUCAUAGUAUGGGCUUCAAUGACUUCUGUAUCUCAAUGAGAAACAAGAAAGAGCAUUGAAGGCUAUAUUAUCAUCCAUAGAAUUGAUUUCUAAGGACAACCAUGUUGGGUGGCUGUUACUGGCUAAAUAUUGGAUACUUGAGAUAUAAAGAGUUAAGCUACCCUUGUGGCAUUGUUCUUUUCUUUCAACUUUAGGAAAGUAGAGAAUUUGGCUUUGACAAGAUUCCGAAUUAAUGUCUUGGCCACUGUGAAGUGCUCCACACUAUGACCAACUUUCUUACCAAUCUAAGAAAUGUAACUAGAUCAGGUGCUUACAUCAAUCACUCCAUUGUUUUCCUUGUUUUAUUGCAGCUUGAGCACAGAACAAACUCAUGUAGCCCUUUACAUGACAGCAGUUGCUUCUCAAUCUCAUUUAGUGCAAAAACCAACAAUUAAGGUAAUUAAAUUUAUGCUGAUGUACGUGGAUGUGUUUCAACAGAAUGGUUUUGAAAUUUGGUAUGAUUUCCAAUCUUCUAGGUUUUCCCGGAGCAAGGCUUGGAAAUUAAGCUUUCAGGUUCAGGAGCAACUGGUGGUGCACCAACAACACUAUCACCCACCGUUUUAACCAUAGAUUGGACAUGUAUACAUUAUAAUAGCAUCUUUCCAUUAAGUCAAGCAGAGAUUCAUGCACAGUAUCUGCAUAACAAUUUGAGCUCUACUCUUGUUCCUCUAAACUUCUACUUUGCAUUUUUCAGGCACGGAGGCUCGUGAUGUGCCAUAUGAAGUUGAAGUCACCAUCCCAAUAGAGAAUUACGAUCCUAUUCUGUUUACUCUAGCAAAAACCUGUGGUAUAUAUCAUGGGGACAUCAUACAUGCAUGUUUAUGAGCAUAGCUCAGACGAUUUGAGUAUAGACAUGUACCAAUACACAACCAUGCAUUUUUCAUGUUUAUGCAAUUGAUAUAUGACCAUAUGGCACAUGCUUGUGUAUGUUCUUUUUCUUGCAUUUCUUAUUGAACUGUUUGCAAUUACAACUUCAUCUGUUUCCUUUCCCUCUUCAGCUAUUUGGUUUCAUUUCUGAAUAUUUUGUUUCUCGAUUAUAAAGUAUAUUCCAUAUUCCAGUACUUGCAAGUCAAACUCUUUGUUUAAUUUCAAAAUGAUAAUUGUAUUGCUGGUUUAUGUUUUCCGGAGUAGUACUUUCGUGUACAGUAGCUAUAACACCUGAUUCACAACUGUUCAAUAUUGCAGAAUAUGGGCAAAGUGAAGGUGUGGAUGCUACCAGUGGAUGGGCUAUAUUCGGGAUACUGUCGUGCAUGUAUGCUUAGCUACCUUUUUAGUGCUUGUUAUUUGAUUCUAAAAGUCUGACUGAGGCAAAUACUACCGAAAUUUAUUUUACUUUUUCCAUUUUGGUGCCUUUUCCCAGAGUUUUGUGUUCUAUACUAUAAUUUUACUUUCAAAUAUGCAUUACUUAGUGAUUUUUUUUUUUUUUUUUUUUAAUUUUGUUGAAGGGUGUACAAAUGGGAAUAGAUCCUUUUUUGCAUAACCCUGCUGUUCUCUUCCAAUUGAUAUUUGAAUAUGUCGGGUUGAUGCAGAUUCAUUGUUCUCUCAACAUUGUUCUGUGUCGGAGGGUUUGUCUAUAAGACACGAGUAGAAAACCAGGUAUCUUAGGGAAAAAGUUCUUCUUCUUUCGGAUCUGUGUCUGUGGAUUUGAUACAUUCUUUAUACUUAUUUACUUAAUAUGCAUCAUGUGUAGCAUGGACUUGAUGCUUUGCCCGGAAUGACAAUUUUAGCUGCAUGUUUGGAAACCGUAAGUCUUACUUAACAUCUUUCAGUAACUACUCUUGGAUUGGUUUGUUGAUCAAGCUGUUCUGUCCAUGGUCCAAAAUUUCAUACUUCCCUCCCCUUAUAUUCAAAUUGCAAAGGUCAAAUACCAGUACACCCACAGGCAACUCUCUGUUUUUUUGUAAAUGUCACAGGUCAGCGGAGCAGGGCAUUCCAAUAUACGUCGACCAGCGGAUGUUAAUGAUCCCUUCAUAAGUCAGGCUUCAUGGGAAAACCAUCCUCAAGGAACAACGAGAAGUAGAGACAAUAGAUAUGGGACAAUUUAAACUCGCACGCUUCAGCUUUUUGGAACAAUUUUGCAUACUGGUUCACAGGGAAAGUUUUGCCCUUUUCAGAGAGAAAUUCAUGCUGCAUUCCAAAAAUACCGGGUCUUCCUCCUAGGUCACAAACUCAAUAAACCGGGAGCAACAACUCGAAAAGAGACUAGGAUUUUGAUCCCUUCUCAGACGGUCAAACUUCAAUGUGAAGGAUACGUUAUUAUUGGCCGGCAUUCUCCACUUUCUUUGUCUGAGGGUGAUGAUUCAUUUGAUUUAACUAAGCCAUGCGACAAACGCCAAAAUAGAGGAUUAGCCAUCUCUUUUUCGUCUCCCUGUGCCUCUUUUUUAUACUACUACUAAAUGUAAUGUAACGAGUGUGUUUGGAUUUAAUUGAUAUGUCAGACAAAUUAGAGCGGCACUUCUCCUACCCCACCCAUAUUCAUAUCCUUUACUGGAUCAUUAACCUAAUUAGAGGUGGCAAUAAUUGGUUUUGACUUAACGGAUGGUGGAUGAAAUUUAUCCAAUCCAUUUAAUAAAUGGAUGGAUCUAAAUGGAUUAAAUAAAAAUUAAUUAUCCAUUUAAAUAUUAUUUAUUCAUUGGAGCAAUUGGUUUGUGCUUUGAUUUGUAUAAUUAUGGGAGGCUGCCCAUUUUUCUGCUAGGCCCUCUCCUUCAAGCAUUCGAUCCACAUCCGACAUCUUAGGCCGGUGGGCGGGGGAGGUAUUGAGUGCAAAGUAGAGCAACUUGGAGCAUCUCACCCACCUCAAUCCGGUCACAGUUGACAGCCAAUUCUCUAUCCCCCAAAACUUCAAUUUUAUUUGAUUUUUAAGUAAAUGGAUAUAUAUGGUUUUCAUGGAUAAUUCAUUUAAUUUAAUGGUUUUACUUUGAUCAACCAUUUAAAAUCAAUACUAUAAAUGGGAUAAUCCAAAUCCAUUUAAUUAUGGAUUAUAUGGAUGGAUAAAUGGAUUUCAAUCCAAAUUGCCACCUCUAAACCUAAUAUUCUGACCUCCUGUUUAGGACCGCUCCUCCAUUCUUGAUUCUCGAGGAGCCCAGCAGCAAAGGAACAUUUCCAAUAUCAAUGACACUUUUACGCGUCCAAAUCGAUGGGAACGUGUGUGCAUGAACCCAUGGUAAAGAUUGCCCGCAUACGUACAACACAAGGAUGGGCAUGGAUCCCCAGCUACCUUUACUUCUUUAUGCCGCUGAAUUUGAAUCCCGCCACACCAAAUAAUGAAAAUCAAACACGCAAUUUCACAUUAAAAUUUAGUCUCUGUUUUCCUUGCCAAGCUCCAUGUGCCUGUACAAAGAUAAAUUAUUUGCAAUCUCUUUUUUAUUCCAGCUCAUUUCAGCAGUCAAGAAUGAAUAAUUAAUGGACACCGACACAAUCUGUUAGGGGAACCAGCCAAUAAUGAUUUUUUUGAACCAUCCAAUACAUUUCGUCAACAGAGCAGGUACUUCUACUCCCACUCCGUUUUUCUCAAUGCCUGCUGUUUGUCAUCUUCUCACGUUUAUAGUAGCUUCAAACCGGGAGCAAAAACAAACAAUGCGUGCGGUUGGUUGACCGAAUCAACUCUCAAAUAUUUAACCUCUCCAAAACAUUUUCUUGCCAACGAAAUCCCAAUGAUGUUUCUGCCCUUAAUUCGAGGAUUACUUCAUUCUUGUAAGAGAAUCAAGAAAAUACAUCAUCGUUUUUUCCAAAUAUUUCAACAUAGUAUUACUUUUUAAGCCCAUAGCUAACGACGAACUAAAUUCCUAUCCUAUCCUAUCACUUUCAGCCAGAAAAUCACUUCCUGGAUGAACACUUAUUUACAAUUCAAUAAUUUUAACCUUUAGUUGCAAUUAUUGGUGCAUGAUUGCAAGACAAAUAUUCUACUGGAGACGUAAAAAAAAAAAGUCAGAUUGAUUGGACCACACAAACACACAUAACGGAUAGGAAUGACUUUUAGGGUGGUCAGGUAGCACGCAGGCUAGAGUAGAGGGCCGAUAUCAGCAAUCUGUACUGCGAUGGCAGUGAAACUGGAAAUCUGAUGCGGUAAAGCUGUCCGACAAUGUCUACGUCAAUUCAUUUCCAUGUGUUAAAAUUAGACAGCAAAUUAAUCGUGCUAUUCCAAAAGAUUAUUGCUUCACUAAACCAUCACAUGAACGAGUACUAAGCCUAACUAAAAUUCCACCAACUCCAUGAUUCUGUCUCCAAAUUUCGUUUCUUCUUCAUUUUUUUUUUCUCUUUUCUUUUGAAGUUUGUUCUAUAAAUAACCAUAUCAUCCAUCACAAACCUUGACAUAAAACGAACUCUCUACACAAUCUAAGCGUCCUUGUAGAAGUCUUCAACCUUUGGUCUCCAAGAGUAACAACAGAGAGUUAACGAAAAUGACUCGGCCCAUGAGCUUUCUGAUUAUUGCAGCUAUGCUAGCUUUUGCACCGCUUUGCUUGUGUGGUAUGACAAGCGGAGGCUACCUGUAUCCUCAGUUCUAUGACCGGACUUGCCCAAAAGCUAAAGAAAUUGUGUAUUCCAUCGUUGCGAAGGCCGUUGCCAGAGAAGCCCGUAUGGCUGCUUCAUUGAUUAGGCUCCAUUUCCAUGACUGUUUUGUCAAGGUUUGUGCAUGCAAACUCAUUUACUCAUCUUCAGCAGCACACCUACUUAUCGCUUAUUCAGUGAUUAAUACACUUGACUAACCAAUUCUUCUUCCUGUUUCUGUUCUCCCCUUUAUAAUAAGGGAUGUGAUGCAUCACUACUCCUCGAUAGCAGUGGAGCCAUAAUCAGCGAGAAGAUGUCGAAUCCAAACAGGAAUUCAGCCCGUGGAUUCGAAGUCAUUGAUGAAAUUAAGUCUGCAUUGGAGAAGGAAUGUCCUCAUACUGUCUCUUGUGCUGAUCUCCUGGCUCUUGCUGCUAGAGAUUCCACUGUUUUGGCAAGUAUCAAGUUCUUACUAGCAAAUGAAGUUAUAAUUACUGCAUCACUUUCAGGAGAGCUGAUGGUAAAUGCAUUAUGCAGUCUGGUGGACCAAGCUGGGAGGUACCAUUGGGAAGAAGAGACUCCAGAGGUGCCAGUUUGAGCGGAUCCAACAGCAACAUUCCUGCCCCAAAUAACACAUUUCAGACUAUUCUUACCAAGUUUAAGCUUCAAGGGCUUGACAUUGUUGAUCUUGUAGCAUUAUCUGGUAAUAUACCAAGCUGGCACAGUACACACAAACAAUAAUAUAAACUUCACUUGAAAGCCGGUAGAUGCCACUAGAUAAUGAUCAUAAUAAGUUAACUCCCACUUAAUUAUCCCUUUCCGUUUGAAAAUUUCAAAAAGGGAACCCAAAAAAAAGUAUGGGGGCUUUCAUAUAUGAAGUGCUCUGAUUGUCCUGCAGGAAGCCACACAAUCGGGAAUUCAAGAUGUACCAGCUUCAGGCAAAGGCUUUACAAUCAAUCAGGAAAUGGGCAGCCUGAUUUCACCUUAAAUCAGGCAUACGCGAACCAAUUGCGGACCAGGUGCCCAAGAUCGGGUGGUGACCAAAACCUGUUUGUCUUGGACUUUGUCACCCCAACAAAAUUCGAUAACAGCUACUUCAAGAACUUGCUGGCUUCAAAGGGCCUAUUAAAUUCUGACCAGGUUCUUGUGACCAAGAGUGCUGUAUCACUACAGUUGGUGAAACAAUACGCCCAGAAUAACCAACUCUUCUUUGAGCAAUUCCCCAAGUCCAUGCUCAAGAUGGCAAACAUUUCACCUUUGACAGGUUCCAAGGGUGAGAUCCGCAAGAACUGCAGGACGGUCAACUCUUAGUCUUAAGACUACGUAGUCAUAGCUGCCAAAAAACGGCAUGUCCUAAUCUUUCUGUCACUCAAGCAGUCAGCAUCCACCUAAUUCUCCUCUCAGCGGCCGGGAACACCUCAGCAGUCAGCACGGGAUCAUCCUAUCCGCUCUCAUCUUCCGCUACUUAUUUAUUUCAGCUUGUAUUAAUUUUCAUGGAGCUUUGGCCGCAAUUUGUUGUUGUCCUGAAUGAAUUUCAAUGCUUUUUCCUCUUUUGCAUUUUCCAAGUUUUCGUUUCUUCGGGUACCUGACAACUAUCAUCUCAAAUUGGGCACUUUGAACUUACCCGUGGCGGAUAAUCAAAACUUGAACUCUGGAUUCACAUGUUAGAACUUUGCCUAAUGCCUCCAAGGGCAAAUACGAGCCCAGGGACAUUUUUUUUGGUCGGAACGUACUCUUCAUCUUGGAUAAUGCCUAAUGCAUGGGCACCAAGAUACUUCUAUUCAUAUUGUCAUUUCUUGUGCAAAAGAAAGAGCACUUUAAGAACACAGAGCUAAGGGAAUGGAUGUCCUCCAUUAAUGCCACACAUCGAACUUCAGGGCAGUUUCUUUGCUGGAGGGCUUUGAUUAAAGCUUUGUUGCUUAUCCCUACUUUAACUUUCCUCCAGUUUUUUCCGAUUGCUUUCAUUAGGACCAGUCUAACUGCUUCUGCAUCAUCCUGCAUCGAACUCUUGGAUGUUCUUUCUAGUUAUCUAGUUAUUGUACGAAAAUUUGAUGUAACCGUGACAAAAUAGAGUUAUGUAGCUUUCGAGAUUGGAAGACUAUAAUUAAUUUGGAUUCUAAUGCAACCAUAUACUAUUUCCAGCGAAGAUAAUGUGGAACAAAACAUCGACAGAUAAGUAGGGAAGUCGAGGAAAACCGAACCUUGGCAUCUGCUAUAUAUAUAUAAUCCAGCUAGGAAGGCAAUAUUAGACACGCACAAAAACCAAAAUGCUGCAAUUUGGUGGAGAGCGCCUGGAUAACAGGUCAAAAGACCCUGGUUUCACAUUGCUACUAGCAGUAAGAUGAAAUGAGAAAAUUCGACUUUUCCAACAGUAAAAGAAAAACUUCACCAUCAAAGAUCAAGGUCAGAAACUUUAAUCAGCAAACUUGAUUUAAACUUCCCAUAGGAGUAUCUACCAGUAGAUUUUAACAAAUUGACUUCAGCAAUUCGUUAAUUUCUAACUAGUCUAGAGCUAGAAAUGCUGCAUGGAGCUCAACAUGGUAAAAAGUUAAAAGUCUAUCUACAGCAAAGGUGUCAUUAAACUUUUUUUACAAAUCAAGUUCAAUAAUAGUUUAAACAGCCUAGUAACGAGCAAAGCUGAACUACAGGAGUCCAUGCACAAGAGACUUUCGGCAGAAUCCACUUGCUUUCUCCUUCAGAUCCACAACCUUUUUAUCGAUCUCCUCAGCCUUGUUCUUCAUUGCUUCCAGCUCAACUUUUUCCAAAAAGAUCUUCUGUUGUAAGACACCCAGCUCUUCCUCCUUUCUUGCAAUCAACUCAAAGUUUCUAGUCCUUUCUUUCUUCAGGCUAAAAUAGUCCCCAAGUAUAUGUUUAGCAUAAGAAAUUUCAUCUAUCUUCUGAUGGAGCCACUUGACAUCCAGCUUCAUGCACUCAAGAUCAUGAAUUAGAUGAAGCAAGUUAUUGAGCUCAAAAGAUGUAAUAUCAAGAAAUGCAGAGUUUUCGAGCUUUUGGUAGAUACCACAGACCAUUUCAAGGAAGAUUCCACGGGUUUUUGGAGACUCCAGAAUGGAGUUUUUAGCAAUGUCACCAUAUUUUGCAAAGAUAGCCCUAAGUAGGGGUGCGACUUCUUGGUUCACUCUAUACUGAUGUACUGUCACCAAAGCAGGAUCAAUUGCUGACUCGACCCCCUCAUUAUCAAGAAAAUCAUCAUUGGACAUAUGAGCCAUCUCAGAAAGGUUAAAACUUGGACAUCUGCUUAACUGGCUAUUUUUUUUAGUAUGGCUGCUUGUUGCAAUCUUCUCUGGUACUUCAUGGAUAGCAUUUGAUCCCAAAUUGGCACCAGUCAUGUGCAAAUUUUUUUCAGUUGAGUUCCGCUCAUUAAUGAGCGGAACAAGUGGAAGGAAAUUUUCAGGUCUUUCAGUUUGCGAAAGGAGAUUUGCAGUAAACUUUUCCACAUCUAGCCUGUCCCCGCUGCUGAUUGGAGCAGACCAUUCUUUGGUUGAAGCAGAACUUCCAGCAUUUUUCAUGCUUUUACCAAUUUCAGCACUGGUACUUGAGUGACUUAAUGAGGUAGCUGCAAAAGUAGAGACCUGUACACCAUAACACCAUCAUAAGGUCUGAUUACUGAAUGCUUCCAGAUUUACAUAUGAAAUGAAAUCAAUGAGGCAAUCAAGUGAAUAAAUCAAUUGUUAUUAGAAUCUUAACAAUUUACAGAAGUUACGAGGACAGACAAGGCUGAAGGCCUAAUUUCGCGUUACCUGAAUUUGAUGAGGGAGUUCUGAACUGCAUUUUUCUAAAGCUUUUACGUCUCCACCAGCUGGAUACAAUGUAUUGUUUGCCUCUAGCAAAACCCUCUUUGCUGUGACAUAAGAUUGCUUGGGAGUUCCAAUUUGGUGUCGAAGUGGAAAAGUGAGAGAAGCCGUGGAACUAGGACAUUCAUGAGGGACUGCAAAUGAACCUCGAGUUGGAUACCUAUGCUUUGCAGGCAGAAUCACUGUGUCCUAUAUAGACAUAUCAACAAAUUUAAAGCUCUUAUAUAAAUAGCCAAGACAAGGAACUGAACAAGUUUGUCUAUAGUAAUACAAAACCUUUAAAAUAUAAUUCAUAUACUAACGCUUUGCAGGGAAAAUUGCUGUGUCCUGUAUAGACACGUCAAGCUAAAGCUCUUAAGCCAAGACAAGAAACUGCACAACCUUGUCUAUAGUAAUACAGAAGCUUCAGUAUCUAUUUUAUAUACUCAGGUUCAAUGAAAAAAAUAUCCUUCUUUUUCUUUUUUUUUUGGGUUUUUUUUUGGGGGGGUGGGGGGUGCAAUCAAGUCUAAAGCUUUUAAACACAUAGCCAACUUAGGAUUACAGUGGAAAGGGGAUAAUAGCUUUCUGAAUAUGCUUAACAACCUACAACUAAUAGUCUUAGGGAUGUUAAAUAGUCCCACUGCAAGGGAAUAAUAGCAUCAUCUGCUUCUUUUAGUCUGUAUCUUUUUGUGUAAAAAAAAAAAAAAAAGAGUAAAGCAACAUACUUGAUCCUCUUUAUCAGGUAUGAGAAGAUAAAAUUCCAGAAAUACUAUGACAUUGCAACACUAAAGCAAGAAAUCCUGUGCAAAACCAUUAAGAUUGAAGCGCAAUGUUGCAGCGGAACUAUUUAUCACUGGUUAAAACCAUUGAAGUUCCACGAAAGUUGAAAUCUUUGCAGAAUAUAGAAACCAAAAAUAGAAGUUAUUUCUCCACGAAAUUCAAGAUGAAGGACCAAAUGGUCUGAUUCGUACUACUAAAAGGUUCAAUGAAUAACUAUCAAAGGGGCAAUGCAAAGCCUGGUAAUCAAAGAGAUUACACGAUCAUAACAAACCCCAGAAAGCCAUUGCUUGAAUGGAAAAGCAAGAACACCAGCAAAUUAUGCUGUUAAAAAAAAAUUAAGAAAAGCAGUAGAUAGAGAAUGUGGAUUUUGAAACAACCUGACGAGGAGGAAAUGAAGGUAGGAAGGGGUCAUCCAGUUGCAUUUGGUGUAGUCCACCACCACCACCACCUGCAGCAGCCUGAAGGCUUUCUUGAAUUAAUACUUCUUUUCGUUUUCUUCCUCUCUUACCAGGGCCAGCCAUUCCUAAUUUCUCUAUGCCUUCAGGGCCUCUCUCAAGGCUUUCAAGUUCGACGGAGAAAAUCUAAAAGAGAAAAUACAGCAAGCAAUAAUCAUAUGCUGUUGCUACCGCCAGUAAUAUACAACUACCAGAGGUACCAUUUGCAGUAACACACAGCACCAGACGAGACACGUUUUUGCGCCAGCGCAGGCAGUACGAGUCUCGUGCCUGCAGCCUGGCGUGUUUGCAUAAGGGAUUAUUUAAAAUAUUAUUUAGAAUAAAUAUAAUACUACUCUUUUUUUUAUAAUGUAAUAUAUAUGAAAUAAAAAAUUAAUUAAUAAAAUAAAAUAAUAUAUUAAAAAUUAUAUUUGUAAUAUAAAUAAAUCAUUUUUUACUAUUAUUUGGGUAUUCAAAUACAUAAAUGAGUGUGUUUGAAUAGAGUAUUAUUUAAAAUAAUUACUGUAAUAUUUUUUAUAAUGUGAUGUAUAAAAAAUAUAAAAUAUAUUAAAAAAUAUAUUAAUAAUAUAAAUAAAAUAUUAUUUAAAAUAAAUUUACAAUUCAAACACAUUCACGUCAAAUACACACCGUAAUUUUCAAAACAAGUAGUAGUAGUAGUAGUAAUUAGUAAAUAGUAAAAGACAAAACCAUUGACAAAUAAAAAGAAAAGAAAUAGCUAUUGAUGCUAAAAUGUAAAGCCUGCCUCUCAGUCCGAGAAAGCAAGGCCCAAACAUCCUUCCUAAAUCCCAAACCUUAAACCCACAAAAAUUUUCUCCGCUGGUGGGAUUAGCCCUCCCUCCGCAGUCCUCACUCGAGCUGCUUCUAAACUCACUGCAAUUUAGCAAUUUUAAAGCCAUGCUUCCGUAAUCUGUGAUUUCUUCACUCCCCAUAAUAGAUUGCUCUAACAAUGAGGCAUUUUUAUUGCCGGCUCAUUUCUCAAUCUCUCCGGUGCUUACAAUUUAAUUACACGAAAACCCACGUCCCAAAACCCCCGAUUUUGAGUCCCAGAUUCUCGAACUUCACGACCGUAGCUGAGCAACCAAAGCCGCCGCCUGCACCGCCGGCUAAUGUGUCCGCAAUUGUAGAUGAACUUUCGGGACUGACGUUGCUUGAGGUUUCGGACUUGACGGAGGUGUUGAGACAGAAAUUGGGGAUUGAGGAGAUGCCGGUGAUGGCGGUUAUGAUGCCCGGAAUGGGGUUUAGUGGUGCCGGAGUAGGAGGAGCAAAGGGGAAAGGUGGUGGGCCGGCUGCCGCGGCUGAGGAGAAGAAGGAAAAGACGGCGUUUGAUUUGAAACUGGAGGGCGGAUUUGAUUCUGGGGCGAAGAUCAAGAUUAUUAAGGAAGUGAGAGCGUGCACUGAUUUGGGAUUGAAGGAAGCUAAGGAUUUGGUGGAGAAGGCGCCCACAUUGUUGAAAAAGGGAGUAACCAAAGAGGAGGCUGAGAAGAUUGUCGAGAAGUUGAAGCAGGUUGGGGCUAAAGUCACGAUGGAGUGAGGUAACUGCUUUUGCAUUCAUGCUUAUUCGAUUAAGCUUGGACAGAGUUUAAGCUAUUGGUACUUUGUUCUUAUGAUUCGGGAAUUUAAGUGCUUAUAUUCCAUUAUGAUGAAUUGGGUGUCUCAAUAACUGAAUUUGUUGGCAAAACUGGCUGCUUUCAUAUUUCAGGAUCUCGUUUGAUAUAGAUUCUGAACUUGUCAUUCAGGCAUUUGUAGAAUGAUGCUAUCUUUGCUGUUUUUGUACGGUCUUGUCCAGCUUUUUUCGUGGAUAAAUAGGUUUUAGCCAUAUGAUGAAUAAAAGUAUGGAUUUUGUUGCGUGCAUUGUCUGGAGUCUAUCACCUGAAUUGCAGUCACACAGAGUUCUGCCUGCUUUCAUAACUCAAACUUGUUUCAGUUGCAGUUGGGCUUGAUAAAGUUUUCGUGUUGUUAAUUAGGAUGGCCAAAGAAGGCAAAUGGAUAGUGGAGAUGUCUAAUAACUUAAUAAGAAGGCAAAUGGAUAGUGGAGAUGCUAUGGCCAUAUACUUUGAUCUGGUCAAAUUUUUCCUGACCAUAAUAGGAAUAUAGUUAGACAGAUUUCAAGUUACUUUCAUUUGGAUUUAAGAACUAUCCAUUUUUUUGACUGAAAAUUCAGGAGGACAUACUACCUUGUAACUUGUAAGUGGUAUUCUAAAUGGUGUCUCAGGAAGCACAUUGGAAUCAUUAUAUUUUGUGUGAAGCUCAAUUGCCAUGGGGCAUCAUGGAGGUGGGGUUAGGGCUGUCAUUUGAAUUUUAAUAAAGAUGGUCUCUAUCUCCUGUACACCCACUUUCCAUGUCAUGGUAGUAGGAGUAGUGAAGGUGCACGCAGUGUGGCAUAUUUAAGAGUUCAGGGUGUUCAUUAAACUCAUUAUAGAUAUUAUUUUCUUCCUGGCUUUCAGAAUAAUUUGAAUUUACAAUUACAUGUUGUAAAGUGCUUGGAUAUUUGGAACUUUUUAAUGGGUACUGAUUUGCAUAUUACGCUUUUUGUUCAGGAUUUUUCCAUUUUCAAUGCUAGCAGCAUAACAACUUCUAGAGGUUCCGCUCUGCAACCUGAUUCUGCUGCAGUUGAUGUAUUAAUGAAGUUAUUGGUUGAUAGGCAACACGUAUUAGUUUGACCUUUGAUCACCGAGAGUAGUAUUUCUGUAACUCCUUUUAUUACGAUUAAGCUCAAAGUGUAUGGUAAGCUUGAGUUACAUUUGUUACAGCUCUGCAACCGAAGUGAAGUAUUUCCAUUUGGGUUGGUUGUUCAAGCUGCAGACAACGCAUAAUCUUUCUUGUUUGGGCUAGCUAUUAUGAAAUUCAACAGAUUUAAGAAGUUUCUUCCCAUACGUAAUUAGAUUGAGUCAAGGUUGUUACAUUUUUGAAGUAGCUUUGUAUGACCUGAACAUCUUCAGUAUUUGUCAUGAUGGUUAUCGUUCGAGCUUUUAUCUUUCUUAUGGAAUGCUUAAAUUUCUGAGAAACUACUUGUAUUAUAAUAUUAAGCAUUUGACAUGAGAUUUUACAAUUAUUUUGUUGUUGUUCAGUUAUUGUUGGUUGUGGCUGAUUUUUGACUUUACUCUCUGAUCUCUAAAGCAAUUUUAUUGCUGAAAACAAUUGAAUGUUGUUCCUGAAUUUACCUAUGAUGGCUGUCUCCCUUGCCACGAUGUAGUAUAACAGGGCCAAAUCAUGCAUGAUUUCUGCCUUUUGGUCAUGUGUAAGGGGCAUCUCCUGUCUUCUAUUCGGGACAGGAGUACUUUUAUCAUUAUAAGAACAGAAGGUUCUAAGCUCUCAAGUAGUUGAGAAUUUUUGGAUCUUGACUAAGACAAUGACUAGUUAUCUUCAGCUAUUAAAUUAAAUGUAUAGAUUGGUUUGCAUUGAUUCUAUGCCUUCUUUAAGCUGGCAACCGAAUACUGUGACUGCUGCAUCAAGAUAUCCGACUUCUGGAGGAUGAAAGAUAUUGUGGUAACCUUUUAGUUUUAGGCGUUGGACCGUCUUUACUUUCCCUAAUGGUAUGAAAAACAGUUAAUCACAAGUCACAAGCUGAGAAGCACCCUUGGUCUUCUCGCGUUGCUAUUGUCCUUCAGUAAGUGGUGGAGACCUGAGCUUUCAAUGCUGGUGGUGCGGCGUUUUCUGGCCCGACGACUCUGCUUCAUUCCAUCCAUCCCUAGUCCAGUUUUCACUUGCAAAAUGCAUAAAAGCAAGAAAGAAAAAGUUGCCACGGAAAUAUAAUAAAAGAUGUGAUGUGUUGAAAGAAGCACAUUUAUAAUAUUAACAAUAUUAUUUCGGCAUUUAAUAAUAUUAACAAUAAUAAAUUUCUUCUUAUUCUUUAUUUUGACAAAACGCACGCGAGUACUCCGUGAAGGAAGUCGAGCAGCACGCUAAUCUUUGAACGAAGGGAACAUAAUAAUAAAACUUUCACCAUCAAUCAGAGAGUAUAAAAGGAAGAAUUAUCAGUAGGCUAAAACAUAGUUGUCAAAAUUGCGAUCCGGAUCGUACGAUCCUACGAUCUGGAUAACCAAAAUCGUUCCGGAUCGUAUUCAGAAUCGCAAAUCAUAACCAAAAUCGAUCCGGAUCGUAUUCAGAGUCGCAAAUCAUAUUAAUCUCUGUAUUUUUUUUUUUUCGGAAACGAUAGAUGAUAUUUCAUAGAAAUUUGAGACUUUACAAUAUUUGAGCAACGGCUCGACUAACUGUACCAAGUGUACCAUGACACUUAAGGAGGAACAAAGGUUCUCUCCUCAUCCAUACAUAUGCUUAGAGCAUAAAGACUAAUCUGAUUACAUAAAUUCAUAUUACUAAUAUCCCUUACAACAAAGGAGCACACUUGAAAUAGCUUAGCUAAUGCUAGAAUAUCUUCCACCAGCGUGACCAUAUUUGGAUGAUCUCCUGUCCCAUUUUUUAGUAAGGAGGUAAGCCUUUUGUUGGCAGUGACAACUUUGAUCCUUGGCCAUCUCAGCUGACUUGCUUUUAUAAGAGCCAAUCUUACUCCUAUGGCUUCAUCUUGGAUAGUCUCUGAUGAGCUCCUGUCUACUAGCGCCCACUCCACUAUGCUUCGUCCACCUUCCUGCUGAGCCACCAUUCCUAUUCCUAACUUAUGACCCUCCCCUUCCUUAUUUGUCACAACCUGGACUUCUGUUAUUCCAUUAACCUCCAAUCCUUCCUCCUCCAGACUUGAAUUAGCUGCCUCUGUUUCUGGUGUGCUUCUGUCUUCCUUUCCACUACUAGCCUCCUCAAACUCCAGCCACUCUGAGUUAGCCUUAUGAACUACUCUUACUCCUUCUCUUUCCUUCCCUUCGAAUUCCAGCUCAUUCCUGUCUUUCCAUAGUUGCCAGAGAAUGUUUGCCGUCAGAGCUAUGUGCUGCUUUCCUUCUCUCCUAGCCUUGGCUUGUACUAAAGUUGCCCACCAUUGUUUGAAGCAUCCUGUUAGAUUCUGGAUUCCAUCCCAUUGCACAGGAGCUAACUUCCAAACCUGUUGAGCCUGAGUGCAGUGAAACAAAAUGUGUUCAACUGUUUCCACCUUAUCCCCACAUCUUAGACAAAAUGGUGAUCCUUGUCUUGUUCUUCUGAAUAUUGUCUCCCUGGCUGUUAGAGUAUUGGUUAUACACCUCUAUAUGAACAGUUUUAUCUUAUGUUUGAUGUUCAGCCCCCAUAAAGACUUCCACAUCUGUGUGUUAGAAUCAUCAAAGCUAGAGCCGGAUUCCCCUCUUACAGCCAGUUCCUUGCUUUUUUCUUCCUUUAGCAGCACUUGAUAACAAGACUUAACUGAGUACUCCCCUUGUUGACUAUGGAUCCAAAAGUGCCUGUCACCCACUCUUGACAAACUGAUAGGAACCUUCAGAAUGUUCUCAGCAUCUUCUUUAUUAAAUGCUCUGAAUAUUUUAUUUCUGUUCCACCUGAAGUUGGUAAUCAGCUCAUCUACUGUGCCUUCCUCCCAAUCGUUUGGUUUCCUUGUGGUAGGUACCCCAUUAGGACUAUUUGGGAUCCAUUGGUCUUUCCAGAUCUUGAUACUCUUUCCUGAUCCAACUCUCUUCAGUGUUCCUUUCUUCACUACAUCCCUCGCAGACAUAAUGCUUUGCCAGAACCAGGAAGAAUAUUUGGGGCAUUCACCUUGUAAUAUGGAUGUCUUGGGGUAAUAUUUAGCUUUGAGCAUUCUGCUUACGAGCAGGUUUGGGUUUCUUAGGAGUCUCCAAAUCUGUUUUCCCAAUAAUGCUAUGUUGAAACACUGCAGAUUUCUAAACCCCAGUCCUCCAUCCAAUUUUGCCUUCAUCAUUUUUGUCCAUGAACACCAGUGCACCUUAGCUUUCCCUUCUGAGUCCCCCCACCAGUAUUUAGCCAUCAACCCUGUAAUUUCCUUACACAACUUAGUUGGUAGUUUGAAGCAAGACAUAGUGUAGGUUGGCAUUGCCAUAAUGACAGCCUUUAACAUAACCUCCUUUCCUGCUGCACUUAAGAAUUUAUUCUUCCAGCUGCUUAGUUUAGCUUUGAUACUGUCCUUUAUGAAUCCAAAAAUCUGGCUUUUUGUUCUUGUAAUCACCAUGGGGAGGCCUAGAUAUUUGCCUUGAUUCACUACCCUUACCCCUGCAAGAGGCCUACAUGUCUCCUCCUUGUCCCUCUCCUUAGUAUUCUUACUGAAACAAAUGGAAGAUUUUUCCAAAUUAAUCACCUGCCCAGAUCCUCUCUCAUACUGCUCCAGUAUUUCCUUCAACUUCCUUGCUUCUUCCCUUACAGCUUUACAGAAGAUUAAUGUGUCAUCUGCAAAGAAUAGGUGGGUAAUGGCUGGUCCAUAUUUGCUGAUCUGAAGUCCACUUAACAGCCCUUGACCUGCUGCUUUCCUUAGUAAAUUAGAUAGUCCUUCUGAACACAGCAAGAAGAGGUAAGGUGACAAGGGGUCACCUUGUCUGAUCCCUCUAGAUGGCAUCACAUAUCCCUUGAUUUCCCCAUUGAUAUUGAAAGAAUAAGAGACUGAAUUGAUACAGCUCAUUAUCCAUUCCACCCACACCUGGUUGAACCCCAUCUUCUCCAUCACAGCUUUCAGAUAUCCCCAUUCAACCCUAUCAUAAGCCUUGGACAUGUCUAUUUUUAAAGCAGUAAAUCCGUCCUUGCCUUGUCUCUUGUUUUUAAGGAAAUGAAGGCAUUCGUGUGAUAUAAUAAUGUUGUCCAAUAUCUGCCUGUUGGGGAUAAACGCAGAUUGAUUUUUGCAGAUGCAAAGGUCAAGAACUGGUUUGAGUCUGUUAGCUAGAAUCUUGGAGAUGACUUUGUAUAGAACGUUACAAAGACUGAUGGGUAGCAGGAUCGCCUAAAAUCGUAGUAGGAUCGGUAGGAUCGUACGAUCCUACAAUUUUUUUGUAACUUUGUGAAACACGAAACUCCAUUUUGCAAGUAAAUGAAAAUAUUUGUGAUAUAUUUGUAAUUUAUCAAAAAAUUUUAACCUUUAAUUACAAUUAAGAGCUUUUGAUAGGAUCACGAUCCUGUGUGAAACUAAAAUCGAUCCCACGUAGUACCCAAUUUUACAAACCUUGGCUAAAACUAAACCCCAACAAAAGAGAGAAGCCGCCUCAAAAGAGAAUUGAAAAUGUCGUCCAAGGCAAGCAACCAAAGUAUAUAAAUUCUCAGUAGCGUCUUUGGUUAGUUUCCCUCCUCUACUGUUACUUCCCAGGUUCAGAUUGUAUGGUGGCGGAAUCCAUCAUUUAUUGAUUGCUUGCCAUUCUCUUCUCUUCUUAUAGGAUAGGAAUAGACUUGAGCUUCCACGAUUUGUGGCUUCCGUAUCGUUCUCCGUAAUAUUUGGGCGUCUUAUUCUCUCUUUCUUGCUUGAUCAAUGAAAAGAAAUGAUAGGAAAAACGCUGUCGUAGCAGAACCAAGAAUACUGACGGAGCUUUAAUAGCAGAGAUGUCGGCGUGGCGGUCGGUGGUGGACUGGCAAUGGGAGAACGCCACCGCCGGCGCUCUCGCCGGUCUCGCCACCGUCACUUUCUCUCAUCCCCUUGACGUAGUCCGUACCAGAUUCCAAGGUUACCUCCCGCCCUUCCUUCCUUCCUUCCUGGCCCCAUUCUCUCUAGUCUCGUACGUAUAUGCAUUAACUCGAAAAGGAAAAGGAAAUAAAAUCAUCAUGACGAUUAGUUUUUGUUUAUUUUCCAAAUAGUGCACGACGGGCGAAUCUCCAACCUCCCGAGCUACAAGAAUACUCCUCACGCUCUCUUCACCAUUGCUCGCUCCGAGGUUUGUUUCUUUUUUCAGCAUCGCUUCUUCUUUUUAGAUACCUUCGCUUCAGGAUUCCAGGUAGAUGAGGGGUUGAUGGUAACUCAUGUAGCAAGUCCUUUUGCUGACAUUACUUUUUUAUAUGAAUUUUGAAUCAGCUCUUCUUCCUUUUAAAGAUUUGAGCUUACAGAAACGUGAAAGUUUACUCUUUUUUUUUUAAAAAAAAUUGACAUUGAUGUUAUCAAUGCUCUUGUAACUGGUCAACUUGCAAUACGACUUGCUUUUGGUGAUUAUAUACAAAUUUGAUUUUCUCCUUCUUCUUCUUCUUCUUUUGGCAGUAUUUCAAAUUUUUAUUUUUUCCCCUCUUAUUGGCUAUAGCUCUGGUAUCUAAUUUCUACGCUUUCUGCCUCAGGGUCUCAGAGGGCUUUAUGCAGGCUUUUACCCUGCUGUUCUUGGGUCAACUUUUUCAUGGGGUUUGUAUUUCUUCUUGUAAGUUUUACUUCUCGGGUCUUUGCUAAUAUCUUGUAAUACACAACAAGACUAUUGAGUCUAGUUCACUUGGAUAAAGUAAUAUAUUAUUUUUUCAAGUUGAAGAUGAAUGCACCCAAUCAUUCACCUUUUUCUAGUGUAUGUUUGCUAGUGUAUCAUGUUUGGCAUUUUCUCCAUACUUUUAGUUUCUUCCAGCAUCAUCUGUUCCUUUUCUGAUAAAAGAAAAUAAGUAUAAUAACAAUAACUUGUGCAGCAAUUGAAGGUUAUUGCACUUGGACUUUUUCUCUAAUUCCAUUUCCCGGUUGAAUGAGUCUCCAGCUAUAAGCUUUGUUUUCCAAUUUGGAGAUAAUUUUCCUGCCUAUUCGACAUGAUAUUCUUUUAUGCAGCUAUAGCAAGGCCAAGCAGAGAUAUCUAGAAAAUAGGCCAGAGCUGAGCCCAGGCCUGCAUCUAGCUUCAGCUGCUGAAGCGGGAGCUUUGGUUAGUACUGUACUUAAAUGGAAUUCUGACUGUUUUAAUUGCUGCUUGUGCCAAUUUUAUUGUGUAUAAUGCAGUUCCAAAAUUGAAAUUUGGACAUCUAUUUCAACCUGUAACAAAAGUGAGGUUGUGCCUAUCUCAGGUUUCUUUGUGCACAAAUCCUGUUUGGUUAGUAAAAACAAGACUUCAACUACAGACUCCUCAACAAGUCCGUCCAUACUCUGGCUUUCAUGGUAUGCUCAGCUCUUUCAUGGUAUUAGAUUUUAAUUCAUUUGCCUCUGAUUUACUAUUAGGAAUAAUUUAAAGUAUUCUAAUCAGUUUUGGUAAAGGGACUACUAUCUAUUUCCCGUGAUAUUUGCAUACAUAUCUAAUUCAAAAUUUUGAACAGCUGUAUCUGUCUACAUUUCCUUUUCAGCAUGUUUAUGAACAUUAUUCUUGCUUUCUGCUGUGACCAAUCUGAGGUUCAUGUUUUCCUUCUGAUUGUAGAUGCUUUAAGGACGAUUCUAAAAGAAGAAGGGUGGAAAGCACUUUAUAAGGGGCUGGUGCCUGGCCUUUUUCUUGUUAGCCCAUCUCUUCUCUCUCUCUCUCUCUUUCUCUCUCUCUCUUUCUCUCUCUCUCACACACACACACACACAAAAUGGCAGCUUUGUUCGGUUAUUGAAUUUAUUGGUUUGACUGGCUUCCUUUCAUUGUAUACUCAUGUAAACAACUGACUGGUCCUGGUUUUGCUUCAGCAGGUUACACAUGGAGCUAUUCAAUUCACUGCAUAUGAGGAACUUCGUAAAGCUUUCAUUCAACUCAAGUCUGAAGGAGGUGAAGGCUCCACUGAUGACUCAUUGGUGAGUCUUCAGCAUAUAUACCUGUCUGUAAAUUGUUAUGGGGCGAACCUUUAGGCCUGUUCUCUUUGGUUUAAAAUAAGCUAAUUUUAGCUUUUUUUGAGCAAAACUAAAAGCUGCAUUUGGGCAUCCUUAUUUGCUUUAAACUAGUGCUUUAUGCUUUCCUUAGGCUUAAAAAUUCUGAUUAUGAGAAGCAGGUGUUUUGUUUUAUGAGAAAGCCUUGCAGGACUUCACCUGAUAAGUUUUGUGUAUCUGUUUGAUAAACCGAAUUCGCUGCUGCUUGUGUGCAUUUGGGACAUUUGUCUUCUGUAAAAGUCAUAUCGCUCUUUCUUAUCUUUAAUACAUCCUUUCUGCCCCUAGUUUAAAAGAUACAAGUGUGUUGUCAGUGUAAGGAUUUAGAGUAAACUCACUAGGACAGAACAUGAGAAGUCAUAAGUUAGUUUUAGCUUUUUACACAUCUUAUGACUGCACUACAUUUUUUUCAGUGUUGGCUUUUUAGGUAUCUUAUGAAUGCCCUACAUUUUUUUCAUUUUAAUGUUAAAUUCUCCUGUAGUUGCAUACUUGGCCACCUUUGGAAAGUUUCACCUCUCUUUGUUAAAAAUUUGAAGGCGAGUUGAUUUUGCUUCUUCUACAUGUAUAACUGUAUUAUGUUGGUACUUAAUUCUCACUUUGCUGUUCUGUUUUAAUUGUUAGUAAAAGUUUAAGAUGAAUUUUCCUAUUUUUUGUUUCUCUUUUUGGCUUUGUAGUCCUAUUUGGUCUCUUUCCAUGUCUGCGUAUCAAAUUCCUCUGGCUUGGAAACGCAGAAUAAUUGCUGAUUUGCUCUUCCUUCAGGAUUUAGAAGUUUUAGCAUUGUAUUGUAUUUUCUUGACAGGAUUCAAUUGAUUAUGCGGCAUUAGGGGCUACUUCAAAACUGGCUGCCAUUGUUUCAACGUACCCAUUUCAGGUAGACAGCUGCACAAACCCUAUCUAAAAUUUGGUUAUGUUGAUGUAUUUUUAUUUUGGAAGCAUGUUAUAUAUACUUCUCACAGUAUUAUAAUCGCUUUACUAAGACCUUGUUAACACUGUAUUGCAGGUCAUUCGAUCUCGACUGCAGGUGAGGAACCUAAACAUUCACUUGAUCUUAUCCAUAUCUUUCAUAUUCACUCACGAGAUGAGGAGAGAGACUGUGCCACUAAGGAUGAUGCUCUGGGUGGCUUACUGAGAGGAAAAAAAAAUGUUUAGAUAGGGAUAUACAUAUGAUCUUGUUUCUUCCUGUAUUAUGGUAGCUAAUGGCCAAUUUGAUUUUUACUCUUCCUUCUGUAGCAACGGCCGAGUACAGAUGGAAUUCCAAGAUACAUGGACAGCUGGCAUGUAAUGAAACAAACAGCAAGGUGAAAUCAAAAUUUUCUCCCAGUCUUGUGGUGAUCUUUCUCUCCCUCGUACACACACGCAAACGCACGUGCACACGCACAAUCACAAUCACAAUCACAAACACAUGGUCCUUGGCAUGUUGAAAGUACUGUAGGACAUUCUUUGCAAGACCUGGCUGAAUGCAACAACGAGAAUCAUCUGUCAAGUUUGUGCAACAAUCUUAGCCAAUUUCUACUUUAACAAUGGGAAAAUUUUCAUUACACUUUCUUCACCUUUAGCCUUCCUGUGGAAACUUUAUUAGUUUACAAUUUGUUUUACCUUCCCCGUUUUCUGUUCACAGGUAUGAGGGUCUACGAGGGUUUUACAAGGGUAUCACUGCAAAUGUGCUAAAAAAUGUUCCAGCUGCUUCGAUAACAUUUAUUGUGUAUGAGAAUGUUCUAAACAUGCUAAAACUGGCUAAAUGGAAAGAUCAAUAGCUUAGCUAAUUUUUGUAAUCAAGAAAUCUACAUGUUAGUAUCAAAACCUUCGGAAAAGAAAAGUUGUAGUUGAAAAAUAUGAUAUAUGGUGUAGUACCCAAUGCGACAGCAGAGAGGAGUGAACUAUGAACAGUUGAGGCAAAUGUCCUGUUCAAUUGUCUGUCGGUUAAAAUUGAUUGAAAGUGUUACAUCUCUAGUUUGUUACAUUGUCCAACUUCUGAUACUGUCUACCAAACACAUUGUCUUGGGUUCUAGCCACGAUUUGCACGCAUCAAAGAUGGAACUUGCAGACCAAGUUCGGGUUCCUUAUCCAUCAGAGUCUUGUAUCUUUUACUUUGUGAAGUUAUAGCAGUUAGAUAUUUGCCAGUUCUAUGUUCAGAAAUUUCAAAAUCCGAAUAGAGUAUGUAAUAUACAAUCUUUUUCAAUGGUGGUGCAUGGAGCAAUUAUUUUCAGAAAUUUUUUUUUUUAAAAAAAAGCCAUAUACAAUCUAUUUCUACAUUGGUACUUGGAAUAAUGUAAUACAUUCCAGUUACUUUUCCCUCACUGUGGGUUAUUAUUGAAAAACAAGAUUCCACCGAAAAGGCUCCACGCUGAUUGAGGUCUAUCUGAUUCAGUGUCUUCGCAUUUGAACAACAAAAUUUCGGCCAACGUUACAGCUUUCUGUAGACGGUAGAGUCUCUACAAAGCAUGACGUAUAAAGUCCCAUUACUUGGCAGGAAAUUUUCGGAGGAAGGAUAGAAUUUGUUCGGAAACCUCUUGAGCUCUCUCUUGUUGGAUGAAAUGAUGGCCGUCUAGUAUGACGACUUCAUGGUUGGGUACUAGGCUCUUGAACACAUUUCCUUCUAUGUACUCCCUGGUGCCAGAAUCAAAUCCAAUAUCCUUGUUCCCCACAAUUAGCUUUGCUGGAACUGUUAUUUUAGACCCUUGCCACGGUGCAAGUAGCUCCCAAUUCCUGUCAUCACAUGACGUUCACAACGGGAUUAACAGGACCAGCUACAUACUGAUACCGGAGCAUAUAAACUCUUGCUAUCUAACAAAAUCGAGGUGAAUUUCGUGUUCUUGCACAUUAUUACGCUACAAAAGAUUGAUCAUGGCAACUUAAUUGAGUGAUAGGCUUGUCCAGUCUGGUUAGGGGUGUUUUCAUUUGCUACAGUUGAUUAGUGUUGGAACUGCGGUUAGACUUGCAGGUCCAUGGCUCGGUAGUAAUUGAAAGCUCCUGUAAAACCAGACUCUAGGAACUUGUCAGCGAUGACCUGAAGUUCAUCUUCUGUAAUCCAGCGCGGUAAGUAGGAAGGGGUUUCUAAAUAAUCAAUAAUCUCCAUACCAGGAGGAGCUAUCAGCUGAUCGGUCUUGCUAAUGAGAUAGAAUUUCUUCAUCACCGUAAGAUAAUCAUACCUCGCAAAUGAUUUUUCUGCUCUUCCAGGUUCCUACCAUUUCGGAUUGGCACUGAUUUUAUCAAAUAUGAAGAUAUUUGUAGCAUAGCCAGGAAACAGAAAUCAAGAAUACCUGAAACUGGCAAACGUAGAAAUUAUCUCCAAACAUCUGUUUGAAUGAGUCGGUCGUUUUGAUGGUUGAAAAUCUUGGUGUGAAUGGAACCGAGAGAGCAACUAUACCUCUAACUCUAUUUGGCCUGAGCAGGCUCAACUGCCAAGCAGCCGCAGCUCCCCAGUCUAUCCCCACCACAAAGGCCUUGCCAACAAAUAAUCAAGUCGUAGUUUUACAAAACUACAGCUCAGAAAGUAAAGCUCAAAAAAUCGUGCAAAUUAUCAAACAAAAGAAUUUACCUGCUCUUGGCCAAAAUGAUCCAGAAGGCCGAUGAGAUCGCCAACUAUGUGGAAAGCAGUGUAAGAAGAGGGGCUGAGGGGGGAGUCAGUGUCUCCAUAGCCUCUCAAGUCAGGUGCAACUACGCGGUAACCGUGUUUUGCCAAGAAGUUGAUUUGAUGGCGCCAGGAAUACCAUAUCUCAGGGAAGCCAUGGAGGAGUAAAACAAGUGGCCCUGUUCCUUUUUCAGCUAUGUGCAUCCAUAUACCAUUUGUCUUGAUUCUCUGGUGAUUGACAUCCGCGAUGACGCUCAUCAUUUUUACCUCACAAAACUUUCAAAAUUGAUUGCCUGCUAUGAUGAUCGCUUUGUUUGAUAAUUUAUUUUCUGGGUUAUUUGGGAUUAAUCGUCAUCAAUUGACUAUGGGCAAAGGCGUAAGCGAAGAGACUUAGUAGGCAAGGUCAAGAAUAUGCAGUCAGUGCUUUGGUGUCGAACAUUGUUUGGCUGCUUGUCUCAAGCCAGGCAUGCAAGGGUGUUCCGGUCAAAUCCGGGUGAAGAGCUGAUUGAUGACCAAGAAAGAAGCUGCUUGAGUAUGAACUAUGAACUAACACCCUACCAAGGACAAAUGAUGUUUGAGUUUGAAUAUUGUCAUGAAGGUGUACUCCAUUUCAUCAAAUGUCUAGAAGUAUACUCCAGAUUUAUUUCUCGAGGAUUUACAUCUAUGCAACAGAUUCAUAGAUUGAUUUUCAGUACUCCCGACCAAGACUUGGCUACAAUUCUAUUGAUCCUUUUUUUAUAGCGACACCAUGUACCACGAGGUCGAGAACAGGAGGACACUCGGACAAACUCCUCACUCUAACGAGAAUUCAGAUAGUAUAUAAGAAAUUAAAUGUCUUCGGAAAAUUAAUUUGGAUUAGAUGAUGCAAUCACCACAAACACAGCACAGAUUGGAGUUCAUGACACUGCACAUUGUACUUCUAGCAGCGAGCACAAAAUAGGAGUCCGCUCUUCAUUUACAAAUACCAGGAAAAUAGUCAAUUCACAUUGAAUUGUUCUUCGGCACUACUCCUGGUUGCCAAUAUUUAGCUUUACUUUUAAGCUGAAUUCAUCUACCAAUGGAAUAAGAGCUGAUUUGCCUCCUUAAAACAGUUAAUGACAGUGAAGAAAUUAUUAUUUUUACACUUUGUCAUCAUGAAACCACCAUCUUGUUUCCUUUGGAGAUCUGCCAUUUUUACAGUUUCUUACAUAACGAUCAUUGUCUUCUGGUGGUUGCUGCACAUACAGGCAACGAAGGAUUAAUAUGCAUCCGAGAUUUGCAGGUGAUUGAAAAAUACCUAAUCUAGAAGCCGUCAAGGACUAAUAGAGGCAUACCUUUACGGUUGAACUUGACAGCAUUGAUAGAAUGCUGAUACAGACAGAGCUAACAGUCAUGGCAGGGGACCAUGAGUCAUACAGAAUAUCUGCAUUGCACGAGGAUAUAUAAGAUAUGAUUUACUGAUUUUCCGAAGGCCAGAGUCACAAUGAUAAGUAUCUAACUGCAUGGAAGGCAUUACAAGCAAAGGCAAUCAAGACGGUCUCACAUUGGGCCUUCAUUGCUUUCACCAAUGUUAACGUCAUACAUUUUAGGACCAGCUGUGGAGCCAAUAUUCGCAAGUUGCAGGAGGCAAAAACAUAGAGAUGCCAUUUCAUUUAGUUUUGAAAAUGUAAUUCUCCUAAAAGUGAACUCAAAAAUCUAAAAUUCCUAAUGAGUGUUCUAGUAAGUAAGGAACGAGGUACUCCCACUUCCUCUCUUAAUCUGGGCUGAGGAUCUCUGACCAGAAACUUAAAAAUCCAAGCCAUUAUAGCUUCAAGCUUCUUGUCAUUCACCUUGAGUAAUCCAGAGAUGUAUUCACAGGAGAAGCUUUGAUUCUCUCCAUUCACAAGAAAAAAAUCUUAGUUUUAAUAGGAAGCCAAAUAGCCAAUCAUAUUCUUGUAUCCCUAUCAAGCAGAGAACAAUAUCGAGCUAGAUGGGGACAUGCAAUUCCCACUAAUGCUAUCUCAUACUCUUGUUACCCCUUCCUAAAAGAGCAAUUUCUACAACAUCCAGUGUCAACAAUUGGUAAUGCAGCUUGUCUGUAAAAUGAAAAUCCCAAUAAAUGCUGCAUUUCUCAAACCUCAUAAGAGGAUAAAGAGUCUAAACCUUAACAUGCAACGGUCCUCAUAAUAUGCUUUUUGUUAGCACAUGCUAAAAAUUACAACAAACAACUUUAAGAAACUAUAAAAACAAGGACUAAACGGCUUCAAUCAUAUGAGGAAUUUUUCCUUCUCUUAAGAGAGAAAUAGAGAAACCUAUUUUCAGGAAGAUUGGAAAGACAAGUGAGGGUACAAUUAAUACAUAGAAGAUUUGAAGAAACGGCAAUGUUCUCAAAGUAACUGCCAUCUCAGUGCGUUCAAAUAGUAGUGAUUUUUGCACAUAAUAGAACUAUCGCUGUCAUUGCAUGAUGGUGACAAUAAAUUUAGUGGUGGCGUAACAUAUAACUCGCACAAAUCUUUCCAUUUCUUGAGAUGCUAAACUUAAUUAGACAAAAAGAGUUUUAACAGCAAAUAGAUUAGAUCCCCUGUAUUGACAUCCGCAGAAAAGGCAAAUAAGGACAAAGAACACCAACCUAACAAUCAAAAGAGCAAAGAAAUCUCUGCAGAUUAACUGCAUCCGGCAAACCUAAGUGGCAAAGAUUUUUUAUGAAAUGUCAUAUGAUUAAGCUUACCUAAACAAAUGUGGCCAUUGCUAUAGAUAUGAGGGUGCAAAGGAGCCGGGCUCAAAAAUAUCACCUUGCAUCAAUCCCAAAUUAAAAGAACAAAUCAGAAUGCCAUUCAAAGAAACUUUUGCCAAAAUUAUACACAGUAACUCCAAAAAUUAAAACAAAAAAGAAGAAAUACUGUAAAAAGAUCCAACCUGGGGCGCUUCCAUAGGAUAAUGUUCUGGAAAAUCUACUUGUAGCUGAAAUGUUUCAUUAGCAUAUAAAGUUCCAGGAGCUCCAUGCACUUCAAUGACCCACCUUUUUAUCAAAUCAACUUACUAAAUCAAUAGCUAAUCACAAUUAUAAACAACUACAAUGUUACAAAAAGCAGUAAUUCAUUCAUUAAAAAUCGAUUUAGUAUCAAUAAUUUCCCUGUACGAAAUGAAUAAAUCCCGUAUCAUAUCAACGUCCACCCACCGCCCUCCCCCCCCCCCCCCCAAAUAAAAAAAAAAAAAAAGGGAAUAAAACAAUUGUUAGGAGCAAGAAGCAAUUGGGCUAAAAAAAGUGAAAACUGAUAAACAAGAAAGAAAAAGAAAACAACCUCUGAAGAUUAUCGGUGGGCUUGUGCUUAAAACCAGCAGGAGGAUUGACCUGCCACUCCACCAGCUCCUUCUGCAACCGGUUGGUCGCUAUUUUGCUUAACGCCUAAUUCAACAAUUACUAUUGUCAAGAUAAUAAUCUUUAAAUGAAUCUAAGAAAGAAAGCUCUACAUCGGAAAAGAAAAGCUAAAAUUUUGUACAGCGCAAUUUCGUAAAAUUAUCCACAAAUUCCAUAUAGAGAGACUGAGAGGAAUAAACCUUGCGAGAGGCGGCGGAGGAGCCGGUCAUGGCGUCGCAAGAUCACCUGAUACCUGGCUCGGAUAGACAGUAAAAGGCCGACUAUUGACGACGAGGAGGAUGAUUCUACGGAGGAGCACACAAGGAAUAUGGCCCUGCCGCUGCUAAUUAUAAUAAUAAUAAUACGUCCUGUCCCCAUUCUUUCUUUUUUGCUUUUAUUUCACCCCGUCUAAUUUCUUCUCCAAAUAAUACUCCUCUACUAAUUUCUUCCCCAAAUAAUAUUUUAUUAUUGUCUUCGUAUUGAUUUUUCUACAACUGUCCUGGUACGGUAUUUAAGGAUUUUAUUCUACAACUGUGCUAGUGGGAUAUUUUAUAACAAUUCUUAUUACUGCUAUAAGUUAUACUAGUAACUAGUAGUACUAAUUUUCUUGGUAAAUAUUGACCUCCUCUCCUGCUGCGGUUGAUAUAAUAAAUUCUAGUACUAAAUUAAUGUCGUCAACGGGAGCGUUUGAGGUGAACGAGAUUUUAUCACCCCAUUGAGAUCGCAUCACCAUCUUGAUGCUUGUUAUGAUUUACCAGAUGGUAGUAAUACUAGUAAUUAAAGAACAAGAAUUGGUCCAAAAUGGGCCCGGUUUGAUGAUGAUCGAAGUGGGAUGUCCCUACCCGAAAAAAAAUAUAGUACCCCCCCUUGAGAAAGUGGGAUGUUGCCAAUAGUUCCCAAAAUCAGCAAAAUUCAUUUUCUGUCUUGAAAAAUAUAUUACGUGUAAACCACCCAGUCUAAAACUAAAAAAGAAGUAGCACACAAAAAGUAAUAGAAAGUUCCUAUUCUUUUUAGUGUAGAAAGUUGACGGGAGCCCUUGACGUCUUCCCUUCAAUCCAAGAUGCCGGGCCGAGACAGGAAAACCCUUAUUAUCAUUUUCCUGUCAAUUAUUAUUGGUUUCUAAAUCAAAUACAACAGCUCAUCUAUAUUACUAUUAUGAGGACGGUCAUCUCGGCCCGAUCGCUCUAAAGAAAGGACCGGGACUUCCUGUAUUUACCGUCAUCUCGGCCCGAAAUUGUAUCAACUCGGCUUCCCAGUGAAAUGCCGAGUUCUCACGCGUCUUCAGUCAUCUCAACUCAUCACCUCACGAAUACCUCAGUGUCUCGACUAAUGAACUGACGCCUUAUUGGAGUCCACUAUCCUUCCCUCCGGUUGGUCAGAUCUUAGGAAAUUGGAGUCCACUAUCCUUCCCUCCGGUUGGUCUUCUAUAAAUACCAUUCCCUCCUAAAUAAAGGGAGAGGACUCUCUACUAUUUUCAUUCCCAUUAUUCAUUUCUCACAAAACUAACUUAAUCAUUGGAGGUACUCCGAGGGAAAAAAGCGCCGUCUAGUGUGUUUACCAGGAAAAGUACAGCACAAAGUCACCUCGCUUAAGAAGAAGACGUAUUAGGUUAACUAGACUUGCCCAUCCAAAAAUAACCUUUUCAUGCUACAUAUUUACAACAAACGGAAAAGGAAAAAAUUUGAAUCCCUAAACAGGAAAACCAUUGUCAUUUUCCUGUCAAUUAUUCCAAAGAAAUACACUAUUGCACACUGCUGCAGAGAGAGAUUUGAAUCCUAAAUCUAUAGUCAGAAUUGCCCCUCAGCUCACGUAAUGCGAGUCGGUUUCCUAAAUUCUAGUCACCGGUCUUCGUUCCUAACCGACGCCAAGUUCAUUGCAUAGUUUCUCACUGGUCCAAGGUAAACGACACGUCUCCUUACGAGGCACCAUCAAAGUAUCGAGUGGCUUCGUAAGCACGAUAUCUUCCCCUGGAAUAGUUUCUGAAUUCGGCUCUUCUCAGGCCUGUCAAUCUGUUUUUUCGUCGACCAAGUCGGCAAAAAGACUCGAGAUCUACUUCUAGAAAACAAUUCGUCAAACGAACAAAGGGAAAAAUAUGUCAAAAGUGAUCUAAAGCAAACACUUUAUUAGCUAUUUGCUAUACCCCAUUUGGACGCUGUCACUAGGAAGGAAUCGGAUUACCCACUGACGUAUCCUCCAAGGUAAUUAACUUGAAAGGACAGGAUUUCAGUUUCAACACAAGGAGGAUUAGGCAUAUCCUUUGCAUCAUUUCAAUUUUAUGACUGCCCCCACCAAGAAAACUAGACUCUGGAAAGCAUCUAGCGUUUGCAGAAUAAAAGUUUAUGCCUAUUCCGAUCUUGACCUAUCUUAAAUCAGUAAAUAAUCAAUAAACAAUAUUGAUGAUAAGUUACUCAUUACGUGAGAAUUAAAACCGCAUUUAGGUACUGGAUCAUGGUUAAUCAUCGUCCCUACAAAACAUGUUAGUCUUGGUAUGUUCUUGUAGAGUAAGCGACCGGUAGAAAUGGCAUUCUCACUGAGACUGGAAGACAAAUGAAAUACCAACAGUAUACAGUAUGGUCAUCACAAUCUUUUAAGGAUGGCUCAAGUUACUUUGCACAAAAAUUCUGCUCAUUGAAGGAUGGCUUAAGUUACUUGCACAUACUUUUAGGAACAGCGUGUCUCAUUGAAGUCUCAAUUUCUCAGCCUGUAAUCCGUAAUCUACAAUCUGGGGUAUGAAUUUUCUUAUGCAAUCUAUUCUCAAUUUUGUGUAAAAACCUCAAGUCGUACUCUGAGCUGAAAAAUUGGACACUUGAAAUCAUCAGUUUAUUUCCUUAAUUUUGAGAGAGGAGGCUCGAUGGAAGAACUUUGUACGGGUUGAGUAUACCAUUGGGGUCAAGCAGCUUCUUGAUGGAAGCCAUUACUUGCACCUGUCAACACAAUAAUUUGUUUUAGAUUCUUGUAUGGAUGGAAGGUAGUAAUUGGGAAAAAUAAAAAAUCAGUGAAGGAUCGGAGUGUGUAAAGGAAGGAGAAAAUAUUUGAACCUGUAAAUCGCAUUGGAAAACAAAAGGCACGAGUAGGAUCAAGCAGAAAGACACAGACAGAUAAUAGAAUGAUUAUCAUCGAGACAAGAUGUGUCAGGUAACAGUUCGAAUACACAAUAAUCAAAGUCUAUCAUCAGCCUUACAGUUUCAGGUGACUUGCUGUAGUGUAUUUUAGCAGCUUUCAUCAAUCCAAGACCAUGCUCAGCACUAAUACUCCCACGGUUCUUUGAUGUCCAUUCAUACACGAAGGGCUCAAUUUUUGCCAAAAUCUGAAAUAUGUGUGAUCAUCUUAGUGAGGUAACUACAAUUCAGAAUCAAGGGAACUUCACGGAGAGAGCGGGAACAAGCACGCUACAUUAUCAUCAUACGCUGGAGCUGAGAUAUUUAGAUGUAAGUUUCCAUCCCCAAGGUGACCAUAUGCCACUACUUUGGCUGCAGGACCUAGAGAUUAACAUGCAAGUGUGAAAAGUUGUCAGAAACAUUUAAUACCUUACUGACAGUCAAGUCCAAAUGUAAUGUUAUACCUAAGAAGUCAGAACUCAAUAAGUGAAACUCAAUCAGCCAAGUAAAGUAGGAUCUUCAAGUUGAAAUGAAGCAUGGCUUCCAUGAUAAGUUAUGAGAAAUAACUACUGAAGCUAUGCAUCCAUUGGAUGAAUCCCAUCCAGAAGAUUGUUCCACCUUCAAGGUAUCACCAUGAAAGAGAACAGCAUUCUUACUGUUCAAUAAAACAAAGAAAAAGUAAUGAAUUUCAUUAUUACCAAUUUGCACUCGCAUUUCCUCAACAAGAUCAUACAUCUUUUCAAGAGGCAGUGACAAAUCAUAUUUGUACACGGCCCCUGCUUUCAUGAGAGCUUCAGGUAAACCCUGCAACCAAGAAGCUGCAUAUUAGCAAGUUUCAUGUAUACACAAAACGCCUCAUGUAAUUUAAAGAUACUUCAUGCUAUUAAACAGAUCACUCGGAAAUCAAUAUUUUAGGUAAUAGUUGCAUUCUUUUAUACUGUUUAAAAAUUAUAAAUUAAAGGAAAUUUCAUAGUUAUUUGCUCCAAUGCAAAACGUUCUCGUGAUUUUAGCAAUAAGUCAAUCCAUUUUAUCUGACUCCUACUAUAAUUCUGACAUCCAAAAAACUAUUAUCAAGAUAUAGAACAAGGAGAUAUUCUAAUUUAUAACAGAACAAAAUGUUAUUCUCAAUUUCAGAGAGAGAUACUGAAACAUCAGGAGAAAUUCAGUAGAGCAGAUGAAGCACCACAUCAGAGCUGAGAUGUCUAUGCAAAUAAAAUAAUAUCAAAUACCCGAGCGUAAGUUCCCAAUUCCAAAGUAAUAUUGGUGACUUUGAUGAUACGACAAAAUGAGGAUGCAUGGUAAUAACCUCACGAAUAUGCCAAAAUGAGGAUGCUUGAUUGAUAUCUUGAGCAAGAACUCCAUUGGCUACCAAACCACUUUCCACUGAAUGAAGAAGGAAGGCCUCAAGGUUCUCCCUGGAGACAUCAAGAUAGAAUGUUUAGAACCAAAAGAAGCAGCAAAUCAUCAUUCCAGGCAUAUUUAUUUGAUAAACCUUAAGUUUUCUGAUAUAGAACGUUGGACAUUUGUUCAAACAAAGAGCAUUAUUCAUUAACUUCAAAGGUGGCUGUUGUCCAAGAGGUUUUAACUCCUUUCAAACUAUAAGCAAAAAGCAACUAGGAAAUAGAAUGGGAAAUAGCUGGCCAAGCUGGUUGUACUGAUGCCUAUGGUUGCCCAAGCAAGUUUGGACGAUAACAGUUUACAUAAAAUUAAUAACCUUCUUACAUCUGGGAGAUCAUUUGCUAAGUUUUAUUAUUCAAACUGAACUAAGCUAAGCUUGCCCCCACCAAAAAAAAAAAAAAAGUCCUAACUAGCUCGUUGAUAGAAACUAAAAUAUCCCAAACAGAAAGAAAGAGCUUCUGUUCAUCAGAUUCAUGUCAUGCCACAGAAAGAAAGUGUGUCCCUAGUGUAAGAAGUAUUUUUUUCAGAAGUUUUUUCUUCAGGUAAAAUAUUUCAUCAGUGUAUCCCCUCUAUUUCCUUGUUAAACAAGAAACUGCUUUUAAACCUGUAAAGGGAAGAGGUUGUCAAUUGUAACAAGACCUAUUCAACUAUUUUGUCCAAUUCCUAUUCGGUGACUUUCUUCGAGACCUUCAAUUUAGACGACAACAAAAUUUUAAGGAUGGCAUGUAGCAAAUAUUUUACUUGUCAAAAGUUUCGUUGCUUCCAGUUGUCUCAAUCAGAAUAUAGAAGUUGUGUAUUGAGGGAGGUAAAGGAUUGCGAACACCAUCCAAAUGUUUCAGAACCUGUCGCAUGUAACAUAUAAGCAUGGUGAUGGAAAUUAACAGCAUAUUAUUCACACAAAGUACAAGACACUAUGCAUACAUAAUCUAAUGCCGCUCACAUGUAACUUAGCUGAGUAUAUUAUACUGAGAUAAAGUUAAAAAACAUUAAGCACAAAUUACAUGAAUAUACUUCCACUUGCAUAACUGUACCAGAACUCAAGGGGCAAUGCCCUGAGAUCAAUGGAAGUGAAAUCCUGCCCGUGUUUAUCUUUUAUCACUUCUUGUCCAUGAUUUUCAGUUCCCAAAAAAGUUGUGGAACUAACCUUCAUACAACACAAGAAAUCAAAGCCUCAUAGAAUUGAGGGAAUUUCGCAUCGACUGACAACCAAAAACUUUGUGGAAAUUAGAGUAUUCCACCAAAACCCCAAAAAAAUAAUAAUAAUAAGAUCCCCACCAAAACCCCAAGCCGAAAAAACAAAAUCUAAGUCAGGCAAAACUGGUGGCAGCACAUAGAAAAUGUCUUUUUUGCUAUCUUUUAUCCUAGUUACUGUGAGUUAAUAUAUACUUUCACGGGGUCAGAACACAUGAACUUAAUAGCUUCAUGCGGACAAAUAUCCAUAAAUUACAAAGUUUUGGAAGAUAUCAGAGCUAAAUAAGAUUUACUUCAGUCCACUUCCUUACAGCUUUUGCCUUUAAAUCAAACAGACACCUCAUGUAAUAUAUCAACAAUUCUUGAAAUUUAGUACUAACCAUCUACUCUGCAUGUGCCUCUCUAGGGGUGGAGCAACAUAAGAGUUUUCUUCAUGAUUACAUGCAUUGCACAAGCAUGAAAAAGACCACCAUCAUUGUCAUCAAUUAAAGUUCACGAAAUUAAAGGCAAAUGUACGUCAAUUCAUCAGAAAGAUAUAAGGCCAUAGACAAAACUUACCAAACUCAUUGCAUCAGAAUCAAGAAACUCAAAUGCAGAAAGAAUUCCUCCAAGCUUCUUUUUUGCUUCCAACAGAAGUUUCUGGAGCCAAGAAUAGGAUGUACAAAAAAAUAAAUCAAACAUUAUUUUCCCAACUUUAUAUCUAUUCUACAAGUAUCAUUAAAUGGAAGAAAAGUAUAUAGUCAUGAGAACCUCACCACUACAUAUAGUUGGGAAUUUCACACUCGACAUUUUAAGUGUGGAUACUGGUGUUCCAAAUGUGAACGUAGCAAAAGACAAAGGGCUUUUUUCCAAGAAAAAUAGAAAUCAUAACGAAAGGAGUCUCUUAGCCUCUCAUGACGUAUAUUACCUGGCAGCUGGUGUAAUCUUCACAAGCAAGAAAAGCUAUAUUGACAGAUGACAACUUUGGAGGGGUAAGAAUUGAAACCUUUGUAACAAUUCCCAAAGAUCCUUCACUUCCUAAAGACGCAUACAGGUUGUUGAAGAAGGUAAACAUAAAAUUUCAUUGAUAAAGAGACAAAACCAUCAACGACUAAGUAAAAAAUUAUCUCUUUUCACCUAUAAAUAGGUGCUUAAGGUCAUAUCCAGUAUUGUCUUUUCUUAAAGUCCCAAGCAUGUCGAGCACAGUACCAUUUGCCAAAACUGCUUCAAGACCUGAAAGAAAUAUUUUAGAUCAAUGUUUUAGACUAACCACCUUUCUCAAAAGGAAAGUAAAAAUUCUUAAUUAUCUUCAAUAAAGGAAGAUGAUUCAUCUUGAUGCUGCCUAGAAAAAUAAUUUCCCAGUAAUAGUACAGUACCCUGAAACUGCUUUCAAUAAACAGAGGCAUUAUCCAGCCGAGCAACACUGAUCACUAUGCAACAUGAAUAAAUAUGUAAUUGUGAUUACCUGUUCCUACUUACUCACAUGCUAAAUCUAAUUCGUGUAUAAUGUACAAAGUCAAGUGGAAUAUCAGUUCAAAUUUUACUCAGAUGCUACCAGCAAAAUCUACAUUAGACAACUUAGGAAUAACAGGGACCUUUUCAAUUUAAACUUGAACUCCAAAUGAGGCUACUGGCCGCAGAUAUCAGCAUUAUACAUCAAUUACAAUUCAAGACAUCAAAAGCAAAUUCUAUGCAUAAGAGUGGUAUCAGUAUUGAACUGGAAAAGCAUACCCAAUAUCAGUGCAUAAAAAAGUUAAGAACAUGAAAACGAGGAACAAUGCUUACCAAGAACACUGCCAUGUAGUGAACCAUAUCGCAGAAGACGUAGCCCACCAGCAUUAGUUGAUACAUUUCCUCCAAUUUGACAGCUACCUUUGGCUCCUAAAUCUAGGGGCAUAAUAAAUCUGAAAAGGAACCAAAACUUCACUAAUACAGCUAGAUGUGUAAAGAAAUACUCAAUUACAUAUUUCAAGGCAUGAUCAUGAAAUUUGAGGACCAUCGCCAAAAGCUUGAAACAGAAUUAAAAUCAGAAAAAGAUCUGUUAAAUGAAUAACAUAUGAACAAAACUUCUCCACUCCUCAUAAAGCAAAAUUUUGAUCAGGCAAAAAUAGAAUAGAAGAAAUUCUUUCAUGCAUACAAUCUUUGAACACUAAGUACUUGUUCAACAGAGGUGACUGAAGUAAUUUGGUGAGCUGGUGAAUACACCAGGAACCCUAAGGUAGCAACAUUACUAUAGCAGAACCAUUUUACAACCACCAAAAAAAAAAUUCCACAGAAUUAUCACAUCUACUCAGGACUACAAGUGAAAAUGGCAUAAUAGGACAUCACAGUCAUCAUCAACUAACCAUCUGUUAUAUUGAGUAUUCUAUGUUCUUUGCAGUCUCAGAGAAGAAUUAUGACAAAGUAGUGAAUUUUUACCCUUCAUCAUCUAGGAAAGAAAUCAAGUUUUCCAAUAUGCAUCCUGCUUCACAAACCAGGACACCGCUGACCUGGAAAAGACAACAAAAGGAAAGACAAUGGAACUCAUCUCAGCAAUUUGAGUUUACAACUGACAUGAUAAUUUCUAAUUUUUAAUUUCUAACCCAAGUUUGAAGUGGAAGGAAAUGAAAAUUAGCAAAGCCACACUAACACUCUAAAGAAUGAAAACUCUGAUAAAGAAAAGACAGUCUAUUCCAUUUCUACAACAUCCUUUCAAAAUCAAAAUGCACAAUGUGUAUGUUAAUAACAAAAGCCAGGCAAAAUGCCUCAGUUGAAUAUCUGGCAUGAAAGCAGAAAUUUGAAAUAUAGAUCAGUGAACUUACUAUUACCUUGUCAAAAGAAAGGAUGUUCCUCAUUAAACCAACAUUGAUGAUCACCUAUGAAGUUUCAACAUGAGACAAGUAAGCCAGGUGCCUGAGAAUUUGAAGGUUUGGGAAAUGCAACAUGUGGAAGCCACUAGAUUUUCCAAAAGCAGUUAAUGUAUUCCUGAAUGCAUUUUUAGAUAGGUGUCGCUAGACCAUUAGUUCAAAGUUGGUUUGACCACAAAUGAAUCCUUUUAGGACCCCAAAACUUGUCAAGACUGAACUAUGAUUAGAUUGGCUGUGAUAAUAUCUGAUAGAUCAAAACAUUAUCAGGAUACUAGUUUCUUCAUUCUACUAUGAAUUCAAAAUUAAAUGACUCAACACUCAACAAAGAACAACCUUACUCCAAGUAAUCCCCUGAUCAUUUAGUGAUCAAACUUUUCAAAUAGUAUUAAUUUUGUAAUUUAACAAGUCUACAGCGCUUAAACUGCCAGCAGAAAUCUACAUGUCACCACAAAAUCGAUGCUUACAUCCGACACCUUGUAUUCCAAUUAAAGUCUCUCCUCCUUGAAGCAAUAAUAAGAUGUAGAAGUAAAUCAAUACCCUUUUCAUCAACAAUAUACAUUCUCCAAGCACAACACAAAUUAUGUUCCAAUUAACUGCAUUAAGAACAUAUUUACUACAGAAUUCAUCUUAGAUAAACUGAAAGAUUCAACGCACUAUAAAUUAAUGAGUUAUGAUAUAUACCUCAUCAAAAACAGGUACACUUCCACCCACAAGACCUGUGUUUCCACCUUGGGGAACAACAGCCAAGCACCUGGAAUUACAGUAUUUAAGAAUCUGUGAAACCUGCAUAAACCAUGUGGGCACAACAGAUGAUUACGCUUGACUUCUUUGGGUAAAAAAAAAAACCCAAUGUCUUAAAUAAACAAUAAAAAAAAGUUAUGUACUUCUUCAGUGUUCUUAGGCUGAAGCAGCAGCUUGCUCGAGCCUCUGUACUUGCCCAUCCAAUCAGUAUUUGCAGCAUCCAGUGCCAAUGCAUCCUGAACAACACCUCUCUCCCCUAAUAGGGUCUUGAAAUAGCUGAUAUCAUCAGGGCUAAUGAUAGAAAACAAGGGAUUUCUGUGCACUGUUGUGGCCACGGAAUAAAAAUAUUUCCCCUGUUUGCUUUUACAGCUAUUGUUCCAAUUAACCGCUGUCGUUAGCAUACAAAUAAAACACCAAUUAUAAACUUAAUAAGACAAUCUGCAUUUGUUUUGUCUACAACAUAGGCAGGGCGUAGAAAUUGAUAAUCUAUUGAUCUCCAGAUAAGCUACGACUUAUUAGCAAGAAAAAAGUCUUUAAAUUUAUAUACCCCUCAAAGCAGUAUAAUUUCUUUUGUCAUAAAUUUUCCUAAUCUGAAUUACUGAAAUUCAAUAACAAGACAACCAACUUGCUCCAUCUUUGCUAUUCAUUGCUACAGUAGAAAUAAAGACUACAUAGGAGUACUUACCAAUAAAAUGGGAUAGGGAAAAAACAGCAUUCUGAUACUAGCGGGUGUGUGUGAUCAUAGUUGAUAAUUGUGCACGUAAGUUUGGUACCUGAAGCGAACCUGCUAGAGAAUUUGAGCAGACGGUCAGCAGCUCUCCAUUUCUCCAUCUCGUAGAGAAUUUGAUGACUAUUGAGGGGCGAGCUAUUUCAUGAUAGUGUCAGAUUACUGGGCUAUUAAGGGAGUUUUAGGACCAGUUUGGGCAAAGAAAUAUAGAAGAGACAAGUAUUUGGAUAAAUUGGAGGCUAACUUUUUUUUUUUUUUUUUUUUUUUUUUUUUUUUGGGUAGGAGAGGCUGACUUUGUUGAAAGCUUCAGACUCGUUGCCAUGCCCACUUCUAUCCUGUCCUUUCUCUUGUGGUGCAUGCGUCUUGUUCUCAACUAUUUCUAAUUGUGUAAAAAUUAAUUUUAAAAACUUAAAAUAAAAAAAUAAAAACUUGUUUCUGAUUUUCAGCUUUUUAUGUCCAAAAAAUUCAAAAUCAAUAUAAAAUAUAAUAAAAUAAUUUUUAAAAAUCAAAUCUUAAAAGUCAUUUUGUGAUUAAAGUCCAUACUUCGACAAUGUGCAGGUGCACUCAGUGCUGGUAAAAAUAAAUUGCAUGUUUCAUUCUCUUUUUACUUAUUCCAAUAUGUCUUAUUACCAUUUUAUUUGAAACUCCAAAAAAUACAAAAGAGACAAUCACCCUUUGGUCAUAUGUCUGGCUUUUAUUUUUAACUAAUUCCAUCCAAAUUAGGUAAUGGGAAAAAAUUUAAAGUUCAAUUUAGGAGAGAAAAUGAAAAGAAAUCAACAUUUUCACAUUGUCUUGUUUGUCGAAAAUUUGGAAAAAAAAAAAUUUUGAUCAUGAAUGAAUAGACAAUGUGCAUCUAAGGUACUUAACUUCCAAUUUUUUUUUUGGGGAGGAGGGGUGUAAAUAGAUUGGGUGAUACAGGAGAAAGCCGUCUAAAUAAGAGAUCAUGACCUCAAGAGCUUCCACUUAAAAAAGAAAAAGAAAAAGUCUUCCAAUUUGAAUUAUUUAAUUGUUCAUUUUAUUGGUAAACUAGGCAACUUAAAUAUGUUGACAAAUAGUCUCACUUUUUUAUCUAUAACUUUUCCCACUUAUUAGAAGGAAAUGAAAGAAAGAAAAAUCACUUCAUUAAUUUUUCAAGAAACAAUUUCAAUUGUUCUGCAUUCUCUUUUUUUUUCCAAAAAAAAAAAAAAGAAACUCCCAAGUUUCAAUUAUCCAUCCAAACAAGCUUAAGGUGUUAAACAAAACUGAAGUAAUGGGUCGGACAGGCACUGCCCGCUUGCUAUUCGGAUCCUUUCAUUUUCCGAGCCCUAUCCAUCUCUCUCCUUCAGACUUCCCAAAGCCAAGUAGUCUAUCAAAGCUAAAUGGCGACUGCCACUGCUGCCGCUGCUGCUUCCAUAUCUUCUUCAGUGUCGUCUGUCUUAAACCAACCCCACCACCACCCUUCUCUAAUCAUCCGGCUUCCUCGGAGAUGCUCCGCCGCCUUCUCUCGCCGACUCCUUGGGUCCCCAAAUCCCCUGAAAACCUCAUCAUCUCUCUCCCGUUCUUCCUACCAUGUCCUCUCCCGCUCGCCAUUAUUAAAAGCGCGGCGAUGUUUAAACUUCUCUUUAGGAUUCGUUCGGAACUCAGCAUCGCACAUUCCGCUUUCCCAAAAGCAAGAUAUCCCGAGUCUCCACCAUUUCAUGCCAAAAGCUACUCCCGUUCCUUCUGUUUCUGAACCCCAAUUCGAGUAAGUUGGGGAUUCCAUCGAUUUCAUUUUUAUGCGUGGUUUUAUGUUUGUAUUAAUUAUGGGUUCUGUCCGCUGGAAGUAUUUGUCUUGGAUAAUCUGAGAAAUCUGAGAAAGAUUUAAUCUCGAAGAAUUGCCUGGUUGUUAUUCAACUUGAAGCUUGUACGUUAGUAAUGAGCUCAACUGUUAGUUACUGCUACAAAAAUGAAUAAGCCUUAUCGGUUUAUUUGGCUAGUAAUCAAGCUAAAAGAGAAACCACUGAAUGCAAUUUUCGAUUUUGCAUCAGUAUUUGACGUCAUAAUUGGAUAUGUUGGGAUUAUAUUGUUUGAGCAUAUUCAUUUUUAGUAUCUCAUUUAGUUAUUAUUGUAUGCUCAACAAUGCCAUUAUUUAACCUUUGCCUUCUUGACGCUUUCCGGUUUUGAUGUUGAAUAGUUGUAUUUGCUCUUCAUAGUGUUUAGUGUUGACUGAUCAUACAGAUGGGUAACUUCUGAAACUAAAGCCGUUAUAUGCACAGAGUUGUUGUCUUGUCAACAGUGCAGUGUCUAAUUACCAGCGACUUCAUAUACUUCUAGUUUUCUUAAACAUAAAGUGCUCUUAAGUCCAAUUAGAAAUAUCUCAUUGUUAUUUCUUUUCUUGUUUGUUUUUGUCCUAGCUUGAUAGCACCUACUGAAGUUCUUCCAAGAGGUCGUAUUUAUCAAGAAACAUAUGGAUGUCAGAUGAAUGUCAAUGAUAUGGAGAUAGUAUUAUCUAUCAUGAAGAAAGCUGGGUAUAGUGAAGUGGUGGAUGUUCCUGAGAGUGCAGAGAUAAUAUUUGUCAACACAUGUGCUAUUAGGGACAAUGCAGAGCAAAAGGUAUGGCAGAGGCUCAAUUACUUUUGGUUUCUUAAGAGGCAUUGGAAGAGCAAUGUUGCCAUUGGACGGUCACAGUCCCUGCAUCCUCCGAAAGUUGUUGUUCUCGGCUGUAUGGCUGAGAGGUUGAAGGAGAAGAUAUUAGAUGCAGAUAAGAUGGUUGAUGUUGUUUGUGGACCUGAUGCUUAUAGAGACCUGCCACGCCUAUUAGAAGAGGUAGACUCUGGUCAAAAAGGGAUUAACACUCUACUUUCACUUGAAGAAACUUAUGCUGAUAUCAAUCCUGUUCGUAUCUCUAAAAAUUCAAUCAGUGCUUUUGUCUCAAUUAUGAGAGGUUGCAAUAAUAUGUGCUCCUUUUGCAUUGUGCCUUUCACCAGAGGCAGAGAGAGAUCUAGGCCAGUGGAAUCCAUUGUUAGAGAGGUGGGAGAGCUUUGGAAAGAAGGUGUUAAAGAGGUGACGCUUCUUGGUCAGAAUGUUAACAGUUACAAUGACACAUCCGGGCUUGAAAAAGAAAUUGAACCAGGAGUAAACUGGAAACUUAGUGAAGGUUUUUCCAGCAUGUGUAAGGUUAAAAAGAUGGGUUUACGCUUUGCAGAUCUCUUGGAUAGACUUGCUGUGGAAUUUCCGGAGAUGCGGUUUAGAUUCACUUCACCACACCCUAAAGAUUUUCCUGAUGAGUUGUUGUAUGUAAUGCGAGACAGACACAAUAUCUGCAAAAGCAUCCAUUUGCCUGCACAAUCAGGGAACAGUAACAUGCUGAAAAAGAUGCGACGUGGCUAUACACGAGAAGCAUAUUUAGAACUUGUGAGUAAGAUACGGAGUAUAAUUCCUGAUAUGGGGAUCAGCAGUGAUUUUAUUUGUGGUGAGAGUCUUAUUCACAUUGGUUUUACUCAUCAUAUUCUUAGUUUUCAUUAAUUAUUUUAUCUUCUCUUCUUUGAUUUUCUUCAUUUUAUUGCAUUUUUCUGGUUCUUUUACACCUCAUGGCUUGUCAUCAAGUUCCUUGACUCUCCCUGAUUAUCAAAUGGUACCACUGUCAAUCAUGAAUCUCUGGGGUUUAAGUUUCAUAUGGAUCCUGUAAUUGCCAAGCACUCCCAUGUUUUGGCAGUAGUUGACCAAAUCUUCUUGAGCUUUUAAUUUUAAUUGGUUGGACUAUUUUGGGGAUAGGAUUGCUUAUGAAUCAUUUCUUGUCUGAAUAAUUUGGUGCCUUGAUGCAGGUUUUUGUGGUGAAACAGAGGAGGAGCACCAAGACACACUUACCCUGAUGAAGGCUGUCAGUUAUGAUAUGGCAUACAUGUUUGCAUACAGUAUGAGAGAGAAAACCCAUGCCCACAGGAAUUACAUGGAUGAUGUUCUUGAAGAUGUAAAGCAGAGACGGCUAACAGAGCUUAUUGAAGCUUUCCGGGAGAGUACAGGUCAGUGCUUUGACUCCCAACUUGGCAGUGUCCAACUUGUGUUAGUUGAAGGGCCCAAUAAGAGGGCCCCUGACACAGAGCUUAUAGGCAAGAGCGAUAGAGGCCACAGGGUAUCUUUCAGAAACUUGCCUGUCCCUGAUAGGGUUGAGAAUGAUGGUAAAAGGAAUCCAAGAGUUGGUGAUUUUGUGGAAGUUCAUAUUUCAAAAACCUCAAGAGCGUCACUCUUUGGAGAAGCACUUGCGAUUACUAAACUGAGCUCAUUUUAUGACAAUCUACAUGAACAUGCUUUUGCCUGUGCUAGCAGAAUUUGAUCUAUUCUUUUAAGGAGCCCCUGGUACAACUUUUUCCUCACUAAAUUAAUCUACUCAAAGGUCGUUUUGCUGUAAUUACGGGUUUAAGUUUCAUUCACCCCUUUGAAUUAUUGCUUGGUCUCAAAAUUAAGUGCUUGUUCGGCAGACCUAUAUUACACAGUUUAUAUUUCUGGAGGAAAUUCCAUACCAAGCAACAGUUCUGGGGCUGAAGGGAGUAAAUUGAAUUUGCCCUUGAUUACAUCCUGGAAGCACAGGAAGCACAGGUGAUUUCUAUUGGUCUGGUUCCUUGGGAUGGGCUCUGGACCUCCGUUAAAAGGGUAGGAUAUUUCUCUUGGUUUUGCGUGAUGCUUGUAGUGAAAGAUAGGCUUUUGUGUAGUUUCCCACUUUUCACUCAAACCAGGCGAAAAUGCCAAGAUCACAGAAUCAAAUGCAGGAGAGCAAAAUACUUGGUAGCACUCUUUCUCAGAGUUAUUAGAGAGUAUCCAAGACACUCAGCAGUGCCAGUGAAAUGGAGCUUCUCUGAAGCAUGAAUCUGGGAGGUUAAACAUUCUCCAGUUCAGGUGGAUCAGUGUCAGCAAGAAAAUGGGUUUUGUACGCCAGGUUCAUUUAAUUUUACGUGAGAUUAUAGUUCUUAACUCCCAGAAUCCAUUGUCAUUGAGUUUUGGUGUACGACUAGAUUAGGACAAACAAAAUACACAUAUGAGGAGUUUGGCAUGAAAGCCCCACCGGGGGGGAUUCUGAUGCAAGUGAAAGGGAUGAAUUAUACGGAAAGCUUUAGCUCGAACCCUGUACACCUUUUCUAUCCUAGAGGCUCCGCAUGUUUCCUGGUGUAAGUUCAUUGCUGAAAGCUAAAUGUAAGUCAACUAUAAUUAUAUACAUAAAAUAUAUAUAAUAAUAUGUAUAAUUUAUAAUUAUACCUAUUAUAACAUAAAUUAAUAAUAAUUUAUAUAUCGAUUUGUGGUAAUUCAUAAUCAUUAAAUAAAUAUUAUAUUUAAUUAUGAAUUCGUUUUGAGUUCAAUUUAAGUCCAAAGUUCAUAUAAAAAUGUGAAUCAAGUUUGAGCCUCCUAAUUUGAGCCUAAACUCGAAGGUCCAAAAGCCUGAAAGUUCUACUGAAUCACGUUUGUGAACCAAGUUUGAGCUUGUCAAAACUGGCUCAUAGAGCCUAACCGACAGCCCUGCAGCUAAUUGUUUUCCUUGACAGCAACCGCAUUCAGACGUUGCAUGACCAAGUGAUGAAAUUUUAGGCUCAAUGCAUUAUUACGCUAUGCUAAAGACUCUGAAAUACGGUAACACUUCAUUGGAAAAGUUUAUUAUUAUUAGAGAGCUUUCAAAAGAAUUACUGGUGUAGUGGAGGAAAAGUUUCCCAAGAAAUACUUAAUUGAAUGCAAGGCAAUUAGCUGUGUUUGGUUUUGCUUUUAGGCUUUUAGCUAAUGUCAGGGGGUGCUGAGAACUGAGAAUGAGUGUGUGUGUGAAUUUGUCGGGUUCUUGAGGAGAAUGAGAAGAGAGAGUGACCAAAAAGAGCAGAGUGAAAAUUGAAGAGUGAUAAGGACAAGUCGAAGUAGACGAGACUUGUGAGGAAGCAAAGCAAAGCCAUGGGGAGCGUCUUGAAAAAUGAAGAUGCAGCAGGAGCAGAAAAUGGAGAGUUGAGUUCACCAGUCCCGCAUUCACAUUAAUGUACACAGCAGUCAGUGUCGGCCGGGCGAGUCUGAGCGAGCAAGAUGUUCUAAGUAGUAGUAUUAUGGUACCGACUAUGCAAAAACUAAAAAGCGCAUACAUUCAUUCGUUACGUAGGUUACAAUACAAUACCCCGUCCCGUGCGUCGGCGUCCUCAUUAAUGAAUUCCCCGCCAUUCUCUUCUUCUUAAUGCUCCCGCCCUUCUCCGACGGAUCCACAGAAAUGACAGUGAUGAUGGAUCACUCAGUUCACUGUUCCUUCGUUUUGUUACUUUCACUUCAUUCCAGCCCUCAAAAAAUGUGUGUGUUUGUAGUAUUAUUAUCUGAGAACGCAUCUACAAGCAAAAAUGUUCGCUGCUGCGUCUCUUGCAUAGUUAGCGUCCGAUCUCGAGUCUGGACUGAUUUUUAUUCAAACGCACGCACAAGAUGCAUACCCAUUUAUUGCCUUUAAAUACACAUCUACUACGAGUAAAAAAGUUUGCUGCUGCGUCUCUGGCAUAGUUAGGGUCCGCUAGGCUCUAGGCCUCUAGCUAACAUAGUAUAGUGCAUCUAGGGGUACGGGUGAUAUCGAGUCGAGUCGAGCUCGAGUAGUGCACUACUCGAGCUCGACUCGAGGCAAAAUAACUAGGCUCGAGCUCGAACUCGUCAAGCUUUUAAAAUUCGAGCUCGAGCUCGAGCUCGACAUCAAUUUAUGGAGCUCGAGAUUGAGUUUAAUUAAAUGUAAUUAAUUCAAAUCAAGCUCAAUCAAGCCUAAUCAAGCUCAAGUAAUAAAAAUUAAUAUUUUAUAUAUAAUUUUAAAUAAAGGAUAUUAUUGACAUUUCACAAUAAUAAAAAUAAAAAAUAUAUAUUAUAGAAAGCUCGAUAGAGCUCGUCGAGUUCUCGAGUAUUAUAUUUCCAAACUCAAACUCGACUCGAUAGCUCUAACGAGCAGCUCGAGCUGUUGACCAAGUAGCUCGCGAGCUCCAGCCGAGCUACUUGGUUCAGCUCCAGCCCUAUCUGGGGGUCACUGCAAUGUUAAAUUCUAGGGUUAAUUACAUUUACCUCCCCUGAGGUUUGACCAUAUUACCAAACAAUCCCUAUAAUUUGUCCAAAUAACGGUCUCACCCUUUGAAUGAUCAAACAUUUAAGAAAAACCCCCUUAAUGCCGAAAAUACCCUUAUUGAGGCCAUGUUGCAUUAAAAAAAGAACAUAUUUUUAUUUUAUUAACCUUGAAGCAAUCCAAAAAAACAGAAAAAAAUUUUGCUUAUUAUUUUAUAAAAACCAUAUCUUUGCUUCCAUAAAUAGUUUUGAAUCAAUAAUUAUUUUAAAUCUUAAAAAUGAAUAUUAAAAAUUAGAUAAAUUGAAAGAAAAAUUAAAAAAAGAAGAAAUUAUUUUAAUUGCUGAAGUAUGGUUCAAAUUGAGGAAAACAUGCCCUGUACUCUCCGCAACAUGCCUUGAACCACAAAUUCGAACCAUACUUGAGGAUUUAAAAUAAUUGCUCUUUUUUAUUUUUUUUUCAAUUUAUCUAAUUUUUAAUAUUCAUUUUUAAGAUUUAAAAUAAUUAUUGAUUCAAAACUAUUUAUGGAAGCAAAGAUAUGGUUUUUAUAAAAUAAUAAGCAAAAACUUUUUUCUAUUUUUUUGAAUAAAAUAAAAUAUGUUCUUUUUUUAAUGCAAUAUAGCCUCAAUAAGGGCAUUUUUGGCAUUAAGGGGGUUUUUGUUAAAUGUUUGAUCAUUCAAAGGGUGAGACCGUUAUUUGGACAAAUUACAGGGAUUGAUUGGUAAUAUGGUCAAAUCUCAGGGGAAGUAAAUAUAAUUAACCCUAAAUUCUACUUAAAAAUUUUCGGAAGCUUGGAUUUUUAAGAGUUACUAUUUCAGUUUCUCCAGUAUCAUACAUAGUAUUCUAAACCAGCCUUAGGUCAUUAGAAAUCCAUUUUCACUUCCAACUUCAUGCUUAAUUUGUUUCCUAAGCAACUUUCCUGUUCGCCCUGCCAGAUCUCUACUUUUUUUCCCCUUAUGAUGCUAAAUCUCUACUUAAUUUAUAUAUAUGUCUUGUGCUUUUGCAAUUCCUCAUGAUUAUGAAUAGUGGACUGAAAGAUAAGGUGAUUAAUUGAGCCUGCGCAAUCUGUUUUAUGUUGAAUUAGCUAAAAGUUAAACUAGUGUUGCUUAGAUUAGAAAAACAGGACUAAGUGCUAUAAUACUCCCUAGUCAAUUCCAAUUAGUUUCUUCAAAUCUCAUUUUAAUUCUCAACACGUCAAAUCACACACGCACACACACACGUACACAGAAUAUAAAUGGUCUAUCCAAGGGGUACCCAUGCCCUCGUUAAAAUGUAUUUCAUCUGUCAUAUUUUUUAAAAUGUAAGAUUAAUUAACGAAAGUAAAUAAAUACAAUGAAAAGAAAGUAUAUAAAUGCAAUGAAGAGUAAUAAUUAUUAAUAUAUGUAUAUACAUAGUACGUUAAGUGAAUUUUAUACGUGUGCUAAUGGACACACAUUAGAAAAAUCCUAAUACAAAAUGAUCUUCAGUUCUGAUUUUGGUAGGUUGUUAAAUUGGCUAUUUCGACAUUCUAUCAAGUGGACAUUUUUUUUUCAUGCCAUGUGGCAAAUUAAAUUGCAAGAAAAAGUGUGUCCAUUUAUAUCUCCGUGGAUUUUAUUUUUCUUUUUGUGGUAACAAUUAAUUAUACACCUUAUUAGAGUUCCUUAUUUAUAGUCAAUUUCACCCAAUCUAUUAAUGACCUACCUUAUAUAAGUUUGUAUUAAUUAUAUCUUUUUAUUUUUUUUGGUCAAUCAACUCAUAUCUUUCUUUUUAAUCUCCUCAAUUACUUUUUCUAUUCUUGUUAUUGGCUUGAUUACUUAUUGCCAUUACUAAAAUUUGAACAAAAUAUACUAUAUUAAUGCUCACGUAGAUAGUAUUUCUCUUGAUGGGUUACUAAGUAGGCUAUACUGAAAAAAAUUUGCCUAUUCCGGUUUUUUGCCAAGUGUAAAUUCUAUCUUUUCGCCAUGUGGAAAAACAUUAUGUAUGCUUAUGUUUCUUGGUGUAUUUUAUUCUUUCUUGGUUAACAAUUAAUUAUAGUCCUUUAUUACUUUUUAUUUAUAGUAAAAUUUAAACAAUCAAAUAAUUGCCUACUUUAUAUAAAUUUCUAUAAUUUAUGCUUUAUUUUAUGUGUUUUUCUAACUGGUAUCCAAUGAACACUAGUUAACACACCUACAUGUCACCCCAAUCUAUCAUUUUUAUACGCACACUAAUAAUUACUACUUUUUUCUUACAUUUAUAUUCUUUUUCUAAUUAAUCUCCUUGUAUUUAUACACUUUUGGUAGUUAAUUUUAUAUUGCUAGAAAUCUAAUACUUGAAAUACAUCUUAACAAGUACCCAUAGGGCACCCAUUAGACAUACCAUUGUUUUAUUUUUGUUAAUAGCUUUCAUUUUUUAAUUCUCUACAAUCACAUCUGAUAUUUUGCCAAGUGUAAGAUCUAUCUUUUCACCAUGUACAAAAAUAUUGUGUAUGGCUCUUGAUGAAUUUUUAAUUUUCACCAUGUACAAAAAUAUUUUUUAAUUAUAAUUCUUUAUUACUUUCUUAUUUGUAGUAAACUUUAAACUUCAAACAACUGAUUAAUUACCUACUUUAUACACAUUUCUAUAAUUUAAGCUUAAUUUUAUUUUUUGUUAAUAGCUUUCCUUUUAUUAUUCUCUACAAUCGUAUCUGAUUUUUGUCAAGUGUAAGUUCUAUAUUUUCACCAUGGAGAAAAAUAUUGUGUUUGCUUAUGUUUUUUGGUGGAUUUUAAUUUUUUUUGGUAACAAUUAAUUAUAGUCCUUUAUUACUUUCUUAUCAGUUAAUUACCUACUUCAUAUACAUUUCUAUAAUUUAUGCUUUAUUUUAUUUUUUGUUAACAGUUUUGGUUUUUUAACUCUCUACAAUCUCUAUUCCUAUUAUUGAAUUUAUCAUUUAUUAUUAGUAGGAUUAAUCUUUCACGUAUACACUGUCAGCGCACUGUUAGCACCUUGGAUGAAUGACAACUAUGUAAAAUUUAAAUUUGAAAUCCAAUUUUUGCGCACGUGUCAUGAAUUCAAUGGUAAUUGUGUAUACACUGUCAGUAUACAAGAUUUACUCUUAUUAUUAUUACUAAAAUUUAGAUGAUCUUUCAUUUGUAUAUCAAUUUUUUAUUUAUAGUAAAUUAAAAUCUAUUAAUCCCCUACCUUAUAUAUAUUUACAUUCAUUACACUUUUCUUUUUUUAAAAUCAAUCAACAUUGUUUUUUAAAAUUUUCUUCAAUUAUGUUGACUAUAUUUCUAUUGUUUGAUUCGAUUAUUUAUUUUUAAUUCUAAAGUUUUGACAAUUUUUAUUUUUCAAUGGAUUUAUAUACUGCAAUUCUAGCAUAUACUCAUACAAAUCCACUUAAAUUAUAUAAAUAAUCUUUCUUUUUCUAAAUUUUUUCUAUUAAUUUUUAUGCUCUCUUUCCAUUGGAAAUCAAUUCAAGCUAAAAUGGUGUCCAUAUAAACACCGGAUUGUAAAAGUUUUCUCAAUUUACCUUUUUGCUAAUUUUUAAUAAUUUGAUCAAAUGAUAAGUUCAUUAUCUAUUAGUUUGCUUUUUAAAAUUCUUAUUAGUCAUGAAAAAUUCAAAUAUUAACCACACUUAUUUCCUAAUAUAUCUUCUUUACUCACAUAUUGACAUAUCACCAUUAAUUAGAGUAAAUAUAAUUGAAUCAUGGGAUAAGGUUUGACUGAAACUAAUCAUUAAGUUGUUAUGACUUAACUAUUUUUAAUCUAUUUAAUUUGAAAUUUUAUAAAUGAUAUUUUUAGUUAUUUUAUAUCAAAUUUUAUUUAAAAAAUGAAAACUUUAGAGCAUUAAAAUUGCUCGUGUAAAUCCACAGGUACAUAACUAAUGAAGCAUUAUAUUUCGCAACAUUGUAAUAUAUUACCACUGCCAUUCUUAGCUUCAUAGUCAAGAGACUCUAUGCAAGUACCCAAAGUUUGUGUCUCUGCCAAUUCAAGACUAAAGAAGACAAAUUUAUUAUGUCUUUUAAUUAUUACUGAAACAAUUACGUCUUAGUUAGGCAAAUGUAUAUUUUCUUUGUGAAGCACGUGCCGCAAAAUCUCAAUCCUUGAAUUAAACUGAAUGUAAAUAGUUUUUUAAAAUAAAUAGAUGUAGGAAUAGCAACGGGAGCGAACAUGUGAGAAUCCUCAUUUUUAAAAUACAAUUUCCCCAAACUACAUGCCUUGCACCAAGAUUUAAACCACCUCUGAUAUGCCCUAGUAUUAUAUUUCACAAUGUGUUACAACAAAUCCCUUGUAUUGACCCUCACUUUAAAACACAAUUUUCUUUUUACAUGCCUUAUUAUAAGAUCUAGACCAUUUAAUAUAUGCCCUUACAAAUUAUUUUCUAUGUGUUAUAAUAAUUUCCAUGCAUUUCAUUUCAAUUCAUUUUACUUGAAGUAAAAUAUAUUCUUGAGCUAGGUUGUAAAUAAAUCACCACUUGUAAUUGUCCAAGUGUUCUUUUAUUAGUGGUAGAGACUUAAUGUGAGAGAUUAGAGGUGUUGAAUAAUUAUUGGUGCAUUUGGAAAGGUAAGAAUGGCAUUAGUCAAUGAUUAAGAAAAGUUAGGACAAUAAUGGAGCCAUGUGGCAAAACCCUAGCCAUGUAUCUUGUUUGACCAAAGGAUUAGAGGAAUUUUAAACCAACUUUGCUUCAUUUUCCUCCAAAAUUUCGUCCACCUUAAGGGCUUCCAAGGGAAGGAAGAAAACUCCAUCUUCUUGCUAUGACAACCUUAGUUUGAUCUUGAACAAAAACCAAAAGAGAAAGAUCUAGAGUUUGUAAGAAAAUUUCCUUCAAUCUUUGAGGUUGUUUCAAGCCUAAAGCUUCUAUUGUGGUGGUUUGUUUGGUGACCAAAGCAACUUGUAAGUAAGGUAUGUAAUCUUUACAAAUUGGGUUUAUGAUGUUAUAUCAUCUACUUGAGGAUGAAAUGGUGAAAAACAACUUGUUAUGGUUGAAUUUGGGGUUAGUUUCUUGAGUUAAUCAAGUAAUGGUUAGGUUUACUAACCAGCAUACCAAGUGUUUGAUGAAAUGUCUAAUCCUUAUUCAUGUGUGUUUAUGAAGUAUUGAUAUGUUUUAAACCCCUAUUUAGUUGGAUCUAAUACUUGUUAUGUGCAAGGAAUGAAAAUAACAAGAAGAGUAGAAGUUAGAAAUUUUUAAAGUGUGCUGAUCGAAACUUUUUAAGCUUGCUGUCCGGUUUUUCCUUGAUAUUUUCAUGCAUAUUUUGGCUACAAAUGUGAGUGUUAUAUGUUGGGUUAUGUGUGUGGAGGUUUUCUACAAAAAAAAUUAGGCAAUUUGGUUGAAUAAAUUUUGAGUUAUAAACAAAGGAGGAAAACUGGACUAGGUCCAGAAAUUUUCUGUGCAGCAAUCUUGUUAAGGUCAUAAUGUGUUACUCACUGAUCGGAAUUGAGUGCCAUUUGUGGCAAUUGAAAGUAGAUCUUAGAGCUUUAAAACGGUACAAAGCUCAUUUUCUGGUUCAUCCCGAGCAAUCCGUGGCGAGUCUGGAAAGUUGGCUGUCCGGGCGGUACUGUUCAUCCGAGACAGUCCAGAAAGUUCAUUUGGUUUCUUAAUUUUAAGCCACUUAUGUUGGGAUUUUGGAAAUGGUUUCUUCUAGACAAAUUUAGCCUUAUGAACUUAGUUUCCAAUGCAACUGACGGAACCUAAUUCCAACUUUCCCACAAUGAGAAAUGACCAUUUUCCCGAGGCUGGCCGGGCGAGAUAGUUUAACCCGUAAUGAAGUCUUUGAGCUUUAGUGAAACUUUUCUCUUGCCAAACUUUCAUGUACAUACUAGACUUUUUUUCCAUGAACUUUCACCGUGGUUUAGACCCUAUUUGCAUGCUGGAUUAAGUAACUUAAGCUACUCACUUGGCCUCUUAAUGAAUCUAUACUUUAGUAGGGAACGAAUCCAAUUAUUAAUGUUUUCACUCGUUGACUUAGGUUUGGGCAACGACGGUGAUUGUAACUGAGACGUUUGACGUCGAUUAUUACUUUUGCUUGACAGGUGAGUGUUCCACUACCUGUUACUUGUUAUGUGAAAUAUUUGUGUGCUUGAAAUUACUGAAUUGAUAUUGUUUGAGCCAAAUACUGUUUUAAUAAAAUUGAGGCGAGUGUGUACUUUAUCAUACUCGACCUCCCUUGUUUGUUUACUGAGGCUCUAUUUAUCGAAUGAAUUACCAUGGAAUGAAGUAAUGCUAUAUGUGACUGUGCUUAAGUUGCGUGGAGGACAUUCCACCGACUACUGUUACUAUUUGGGUACCCAAUCUCACAGGUGAGUCGGUCGUAUCGAGCCAGCAAGGGUUUGGUCGAGAAAACAGAUAAACCUUGAGAACUGUUUACUGUUCACUGAAACCGGUAUACUCGAAUAUUACCAAACUACUGUUUAUGAAGUGCGGGCUCGGUGGGGGGUUGUUUGGUGGAUGGAGACUGGUGAAAGUGGGGUUCUACGGAUCUAUAUACUGUUACAAGUGUUGACGGAGUGUUAACAGAAGACAAUUAUGAUCAAGCUCAAGUGGACCUUUGGCUCUUAAAAGCCACCCGUAUCGUUGAAUUGAACUGUGAUUAAACUGUUAUUUUACUGUACGGUGUUUAGUUGGUUAUUUUGUGAUUUUAUGUGGCUAUGUGUUUACUUGUUUACCUAGAACCUCACUGGGCUUUAACUCACCCCCUUCCCUUUGUUUUCCUUAACAGAUCGGGAAGGGAUUUGACCGAGGGCUUUCUUAGCUUUAUUUUGCCGUUCUUGCGUUUUGAGAUUGUAAUUUUCGUUUAAGCAGACUUGUAAGCUUAAAUUCUUAAGGGUGAUUUAUAUUAUGUAAUUUUGAGUGAAGCGUGGUAAGUUGGCAUGCGAUAAUAGAUGUACUAAGUUGAAUUGUUGGAUUAGUGAUUAUGUUUGAGUUAGUGUUUCAAUCCCUUGCAUUGUCAAAUAUUACAUUCAUUUCAUUGAUGAUAUUAAUACUUUGAACGAUUGAGUCCUGGCGAGAGUUGGACAGGCAGUCCGUUGAUACCCUAUGGUUUGCCCUAGGGAGAUAUGGGGCUGUCACAGAACACCCACUUUGUGAAAGGAGUAUGAGUUGGAGUGGGGAGGAGGAUUUUUCUCCCCCAUCUUAAAUGAGGUGGGGUGUGAGAGAGCAUAACCUUGCCCCAUCUUCCCCUCCGUCCCUUGUAUUAAUUAAAUAAAUAUAAUAAGAUUAUUAAUACAUCUAUUUUUUCCAUAUUAUUUUGGGUUAAAUUAUUAGUACUAGUCAUAGUUAUAAAAUUCGGCCCGACCCGGCGGUCGAACCGGUCAUUAGACCGGGCCGAAUUUGGAAUCAAAUCGUUUGUGCAAAGAGACCGUUGACUUAGUCAAUGACCCGGCGAUCGAACCGGAUUAAACCGGAAACCCUGUCGGUUUUGGCCGGGUUUGUCACUAACCGGAUUUUGUGGAAAAAUUAAUUACUGUUGUUGGAACUCGAACUUCGGACCUCUGCCCCAACACUACCGCCUGCUUACCACCAAACUACUUCCAAAUAUGUUGACAUAAUAGCUUUAUUAUGAUAUAUAAAUGUUUUUUCAAUUCUAUCUUUUUUUCUCUAAAACAAAUUUAUUUGGAAUCUUUUAAUAAAAAUUUAUUACCCUCCAAACUCUAUAAGUUAUAAAAUGGAUUUCAAAAAUAACAUAUUACAUAAUUCAUUUAAAGACAAAUAUUAUUUUUAAUAAUUUUUUACACUUAAAAUUCAUAAAUAAGCUAGAUAAUUACACUAAAUAUAGAUAAAAUUUUACACUUGAAAUUUGGUAUAUUAAUAAAUAACUGUAUAUUUGAUUGAUUCUUAUAUGAAUUAAUUAUUUUAUAACAAAUUAAAUUAAAUGAGCUUUUGUUAUGGCAUUAUUUAUUACAAUUUAUAUCAUAUAUCUUAUAUAAAUAAUUAUGAAAUAUAAUAUUUAAAUAUAUGUAGUGACCCACCGAUUCAACCACUCACCCUCGGUUAAAUCAGUAACCUGUUGACCCACCUCUUUCGCCGGGUUCCUUCCCGGAUUGGGUUUAAUAACUAUGGUACUGGUAGAUUCUUUUUUUUUCCCUAAUAAUAGUACUAUUUAUUAGUAUUAGUGAUUGUAAUAUUAGUGAAACCAAAUCAUGUUUAUGCAAUAACAUUUGUUUGAAAUGACUACUUUUUGUGAUGUCCUUGAAUCAGUGCAAAAUGCUGUUGCAUGUCUGGGAAAGUUGUCUCGAAUCGAGACAAACUGUGAGCUUGUUAUGAAGCUUGGACCGCCUCAUUAGUGUUUGGCUCGUGCAUAAAUACGUGUACUAAUGAUACUUGUAUUAGUUUGUGAGUUUGAUGUAACUAGGGCCUAAUAGCUCCAUUUUAUGCACUUAUUUCUUAUCAAUAUAGUGUUCAUUUGUGGCACUCGUGGGGAAAUGGGAUAGGGCGAGGAUGGGAGAUAAAGCAAGAGCGGGAGAUAUAUAUCAUAUAUGACAAUGGAGCGGGAAGGUAGGGAAAGGCUCUCCUGCCUCAAAUCCGCAUUGUUGCCAUUCUUAAAUGUACUCGCGGGGAAAUGGGACAGGACAGAGACUAGAGAUGGAAUAGGGGCAAAGGACCUAUAUGACAACAAGGUAGGAGGUAGGGAAAGCUUUCCCGCCCCAAAUCCAAAUCCGGUUCGCUGCAUCUUUAAAGGGUUAUUAUUACUUUACCCCCUUAACAUUCGGUGUCACUAUCAAUUUCUCCCUUAACAUUAUUAUCAUUUAGUCAUUUUAUCCUCAGAACUAAUGGUUAAACUUAACGGAAUUUAUUAAUUAAAGUAAAAAGACAAGUUUAGCCUUUAAAGUUACUAUCACUUUACCCCCAUAAACUAUAACUUCAUUAUCAAUUUACCCCAUAGAGUUAUUUUUUAGGCAAUUUAUUCCACCAUUAAACCAAUUUAGCAAGUUAAAAAAUUUUAGAAGAAAGUACCCUCAUUUUUAUAUAAUAAAAAUAAUAAAAAAUUUAGAGUGACUCUUCUAUUCUUUAGUAUCAAGAAAAAAGUCAAAAUAUUAAUCUCUUUCUUUUUGGCGAUCUUAUUAAUAUUAAAAAAAAUAGAAAGAUCGGGGGGAAAGGGAGAGGGGAAAGAGAGAUAGAGAGAGAGAACUCAAUUUUUUUUAAAAAAUACAAAUAAGAAAGAAUUAAAUACUUUUAUUAUUUAAAAUUAUUUUACUUUAUUAUUUACCACCAGAUUUCAAUCCUAAUCCCAAUACGAUAAUGUUAGAUUUUUUUUUCUUUGUAAAAUCUAAUUUUCUGUCUCCUUCUUUCCUAUCUCUUUUUCUUCUUCUAGUAUUAAUAAGUAUGUAAAAAUAAAUUUGAGAAAACUCUUUUAUUUUUAUAUUUUUGGAUCUCUUAAAGUGAAAAAAAAAGAAUAAUCAUUCCGACUUUUUUAUUUUUAAUUAUAUAUAUAAGGGUAAAUAUAUUUAAAAUUUUUUUAUCAUACUAGUUAGAUUAAUGGUAAAGUAAAAUGUUUAGAAAAUAAUGUUAGAAAUUAAAUUGAUUAUAUCAUUAUAAUUUAAAGGAAUAAAGUAGUAAUAAUAAUGUAGUAAUGCUAUAGAAUAAAAAAGUAUUUUUAUUCAAAAUUUCUUAAUAUGUCGAGUUGAAUUACUUAUAGAGGUGAAAUGAUUAAAAAAUAACGUUAAGAAGUAAAUUGAUAGUAGCGAUAUGAUUGAGCGGGAUAAAGUGAUAAUAACCCUAUCUUUAAAUAGAUGUAUAGGAAAGUGGCCUUGCUCUUACACAUUCAAACCUACAAGUUGUAAGCUUUUGACUAUGUGCUUUUUUCCUAAAUUAUAGACACUUUAGCGGAAAUUCAGACACGAUUAGGUGUCAAAAUUUGACUUUGUGUACCGAUUGCAAUGAUUAUUUUUUCCAUCCCGAGAUGAUGGUAGUAAGUAAUAGUAACACAAAUUUGCAAAUGCCCCAUAAAACACACAGACUAGUGUCUAUUGAUUUGACACACACACACAUAAAAAAAAAAGCAAAAAAGAAAAUACUAGUAUCUUUUUUGAAAGAAAAGAGAAAAAAAAAUUAGUGUCUAUUGUGAAAAGCGUGAUGCGAUUCAAAUCACAAAAGCUUUCACUUGGAUUUUGCAACUGAUUCACGAAAGAAAAGGUUAGGCCGCAGAUAAAUAAUUACUAUAAUAUUUUUUAUAAUUUAAUAUAUAUAUAUAAUAAAAAUAUAAUUUAAAAUAUAAAAAAUAAAUUAAAAAAUAUAUUUAUGACACUGGAAAAUAUUAUGUCAGAAGAAAGCAAUCCAAACACAUCCAUAGUUUCUUUCGAAGGGGUAGAGACAAAAAAAAAGGAUAAGUUGUCAUACCCCCAUUGCUCAAUCAGAAUGGCCUUCUUCAUUUAUGGAAAAGUAAUCCCAUAAGAUCUUCGCACAUACAACUAAAGAUUCACUAUUUACUCCUCUCAUUUAAUUUCCUGAAGACAGACACGCAGGCGCACCCUGCGCCCCCCUCUCUCUCUCUCUCUCCCCCCCCCCCCUCAUCCCCCCUCUCUCCAUCUCUCCACACCGCUUUCUCUCUCUAUUUAUGCCACAAAAUCAUUCAUUUAUGUACUAGCUACAACUAUAAAUGGAGAUGCUGCAUCAGUACUCUGAGUACUCUGUGAAAAAGCCAGUCUUGGCGUUCUGAUUCUUUAAAGCGGUUCAGCUCAGAAAAGGAAUUGGAACUACUUGCGAACCAAAAAAAAUCUUCCGAAAAAACACACAAGUUCUUUUCUUUCUUUCUUUCUUCCUUUUGAAAAAAAAAAAAAAAAAAGAAUCCUUAAUAAGCGUAUAUCUAGGUGAAAAUGACAUGGGUUUUGAUUGGUAUAGUUGUGUCAGUGUUCUGUUUGUAUAAGGUGAUGAGGAAAAAUAAGGAAGAGAGAGAGAAGAAAAAUUGGAUUCCUAGAGGAAGUUCAGGCUGGCCUCUUCUUGGCGAAACUCUCGACUUCAUAGCUUGUGGUUACUCUUCUCGCCCUGUCAGCUUCAUGGAGAAACGGGCGGCCCUGUAAGCCUUCUUCUUGCUUCCAUAAUUUUCGCAUAAUUUACCAUGAUCUUCUUUUCUUGUGACUUAAUUAUCAUUUUCUUCUAGAGUAAGCUAUUCUUUUUGCUUUUUUGUAUAUUAUUGGCACAUGCAGUGUGGUUGAAAUUGUUAAAAAUUCGUUUUGAAGAGGAUUCUUUACAAUCUCCGAUGAUUUGCUGGAAAGGGCAACAGUUCCAAGCAAGACUUUAAGUUUUGUAUUACAAGUUUCAUCAUUCAUGUGGUUUUUUUACUUUGGAUAUGUGCAGUUUAAGAAAAUUUUUACAUCUAGAUCUUUGGGAAAUAAGAAUCCAUUAAUUUCGACUUGUGGUUGAGUAUUUAGACCGCUCACUCAAAAAUUUUCUAACACCUGACGGUACUAUGUGAAAAAAAACAAAUAUUCCUUCUAGUCUAGUUGUGUUUGGAUUGUAUUUUUCAUGAUUUUUUCGUGGAAAAAUUACUGUUAUGAUUUGAUGUAUAUAAGAAAAAAAAGAUAAAAAAGAAAUAUGAUCACGAAAACGAUGUAAUUUUUUGAGAGAAAACAGCAAUCCAAGCAAGGCUUCCUAACAGAACUUUUAUGUUAUGUGAUAUAUAUAUAUAUAUAUAUAUAUAUAUUUUUUUUUUUUUCAGUUUUGUGCAAUCAAUGAAACUGAUCGUAAUGAAAAGAUGUCCAAUUACUUCAGAGUUAAAAUGCGGAAUUUACAAAUUUUUUUUUUGGUAAUUUAAAAUUGUCUUUAAAAUUUUUUAAAAGGUUAGGCCAGCAGGUAACUUAAGUAACGUACUAUUUGAUUUGCGAUAGCCCUUCAAUUCUAGAAAGAGAAAAGGAAACGAAGUAAGAAGACAAUCACCAGAUUUGUAUGGUACCUAAUAAUAUGUUAGAGGGGAGGUCUUGUUUUGUUACUUUCAUAAACGAAACUACUACUGCUACUUUGCAGGACCAUUUGAAGUAAUAGACUAGUUCUUUUAGGCUGUUGGAUUGGAUAUAGCACUUGUUUUUUUUUUUUUUUUUUUAAAAAAAUGCAGUGGAAUGUAGUGGAUUUGCACAAUUAACGAAAGAAAAUCAAAAAAGAAAAAACAUGUUAUUGUUUUUUUUUUGUUGGUGGUGCGGUGCCAUUCUGGAUCAGGACCCUGUCAAUUAAUCCAAGUAGGAAAUAAAAAUGAAAUAUGUAUAUAUCCUUUACUUUCCAUCUGUAUGUGCCUAAAAUAAUUCGGCGGAUAUAUGGUAAUAACAGCAGGUAAAUUAGAAAAUAGUAGAAAUAAAGUCAGUAGUGACUCGGAAACGUCAAAAGAUCCUUUACCUUCUUGUUUCCUACUCACCUUUAUGUAUGUGUAUGUGUAUGUGGAUGUGUAUAGUAAUUGUCUUAUUAUCGCAUGAUUAGCACGAGAAGACACAGAGUGCGUGCUUUUACGAGUCUCAAAUUGAUAAAAUGGCUUCAUCCAUCAUUGCUAGUUGUUGGCGUGGUAAAGUUACUUGUUUGUGAUACUAUGAAAUUUUCUCUAAGCUUUAUGUUUUUUUUUUUUUUGGAUUUAUUAUUAAUAAUUUGCCGACAAUUGCUUUUCCAGAAGAUUGUGAUACGGAUGGAGUUUUUUUUUUUUUUAAAAAAAAAUAUAUAUAUAUAUGUAUGUGUAUUGCAAGUGACUAUACGGUUGGCUGGCUUGCGUUGAUGGAUGAUCGAUCAUAUCCAUUGAUGUUGCAUAGGUUCCACACAGAACCCAUAUUCACGUGUGUGUUCAUUGUCAUACGUUUGUAGCAUUACGAUAUAUCUAUCACUCCAGCCUUUUCUAUAAUUGAUGGAUGAUACAGCUGCUAAAACAUUAACAUUCAUGCCCUCUCUCCGAUAAGACACAAAAAACCCCACAGCUCGUUCUUAGGUCAUCCAAUCGAAGAUAUAUAUAUAUAUAUAGUCCAUCCAAUAUUGAGGCCUUUGUUUAGCGAAUCAUCAAUUCUUUUUUUUUUUUUUUGUCUCUCUAUCUCUCUCUCUCUCUCUAUAUAUAUAUAUAGAUAGAUAUAUAUAUAUAUAUACAUUGUUGGAGUUCUUUUACAAAUUAACCAAGAAAUCACAUGUAUAUUUUGUUAGAAUUCUUGUAUAAAUAGUCCUCUUUUGACGAAGGGGCUCCAUAAUCUUUAAUGCGAAAGUAGAGGGUUAUAUUGCCUGUACCAUUGUUAGGAAUAAUCUCCCUUUGUCCAUUUACCUUGACUAAUCAUCGUUGCAUCGCUAUCAGACUGCGCGUGUCUUGCAAUUUGAGGAAAUUGUCUGAAACGAAGGGUAAAUUGGAUUAAGACAUCUGCCCAUCGACUGUAAGGAAUUUUUUAUUUUUUAUUUUUGGCUGGAGUGGAGUCACGCUACCCUGACUGAGGAGGUUUUUGGCUUCAUUUCAUGAACUGCAGAAGGAGAGAGUGAUACGAGUAGCGAAGAGCUUGACGUUAAAUUGUACACGUACUGGUUGUGGCAGAUUUGACUGCUGAAAUUAAUAGUGCUUGGGUGUGAUGUGGAAUUUUCUUUUUUUUAAAAAAAUAAUUACUAUAACGAUUUUUUGUCAUACACAGAAUGUAAAUAAAAUAAUUUUUUUCAAAAAAAAUAACGUAUUCGUGAUAGAAACCAAAAAAAAAAAUAUAAAUAUAAAUAUGACUUAUGCAAACACGUACACCGGUGUGACCAGGUACGGGAAGGUGUUCAGAACACAUAUCUUAGGCAAAGCCAUAAUCGUGUCAACAGACCCGGAGGUGAACAAGGUUGUUCUGCAGAAUCAAGGGAACGCUUUCAUUCCUCAUUAUCCAAAAUCCAUCUCCGAACUGCUGGGCAAGUAUUCAAUAUUGCACAUUAAUGGACCUCUGCAGAAAAGGCUGCAUGCGCUCAUCGGAGGCUUCCUGAGGUCACCCCAGUUCAAGGCUCAAGUCACUCGAGACAUAGAAGAAUCCGUUCGACAUGUCUUCUCAACCUGGAUGCAAAAACAGGACCGACGAAUUUACCUCCAAGAAGAAAGCAGGAAGGUAGGUAUCUAUUAUUAUUGUCUUUUUUUUUUUUUUGGUUUGAAUCCUCGCCACAAAGACAGAGGUACCUGUUUCUUUAAACAAUUAUUGUACUUGAGGACGAUUAAAUAAAACCAUGGUUAAUGUUUCAGAUUGCAUUUGAAGUCAUGGUAAAAACUUUGAUGAGCGUCGGCCGGGGUGAAGAUUUGAAUUUGUUGAGAACGGAAUUUGAAGAAUACUGCAAAGGCUUGAUUUCUUUGCCCGUUAAACUUCCUGGAACGAGGUUGUACAAAUCUUUGAAGGUACAAACGCAUCCUAUAUAUGCAAUUGCAAUUGCAAUUGCAAUUGCAUGCAUGCAUCCAUCCAUCUAAUUAAUAUUUCCAACGGUUUAAUUAUUUACGUUGGAAAUAUAUAACGCAACGCAGUAUAUUUGACCAUUCAUAGAUUUUUUUUUUUUUUAUAAAAAAAAUUGGUUGCUGAAUUUGAAGUUAGUCAUUGGUAGGGUUUGCACGUGAAUAUUAUUAGGGUCCAUGCAGGCUAAAGACAGGAUGUUGAAGGUGGUUAGAAGCAUAAUACGGCAAAGAAAGAUGGCUGCUUUGGAAGAAAAACAAGGAAUGAAUGGGCUGCUGAAUGACGUAAUUGAUGUAUUAUUGCGCGACACGUUUGAAUCAUCAGCAGCAGAGGAGGCUCAGCCACGGCUGCCGUUGGAUUCGAUAGGUGAGAACGUCAUAGAGUUGAUGAUUCCCGGUGAAGAGACUGUUCCGACGGCUUUGACGCUAGCAGUCAAGUUCUUGAGUGACAGCCCCGUCGUGCUAGCCCGAUUGCUGGUAUGUACCAGUACUAGAUUUUUUCUUCUUUGUACCGUGGCUGGCGCUAGCUUGGAUUUUACGAUUGUUUUUUCAAUCGACGGAUAGGAGGAUGAGGUUCUGGGUAAUCCUACGGCUGGGAUCAACUAGAUCCACGAGCUUCCAGUGGGCCAUUGGAUGUCAACUUCACUUUAUGAUUGUCGUACUCGAUUGACUUUCAAAUGUCAUUUUCAAUCAGACACACGAGCGCCCCCCACACGUGGGGAAAUGCUCGUCGGCCCCACCAUGGUCUGUUUGGACUUAUUCUAGCCGUACGAUUUGGAUUGAACGGCUGUCAGCCGGUGGACCAAUCUUACAACUACGUACCUUCUUUGGAUUUUUUUUGUCCUUUAGAAAAAUUCUUAAACCAUUUUUUGUGAGCACAAUUUGUAAUUAUUUUUUUACCUUAUAUAUUUUUUAAAACACUAAGGCCUAAGCUCCUUUUUUUUUCCUUACUAUUUUAUACUAUUAUUUUUGUCCGUCAAGUAGUGACUUUUUUUUUUCCAAAAAAAAUGGUGGCUUUUUUCACUAGCUAUUUUUUCUUUUUUCUUUUUUUUUUUGGAGGGGAGGCUUCUUUCUUUCUUUUUCGGUGUCAGCCUUCUUUUGGUCGGUGUCAGCCUUCUUUCGGUCUAGGUACUACUACAAAUUUCUUUCAAGAUUUCCUUCUUUCUUUCCGGGUACUACUGCAAGUUUCUUACAACUAAUAUGUUUGGGUAGCGAAUUUUUUCAAAAAAUGUUUCACUCGUAUUAUAAAUAUAUUUUUUAAUUUAUUUUUUUAUAUUAUUAAUCAUUUUUUAUUUUAAAUGUAUCACAUCACAUUAUAAAAAAUGCUAUAAUAAUUAAUCAAAAUAAUUAUUAGGAAAAACACUACUCUUAUCAAACAAAUUAAGCCUCCCUUCCAAAUUUAAGUAGUGUGUGCUUCUUGUAAGUUGUAACCUCUUAUCACUUGGGCAGGAGGAGAACAUGGAACUGAAGCGGCAAAAGGCUAAGUCGGGUGAUGAAUAUUAUUGGACUGAUUAUGUCUCGCUCCCAUUUACCCAGAAUGUAAGUUGCUGAGUCGCUGUACCAUGUAACCAAUAGAGUCUAGACCCGCCAAAAUGAAGAAAGGGAACAUUCUUUUUUUUUUUUUUUUAAAGAAUUGCAAUAUUCAAGUAUCUUGUUCUUUUCUUCUUUUGGUCACUUCAGGUCAUCAGUGAAACUCUGCGAAUGGGCAAUAUCGUGAAUGCAGUUUGGAGGGAAGCAGUAAAAGACGUGAAAAUUAAAGGUAUGUAGCUCUCUUUACUUUUAUGGACGUGUCGUUUGCCAAAAGCAGGUUGUACACUACCCUUUUUUUUUUUUUCCCUUCACAAAUUCUCGUCAGGAAAAUGCUAAUUUAGGUUGUGGGGGUUCUUUUCCCAGGCCACUUGAUACCAAGAGGAUGGUGUGUCUUGACAUCCUUCAGUUCACUUCACAUGGACGAAGCAAACUAUGAAAACCCCUAUGAAUUUAAUCCCUGCAGAUGGGAGGUAUACGUGUCUUGUCCGAUUAUCUGUCUUGUUACCAGUUCAAUGACUUCCUCUUUACAACUUUCAAUUAUCAAUCAGAGCAUCAUUUUGAUGUCGCCCGUGCAAAAUGUCAACAUGGAGACGAAACAAAAAGAUUCUUUGGUCUGGAUACCAUUCUAAUCAACAUUUUUUUUUGGGCAUUGGUUGGUAGAAAACAGGAGCUUCGGUUAACAGCAACACAUUUACACCAUUUGGUGGUGGCCAGAGGCUGUGUCCCGGUUUAGAACUGUCGAGGCUCGAAAUUGCUAUUUUCCUUCAUCAUCUUGUUACAACAUACAGGUCAUUUUCUUCGUCUUCUUUCUUUCCUUUUUAUUAUUAUUUUUUUUAAAACUUCCUGUGACAAAUAGAUAGUUGAGACUUGAGAGAGUCACAUGCGGAUGCUACCCCUAAAACUUUUAGCAGUGGCACUAUGGUUUCUUAUUGCAUUAGGUGGCUAAGGUGGUGACGGGUGAAUACUGAAAGUAACGGCAGCUAACACGAUCUUUCAUUUUCUCCCUUGCAGAUGGGUGGCCGAAGAUGAUGACAUUACCUAUUUUCCAUUCGUCAGACUGAAACGGAAGCUGCCGAUCACCAUCACACCCCUAGUAAGCGCAUAAUGAAAGAGAGAUCAAAUGAUGAAAGAAAGGAAAAAAAAAAAAAAAAGACGGUUGGAUAACCAUAAACCUAAGGCAAGGGUCAUCCCCCGCAACCACAGGCCUUACAAGAUGAGACUAUAUCAAUUAUUACUACCUGUAGCACAUCUCCCCGAGAUUUUAAGCGUUUUGAUCAAUCUAAAUUUUACUGCAAUCCUAGAGCGUUGGAGUAAUGAUAUUUAUCUUCGUGACUUGUAAGACAAAUGGCAUAUGACUUCUCUAUUGUAAGUACAUAUCAUUGAGUUUGUUCCGGGGUCACUGUCUUUCUUUUGAUUGAAGAAGGGUUUUCUUCUCCCUGGGCCCUGAUAGAAAACUGAUUAGUUAAGCCUGCAAGUGGAGUGGGGUUAUGAUUUCUGACCUUUAUCAUCAGAGCCAUCAUGGCAUGAAAAUCUAUAUUUUCUUCUUCUUCUUUGAUAAGAAUGGAUGAAGGUGCAUGGUGGUCCUCUACCACGUCCAACAUGUGCUCUGCUGGUACAUCGACAGUGUCUGGUAAUCGAACGACGACAAUCCUGCAUCUCUCCCUUUUUUUUUUGGGUGAAAAAAGUCUCUUUUUUUUUUGGUACAAAAAAGUUUAAAUGAGUUCGAUUCCAAUUAUCAUCUUUGAUCAGGAUAUGCCUUGAAAUCAUAAGUCGCUUAUAAAAAUUUUUACAGAUCGUUUACCAACAGAAUUCUCUUAUUGAUAGUAAAAUACGAACACGCCCACGUUUCAUCUUUUGCAAACAUUGGUUUAAUGAUGUUAUAGCUUUAACCUUCAUCCCUGUCUACCCGAUAAACAAUACGUUGUAGGGCAUUUGCAUGAUUAUGCUCGUGCUUUAAUGCCUAGUACGGCCUAAAUUGCUGGAAACUUCAAACUACAGCUGACAUAGGUUAUUUUCAGCAGUCAAUACAAGAGUUAUUGUAGAUUAUUUUGGCUCAAUCGCUAAAUCUGUCUACUUUUUAUCCUGCCCUUUAGAUCUAAGAUUUGUAUGCGGACUGAUUGGAACAAAUAUAGGUCAAUGUAGGCCAAGAAAUUCCAGCUGAAUUGUAGACAGCCCGCAACUGCUAGUUCAAACGGGAAUCACUACAAGAAAACUGACUUUUCACGACGCCAGAAAUAUGCUGCAAAAAGUCCAAAAACCGCCGCGAAAACCUUUUUGCGGCACAAAUGUGACGGAAUUAAAUUGUGCCACAAAAGUAGCCGUUACAAAAGAAAACGACACAAUUUUUCAACAUGUCACAUGCAUUUGCAUCACUCUUUGCGACGCCAAUUUGAGUGUCACAACUCUACUUGCGGCACAAAAAAUGCGCUACAAAAUGUCCACAAUGUCAUGCGACAAAAACUUGCGUCGCAAAAAAGUCACCAAUAUAAAGACCAGAAAUCAAUUUUUUCAUGGUACAAUAAUUAUCAUGCUCAAACAUCCUAAAAUCGAAUAUUAUAACAAAAUAUAGUUCCACAAUACACUAGAAUAAAGUACCAUACAUUGUUUUAGUCAAAUUCUACAAACUUUAUCAUUUAAUAUUGUUCGCUCCAAUUACAAGAUGUUUCAUAUAUUCCAAAAUGUGCUUGAAUUCAAAAGUACAGCACUUCAUCAUACAUCUCUCAAAAACAUCUUCAUAUCUCCCAAUCCGCAUGCUUCCAAUGUACCAUCAAGUCCAGGGCUGCAAAGUGUAUUCUAUUAGUCCCCUGCUCAUAUAACCCCAGCCCAUUAAGCAUGAAGAAAACGUUAAUAUAACAAUAGAUACUGAAACGGAAUUUGUAAUUCAACCUUUUCACAGACAGGGACGGAGCCAGAAAUUUAUUUUUGGGGGGACUGAAGUGUAUUAAAAAAUUUUUUUUGUGACGAAAUAAAUAUAUUUAAUAAGUAAAAUUUAGAAUCAAUAAUUAUAAAAAUAAUAAAAACAUAUAAUUAUACAUACCCAAAAAUUUGUUAUUGAUUAACACUUGAAGUAUUGGUAGUUGUUGCACUCGAAUAAUUCAAUUCUUUUUUUUUUUAAGGUUGAGAACUAGAAAUAGUAAUUUAUUUUAACUUUUAAAUCUUGAGAACUAAAAGUGCAUUUUUUUUUCAGUUUGGUAAAAUAUGACGACUUUGUAAAGCUUAACACCUGCUUGAGAGGAAAAGUAAACACAGAUGGUUUACUCAGGAAUAGAAAAAUAAUGACAAGUUGAACAACAGAAAAGAACAUUACAAUGUACUAUGUGUCUAGCUUGUGUACAGAAUACAGUCUUGAUCCAAUUGUGAUCCAUGCCACUUAGACUAAGCAAUAACUGCUAAAACUUCAAAUUCAUUCACAAAAUGUAAUAAGGUCUCCAAAAGAGAGAAUGGGAAAGACUUUGAGAAGUUCCAUUUGCAGUGGGCAAAGACUUGACGUACUCAAACUAAACAAAGCUGGAUAUUUGGAACUUUCUUGACUUUAGGCUGCCCAUCCAGCAUUACUACUCAAUUCUGCACAGACUGGAAACCACCUCAAUUGCCAUAAAUUCCAUACAAAAGGUCAAUGUCCACUUUGGGGACCAGGCCAGUUAAGAAGCACCCAAAUAAUGAAAGCACCACACCCAUCCAUUAAUUUAACGUCGCGUUAUCAAGCUGGCAUAUUGCCCAUGAAUUCUUCAUCCUCUUAGCCAGGAACCUUCUUGUCUCGUUCUCACUCGGCCAAGUAUAAAAAGACAUUCCCAAUGCUGAUGUCCUCGCUCAAAUCCAAAGCUAUCUGAUCAUAUACUAGCAUAUAAAUUAACCCCCGCUUCAAUUCUUCUCUAGAAUUUCACCUUACGACUUUCAUACUAGGGAUUUCUUCCAGUUAGUAUUAUUACCAAAAUCUAAACCAAUGGCCGCCGGAAUCCCCUAUAUAUAGGGGGUUUUCCGGCGGCUUGGGGGGGGCUUAAGCCCCCACCAGCCCCCCCUUAAAUCCGUGGCUGUUCACAGAUACUGAAAAUUAAGACCACUUCUACUACAUUAUGUCCCAUAAAUAGCUGGCUAAAUCUUAACAAAAACAGCUCGUCUUCCCAAUCAUACAAAUACUCAAUGGAAAACUUGACAGAAUAGAGUUAUUUCCAGAAACUUUUCCAGUACCUCAAGCAAGUCGUUUGCAAGUAGUCCUGCUCCUUUUCUUCUUUGUAUGAUGGUUCUGGUAUAACAAAAGACUAGUCAAUUAAAUAUCAACAAGGAGCUCACGCACAAAUAGUCAUCAACAAGGAAGUCAUGCACAAUUCAAUAUCAACAAGGAACUCAGCAAAAUUGGUCUUCUAUAGAAGGACCAACUCAAAGUACGCAUACUAUACCUCAAGAAUAUCAGCAAUUGAAGAAACUUUUUUAUUCAUUUCACACUUGUUUAUUUCAGCAUCAUUUGUUCCAACUUCCUUGUACAUUUCAGCAUCAUUUGUUCCAACUUCCCUGUUCAUUCUAUCACCAACCUGUUACAUUAUCAACAAAGUGUGAAGAAAAGAAAAUCAGGCCAUAGCUGCUGAUAUUUCAGAGAGUUUGAACACAAAAUCGAAUUGUAUGAAUUAAUAUACAACCUCUAAUGAGUCCGAAAUUUGAGAUUGUUUUGCUGCAUUCAUUUCUCUUCUUUGGAGUGAUGCCAAGUCACAUGUGGAUGCCCUCUGGAAGAACAAAGAUCAAUAGUAACUAAAGCAAUAAAAAAAUUAGAAAAACUAUAAUAUUUAACCAAAUAGUUAUCCCAAACCAUUCUUGCUUCAAAUUGAGCAAUCAACUCCUCCUUAAAAUCUGCCAAUUUCGAAUUCAUUUCUUCUCGUAGUUCACCACGUAUGAUUUCCACUUUCUCAUUCACUGCAUCCUCAAAUGCUUUCUUUUGUCCAGCAUUCAUGUUAUCUGACAUCCUAUACACGUCUUUUGGAGUCGCACCUACCCCAUAAGUUCGAAGACGACCUGGUUUUUCAGGUCCAAGAAUAUUUUCAUAGAGUAUAUCUUUCACAAAAUUAUCAUCCCUGGAUGUCUCUGGCAGUUUUUGUAUUUCCUCAUUCAUAGUUGCCUAAAUUGAAAAACAGAAGAAAGAAUUAUUUAUGAAGUAAAACCAAUAAAAAGUGACUAAAAGCUAUUCUUACAAUUGUUUGUGAAGUCAACUCAUCCAUUUGUUUUCCUUGUCUUGAAUGAAUAAAAACGUCUAGUUUCGAAGGCUCUUUUCCAGUUUUAAUCCGAAGCUGCCACAUAUUCAAUGUACAAACUAAAGUGUUAAUAUUUCUAAAUAAGACUAUGUUCCAGAAAAAAUUGCUAGAAACAUAAGCAUUAGAAUUUAAUAUACCUCUUCCCUGAGGUUCACAUGAUCUUUUCGCCCUGUUCGAUGUGGCAUCUUUUGUUUUUUUCGAUUCUUGCUAUUAAUCUUGCUUUGCUUCUAAUUAUGUACAAAACAGAAAAAGGUAGUUAACAACACAUCAAAAUCAUAAUAGCACUAGAAUUUAAUUCAAAAGCAAAAGAGAUGUGACAAUAAAUACAUGCCUUGACAUCUUCUGAGCUCCAAUAAUCAACCAAAAUAGGCCAUUGAUCCUCCUCAACUCUUGCAGGACAGUGUGCUAAUAGCCAUGACCUGUGCCUCCUAUAAGGAGUGAAAUACAUGCUCUUGACUUUUGAUUUCCAAUUUCUCCACAAUUUGCUGACCCUUAUCAUUUGUACUUUCUUGCAUGUAUCAUCAAUAUUUGUAUUUCUCUAUCAAAAAUUACAAAACAAAAGUUUAAACAUUCACAAGCUACAAGAUUGUAUGAAAUAAAAAGAAAAAAAAUGUUGCUAACUUUGAUAGUGAGUCAAAAUACCUUAAUAUCUUCCCAAAAUCUCUCCUUAGAUCCUUCAGGCAUGGCCCUCCAAUCUGUGUACGUGAGUGGUAAUUUAUUACCAUCCUUUACUAAGAUUCCUACUUGACUUAUAUACUGUGUAGCAUUAGGACCAAUUACUUGGCCCCGUGCAUUCCAAACUAACUCCAAUUUCUUUCCACCACCCCAACCAGCACUUCGUCUGGCUAGUCCUCUACCACUAUUGUCUCCUGUGUACAAAAAACACAUACACAUACAAAAGAAAAAAUUGUGAUUCAUAUAAUUUUUUUUAUGAAUAUUAUACAAAGCUUAUAAUAAGGAAUGCUAGACUCAAAACUAUUUGUGGUAAUCUUUUCUUUUCCAACCGACUUUCUUCACUAGAAUCAUCAUCAUCAAAAGUACCAUCAAAGACAUCCUCUAUGUCUUCUGAAUCAUAUGAAGAACCUGAUCCAGCUUCAGAAUCAUUGUUAUCAAAGGAAUCUGGUUGCUCACGAUGGUCUACUAGUGGUUGAGAAUGAAAGCCUUGACCGAUAUGUGAAUUAGGAUGGGAAUUUAGUUGAGAAUCAGCCUUGGAGUUCAACUGAUGUGAAUUGGCUUUAGAGUUGAACUGAGAAGCAGCAAUAAAGCUAGAAGCUGAGUUUGAAUUUGAAUUGGAGUCAUGUGAUUUCGCUUGACAAUUAGGUCGAGAAACAGAGUUUGAGCUAGAUGUAGGGUCUAUGCGUAUUCCAGGCAUUGCCCCAAUGAAUUUAUGUGCUGGAGGCUUUGAAUAAUGACUGGGGCAAGUCUGAUAAGAUUGAGAGCUUGACUGUGAAACAGGGUUCAAACUAUUAGUGGACUCAAUAUGCGCUCCGGACAUUGGCCCAACAACUUUGUGGGGCCCCUUCUUACUUGGUGCCAUGGAAAACCUAUAAAAGCAGCUUCUGAUUUUUGAAGGCAAAGUUAAGUAAGAUGAUUAAUUUUACUGGCUUUUUUCAGAAACCAAUCACAUAAUUCAGCAAGAGAGUGUUGUAUCAUCUUACUUUUGGAGUUUAAGUUUCUAAAAUCUGCAAACACAAAGAACAUAUACAUAUUAAGGAACUAUAACCCAAUGAAACCAACAUUACCAACUUGCUAAUAUGAACAUAAGGAAUCAUAAAUUGAACAUAAGGUAAAUCCAGCAUUACCAACCUGCUAAAAAAAAAGUAGAAUGCAGGUUAUCAAGGAGACUAAUAUGAACAUAAGGAAUUAUAAAUUGACAUCCAAGGCAGUGAAAAUGAUCCCACAAUUAAUAUUUUUCAUACUAAUCAGUAACUUCAUCUAAUAUUGGCAUAUCUAAACUUCAUCUAACAAAAUGUUAGGAUUAUAUUCCAAAAUUAGAGUCAAUCAUCAGCCUUGUCUCCUUGUUGGGCUUUAUCAAAAAAAUCAUCAUCAUCACUUGUAUCAUCAAUCGUAUUGUCAAUCCCAAGAUUAUCCUCAUCAGAGAAGAAUCCAUCAUCAACUUCAGCAACGUGUGCCUUGGAUUUUGUAGUUUGUGCAUCAAGUAUAACUCCAUCAACACCUUCCCUAACCCAUGAAACAUUACUAUCCUCAGAAUUAUUGUUAUUAACAUGUUGCCAAGCAGAAUGCUCAUCCUGGAUAUCUUCACAUAUGUUAAUUUCUGGAUCAAUAAUGAAAAGAUCUCGAGGGGUCAUCUUGACAACUAUAUUCCAUUCAGGUUCCAAUGCAUCCCGAGCAUACCAAGCUUGCUGUGCUUGAGAGGCCAGGAUGAAAGGCUCAUCAUUCUUCGUGUUUUGCUUGUACAAUAUAUGAUCAAAGUUAACAAGUGUGAAGUUGUGUUCAUCUUGUUUCAUUCCAAUGACAUUAUCAACCCAAUCACACUUGAACAUCACAAAUUUAAUGUCAUUUGAGUAUCUCAACUCAACAAUAUCCACUAAGACCCCAUAGUAUUCUAAAAUUCCAGAUAUAGGGUUCUUAUCCUUUGUACUAGCGAAACUAUUGGCACUAGCAUUCACAAAUACACCACUAUUUUGAGUUUGCCUUCUCAUCUCACGCUUCUUAGUAUGGAAACGAAAACCAUUAACAAUGUAACCAGAAUAGCUUUUUGCCCACUUAUCAGGACCAGCAGCCAAAUAAGCAAUUUCUUUAUAAUAAUCAUGGCAACUAUUAGAUUUUUCCAAAUCUGCAACCUACAAGUUUUGAACAAAAACUGUUAUUGUAUGUUAACUCUAGAGAAUAUUAAAUAUAUGAAAAUGAAGCUCAAUUAAAUUCACUACUGAAUUUAAAACUUACAUGCUUCUUAAACCACUUGUAAAAUGUUUCACUAUGAAUUUUCUCCCUUUCAUAGUUUGACAUGCGUGGUUUUUCCAGUUUUAGCAAAUGCUUAUGGUCCCUACAUUAGUCAUUAAAUACUUUAAUGAAAGCAAUAAUUCAUGAGUUAUUGAUUAAGUUUGAUAAACUGUGAACUUACCUGCGAAAAGGAUCAACAGUUUCAAGAUUUCCAAGAACAUAACGAUGAGCUUGAACCCAAGAGACAUCAUCUAAAUAGAUGACCUCUUCUUUUCCUAAGGGACGGCCAAUCUGUCUAUUUAAAUAUUCACCUUCAUAGUUCCUAGGUGGGCGAUUCAACUUUGAUUCAAUAUUGUCCAAGUACAUGGAACAGAAUGUCAUACAUUCUUCCGCCAAGUAGCCCUCUGCUAUUGAACCUUCAGGGUGACUUCGCUCCGUACAUAAUUUUUCAAAGUACACAGAUACCUAUGCAUAGAAUUUAUAUUAAUAUCGGUGGUGAUUUUUCAAUGUACAUAGAUUAAGUUGAUAAUCUUUUACCUCUCAAUAGGAUACAUAGACCGAAAUUGAAAUGGUCCACCAAGUUUCGCCUCUUCAGGCAAGUGAACAAGCAAAUGCUCCAUGAUAUUGAAAAAUGGAGGUGGAAACAUCUUCUCAAGUUCACAAAGGGCCAGUGGAGUACGGUCCUCCAAAGUUUCACAAUCUGCUACAGUAAGCACUUUCGAGUAUAAUUGCCUAAAUAUAUCUCGUAACUCAAUGAUAAUUCUGCAAACAUGUUUAGGCAAUAUUCUUCUCACAGCAAUGGAUAACAAUUGUUGCAUUAAUAUGUGACAAUCAUGACUCUUUAACCCAGAGAUUUGUCGUUCUUUAAUAUUCACACACCUCGAAAUGUUUGAUGCAUAACCAUCAGGGACCUUGACAGUUUUUAGCACAUUACAAAAAAUUUCUUUUUCAUCUUUGCUCAUUGUGAAGCAUGCAGGUGGAAGAAACACUUUGUCACCCUUAGAUUGUGGGUGAAGUGCCUUUCUUAUCCCCAUUUCUUUUAGAUCAUAUCGAGCAUUAAUGUCAUCAUUUGUCUUGCCCAUCCCCAACAGUGUCCACAAGAGAUUCUCCAAGAAAUUCUUCUCAAUAUGCAUUAUAUCCAGAUUAUGUGGAAGCAAAUUAUCCACCCAAUACGGUAACUGAAAGAAUAUAUUCAAUCUUUUCCAAUUAUACCUACAUAUGGGACUUUGUUCAGAGUCAUUAUUAUCUUGAAUGGGUUAAAUCCAUCCGCUGCAAGUCUAACACGAACAUUGCGAGGAUCACUAGCAAAGCUUGGGUGCCGGUCAUUAAAAUGCUUCCAAGCUAAAGAGUCUGCCGGAUGCCUCAAUUUUCCAUCCUUGAUGCACUCCUCUUCAUGCCAUUUCAUUAAUGAAGCAGUCUUUGAUGACAUGAACAGCCUUUGGAGACGUGGUUUCAAAGGAAAAUAGCGAACAAGCUUUGCUGGAACUUUGUUAGCUUGUUCACUUGAAUCAUCGGAUUGUUUUACAAUUUGCUUAUACCUAGGAGUUCCACACUUUCUGCAAAAGGUUUCAUGUUCUGUCUCCUUCCAAUAAAUCAAGCAAUCAUUGGGGCAUGCAUGAAUUUUAUGGUAGCUAAGACCCAAGUCUUUAACAAUCUUCCAACCAUCACGAUAAGAGCUUGGAAAUAAUUCAUUCUCAGGAAAAACUUCCUUGAGAAGCUCCAGUAAUAUUGUCAUUGAGUUGUUGCUCCAUCGACAAAGAGACUUGACAUGCAACAACUUGAUGACAAAUGAUAGAAGAGUAAAAUUUUUACAUCCAGGGUAUAACUCUGUAUCGGCAUGCUUCAGCAACUUAAAAAACUUAUUAGUCUCUUCAUCACAGGCUCCUCUAAGUUCUUCUAAAUUUAUGUUAGAAUUCUCUUCAAGUGUUCUUCCAAGUGUUUCGUGUAUCAAUUCAUUCAUGUCAUCAUUUUCAAUGCGCCUAAACACUCCAUUGUUCAUAUUUUCUUGAUUGAAGUCCCAUGGAUCUUCACCAUGAUAAAUCCAAUUUGUAUAAGUGGUCAAAAACCCUUCAUUGUUACAUGUGCACGCACAGUUUCUUCCUUUCUUCGUUUUGAGUUUUUACAUCGCCUACAUGGGCAAUAUAUUCUACUCCCAACCUCUUUCUUUUUGUAGGCAAAUUUAAGGAAGUCACUCAGACACUUUUCAAAGUACGGAUUAUUGACUCGGUCUUUAAUAAAGAUCCAAGACCUAUCAUCCAUUCUACAAGAAACAAGAUUGAGAAGGCAAGAAAAGAGACCUUAUAAACAGAAUUGAAAAAUAGCAAAUUUAUUAACAUGCAAAAAAAAUAAAAAAUAAAGUGCAGCAUGUGCAUCCCAGUUUGCUAUGCUCAUAGUGGAAUGCGAUGUUAACAGUUAACCCAAUUUCUCAAUGCCAAAAGAAUGUGGUGAAUUUAUGUCAAUAUGCAAACCAGUGUUCUGUUUACAAGAAAAAGAAACAUAGAUAAAUCAGGGGAGCUAGAUUGUCUUACAAAUUCCUAAUUGCAAGAAACACUUACAUGAAGAACUUAGUGAAGGCUGCUUCAAUGGGCCCUCUGAGAGAGGCACUUACUCAGGGAUUUGAAAUCACAAAGCUGAAAAAGGAGGAUAUGAGGCCCGUAACAGUGAAGGUAAUUUACAGCACAUAGAGAAAAUUAAAGAACAGAACCUAUCUAGGAAUACAUAAAUCUCGCUGCACUGCCUCCUUGUACAGUUUAAAAAUGGAACUUUAAUAACCUGAAGGAUGAAAGGAAUAAUAUCUUUUUGUGGUUUUGGUUUUCUAUAGGACUUUGAGAAUGCACUUCAGGAGGUUAGGCCUCUUCUCACAAUCUUGUUUUUCAAGUGCAUCCGAUAAACAUAGUUUGCUGCUGCAAUAAAAAUUUACCAAUAAACUGUGCCCAACCAUUUGGAAAAUCACAGUCAUGAAGCAUGCAAGUCUAGUCCAAGGCACUCAUUUUACUAGCCCACUAACCUGAGAGUAUAACAGUCAUUCCUCUGUUAGUGCCUAUUACAAUCUACUGCUGAUUGUUCAGUGAUUUUCAGAAGAGUAACAUCCUCUGUCUUUCACAUCCAACCUUGAUUGACUUCAGAUAAAUGCCAUAGAAGGAAAUUUUGUUAUGACGUUACAUAAACGCAACAUGCAAGCUCUACUUCCAGAGCAAACCAGAUAAAGAUGCACUAGCAUCUGUGCCAACCUAUUUGGAAAAUCAUGUCAAGCGUGCAAAUCUAGUCCAUGGCACGCAUUUUACUAGUACAGAAACCAAGAGUAAAAUCUACUGUUGAUUGUUAAGUGAUUUCCAGAUGAGUAAUAUCCUUGUCUUUCUCAUCCAAUCUAGAUUAACUGCAGAUAAAUUCCAUAGAAGAAACAUUCGUUAUGACAUUACAUAGUCAGAGCAGACAAGAAAAGAUACAAUAGCAUAUGCUAAGAAACAUGAUCCGAACUCGAAACCCUAACAAGUCUCUAGAUGUAAAAACAUCGAUUCAUUAAAAAAAAAGAAAAAAAGAUAGCAAUAUUACCAGUUGGAGCGAGACAGAGGAAAAGGAGUGAGUAGAGUAGAUAGAUCUGCAAUCAAAAGUUCUGUAGGAAAAAUAGCUUGGAUUUGGAGUGCGGCGGAGGAUUCCAAAGAAAAAGAGAUCGUUGUGUGCUAAUGCGUGCGAGGAGGACUGAUUUUGGGGCCGGAAGAGCGGCUGCCCUGCCGCUGGUGCUAGGUGGACGCGGAUCGAGUUGGCCCAGAUUUGAGCUGGGGAAUAUGACGAGUAGGGACUGGCGUUCUCCUUCACCUUUUACUUCAUCGAUAAGGAAAAGCGAAUAGGAAGACUUGCUACUUUCUGGAAUACAUUCUAUUAUUAUCGAAAAAUAAGGGAAUGGAUCUAGCUCAUGUGAAGGCACCCUGAACUUAUUAUCAAGAAAGGACAUGUGACCUGAAAAUAUUUGAAACAAAUAUAAUUUAUUUCAGGGUGCCUUUACUAAAAGAUAAACCCCUUCCUGCUUUUGGGGGCUUAUCGAUACCUUUUUACAAGGGAUCAAUACGUGGAUUGUGCUAGGAAACUAUCUUUUAUGGGUUUUAUUAAAACUAUGUCAUUUUUAUGUAAAAAUUAGGAACCGUUGUGAAAUUUGCAGCACAAAUUGAAAUUUGCUGCUUAUUUACCGCACUUUCUCCUUGUGCCACAGCAAAAGCGUUGCAAAAAGCCCGUUUUCUUGUAGUGAAUAUCAUGUCAUUGAAACUGCAGACCAUCUACUAAUUCUUCAACCAACCACACAUUACAAUAAUUCAUUUGUGUUAGUACAAGGUUCGAAGAUGAAAUACCAAUCCGAUUUAGUAUCGUUUUUCUUUCUGUGAGUAAUUAGUGAGACAUAGUUAAAUUGAGCAUUAUCGGUAGGCAUAAGGAUCAUGAUGUUGCUUGCAUUGUGCACCUUUUUGGGUAGCAACUUACAAACAUAAUAACUUGAUUCCUUCCCUUUAACUGAAAACAGUACAUUAUUUGAUGUUCAUGCCAACCGAUCUCCAUUAACCAUGUUGAUUUCCAGUGUCAUAGCCGAGUUAAAGUCAGAGGUUUUCCUUCCUUUCCCCCCUUUGUUCCUCUUUCCCUACGGUGCCUCAAGUCUCAAAUCAGGGCAAAGCAUUCCACGGCUCCAUAAAAUCCCCCUUUUCGUCUAGAUGCCAAUACCAUGUAUGCAAGCGCUAUUAUCCAAUUCAAAUGACACUAGCACCCCUUGUAAUGCAUAUGUGCACAUGCCCAUUGCCUAUAACUCCUGAUGGGGGAAUUCAAGCAUUUCGUUGCAAAAGUAGACCAUGAAUAAGCUUUUAACUCAAUGCGUUUCACCGCACUGAAUCCCAGCUCAAUUCUUUACCAGGCAUAAUAGAAGCUAUCUUCCCAUAAUCUAAAAAUUCAACAAUGUAACAGCAACAUAAUUUGAAAACUUCAGCAAUCCACUUGAGCUCACUAGGAUUGCCUAUAAGGAUGGAUGGGACAAGCUUGAAAAGGAAUGGUCCAAAGUUUUACUAAGCCAUAGCAGUGGGGUAUAUCAAGAAUUUGAGUAUGAAGUUUUACAAUCCUGUGCAAGAGAAGCUAAUAACUAUUCCGUUAAUAUGUGAUAUUUUAAGAUUCACACUUUUUAGUGAAUAAGAAAUUUCCAUUAACAAGGAGGCAACAUAUGUUUACUGCAUUUUUUAGGGAACAACAAUUUCUAAAAUGACGGAGACAAUAGAUUUUUACAGAAUUUUUUAAUACACUUGCAGGAAGAUCACUGGAGACGACGAGCAACAUGCUCUUUGAAUUAUAAAUAAGAGCUUGUACUAGCCGUUGAAAAUCCAAAACAAGGGUAAAAAGAAAGAAAAGGACAACAGAUGUCAAAAUAAAGGAGUCAUGAACUACAACUAUAGUAGGUAGUGUGUAAAGUAAAGCUUACACUGAACAGAUAAAUGCAAUUUCAACUUUCAUCUUCUUCCCGGCACAAAAACUACAAAAUGCUAGAAUGUCAAGCCAUUGUUGCCUUCUUCUCUUCCUCAAUCUGCUGAAGCUCUACCAACCUUUGUGCCCAUGCUCUUUCCCUUGCUACUGCAGCCAUUUUCCGCUCCACCCUCUUUAUCAUUUUCUUUCUUUUGGCCUCUUGUAACUGAGCUUUACGCUUCUUCUUUUCAGCCUGUCCAUGAUUAAGAAUAUCAUAAAAGGGAAAUGCAAACGUCAACAAUAUUAUGCCUUAGCCAGUACAGUAAGUUAUUUUUUCUAAGUAAUAAAUAAAAAAUUCAGUGAAAACCACACAAGUUUUGGCAGAAUCUCAAAAUAGCCAAACCUGAUAAAAUUUACAACAUUAAGACAGAUUAUAGAGCAGAAAAGAGAAGAACCAUUUCAAAUGACAACAGUCCAUUAGAUCACAAAUGAGAUUAUAAGGCCUAAAGAUGUCUGCAAGCACCAUCAGCUAACUAUAGAAUUUCGUGAAGCAGCAAAUUUUCACUGUCAUCAAUCAAAAGCCAGCUUUAAUCACCAGAUCCUAUUUGUAACCCACUCGAGAGCAAAGAGAACAAGAUAGUUUGUUGCGCAUAAACUUGUUCAAGAGAAACAGUUUAACAAGGCAUUUCUCUUGAAUUAGUUCUUUCCCAUCUAUUUUCCCAAUCCAGAAUAAUUUAAUCAGGUUACCUUGAUGAACAUCAUGAAAAUGUUCACACAUUGUCAUCAUAAUUAAAUACAUCAUUUUACACAGACAUUGCAUUUUACAAGUUCCAUAUCGGAUUUCAGUUAAUCCGUACUCCUAGUUAGGCCAGAAUAUAAAAUAGUCACCCACAAAAAAGAUCAGAUUUGGUUAGAAGAUUGAACGCAGAAAACCAUAUAUCAAGCAGAUUAACAAACUUAAUUGAGCUCCAAACAAAAAAAAAAGUUACUGAUUACCAAGAAAAUGAAGCUUAAGACUUUACCAGUAUAAACGCACGGUGCAGCUUAAUCCGCUUUUUCUCAUUUCUUCGCUUCACACUUCCUUCAUUGGGUUGUUUUCCAGCUAUUGGUUCUCCAGGUACAUAUUUCACCCAAGCAUAAGGCCCUAAUAUCCGCAAAUAAAAUUCACCCAAAAAGCAUCAAAAUUUCAGUUAGCUUUUAAAUUACGAGGUGUACAUUUUCUUAUCCCCAAAAUAGCACCAAUUUGUAAUUAAAAUUUGAAACUAAAACUUAAACCCUAAACCCUAGGAAUGGGGAAGAUGAAAAUGUGACCUGGGGGUUUUAAUUGAGCUCUUUUACGAUGAGGCUUGUCACUGGGGCGUCGUUUGGGGUAUCGGGUGUCCGUUAAGCUGUGGAAAGCGGAAGAUGACGGAUUGAAUGGAAGAUUCCGGUGGAAGGAGCCCAAGUGGUGGCGGAAAUGGAGCUCAGAUGCCGGAAAGGGAGAGGAGAUGGCCGCGAUUCGUUGGGGAGCAAGAGCGAAGGUUGUACGGGUUGACAAGAGAGUCCGCGAUACGGGUCGAAUUAUGGAUCGUAGGGCUCCGAGACCCAUGAUUUUACGCCUGAGCGGAGUAAAGUUUUACGAGGUUGGUGCUGUUCUCUAUAGCAGAUUUGACGGCUACCUUGCUUCUUAGUUUGCGGGAGCCAGCAGAAGACGACGUCGUUAAGAUGCUCUUCCCAAACUAACGUUAGAAGGUUACGACUUAAGAAACAUAAAUGAAUAAAAUAAAAUAACAAUAUAAAUAAAAUAUUUUGGAUAGGAGCUUAAUUGAAAUAUUACUUGGAAUAAUUACAAUAGUACUUUAUAAAUUGUCAUGUAUGAGAGAUAAAAUGACGCGUUGAGAAAUUAUUUGUAAUGCGAGUAAAUAAUAGUUUGACACAUAAUUGAUAAGUUUUGUACUAUAAAUGGUCUCACAAACCGAAUUUUUACCUCUAAGGAUUAACACACAGUUUACUAAGACACAGGGUAAGGGCUCGAUUAUAGCUCUAUGUUUUGCAAGAUCCAGAUUAAUUUUUGCUCCUCAAAGCCUAGUCAGGAUGCUAUUCAAUGUUUGUUGCUGCUUGAAAAGAGAAUAUUAAAACCUGGAUUCCUUUAGCUCGCAGAGACGAAGCCAAAUACUUCUCAUGCACACAACUAUUUAAUCCCAGAAAAAUGUCAGCUUGGGACUUUGCAAAUUGCAAUUUCAGAACAAUCGCAUAGUCUUUUAUGAAUGCAGGAAGAUGCAAUGUUUAUCCUGUGGAACUUUCGUAUGGUAUCAAACCCCUGGGAUCCAAAGUACUCAAUGACAUCUAGAACUUGGAUGUCAACCGCAGCACAAGUAGUUUAACGAAAGGAGUUCAGAUCCAUCAUGGGUACUUGAAACAAUAUAUAAUAGUAGUUCAGACGCCAACUAUGAGGAGUGAAAUUUUUUUUUUUUUUUUUUUAAAAAAAGGGGUCAGUUCAGCAGUGAUUAUCACAGCCCUCUGCUCCAACUUAGUUUGGAGUCAACUCGUAUUUAAUAAAAGUCGUUAUCAAUUUGUCAUAGUAUUUUGCAUUGUUUGCAUCCUUGACCUCUGCUUGAUCAUGAAAAUGUAUACCAGCUUGAUUAAACACGGAGAGCAAAUGCAGCAAUUCCUCAUUUGAUAGCUUUGAAGGCCUCUUGCUCUCCACUCCUCCAGAUCUAAUGAUUUCCACGACUUUCUCUUUAAACGAGCUCAUCCCUUUCUUAUAGCCCAUUGCCAAAUUCGUCUCCAUUUCAUUUUUGUCAUCUUCAUGUUCAUCUUCACUUUCUGCAUUCAGCUCAACUUCCUUUUCAUCAUCACCAUGGAAACUCCCAUCAGUUUGCGACAGCUUCAUCAGCUCCAUCAACUUCCUCUUCUUCUUAAAUAUCGCACCGAGUGUCUUAUUUUUCUUGCUAAAGCACAUCCGUGUAAACGCCCACCAUUCCAUCAAAUCAACACUUGGAACGUCCUCUUUAGGCCAGAUCUUGAUCACCGAAGAAUCAAUCUUAGGAACAGGCAAAAAGUCCCUCUUGCUUACGUCCAUAACAAACUCCACGUCUGCCACCAGCUUCACAUUCGCCGCUAACCGGUUAUACUCUGGUUCACCAGGAUCGGCUAACAGCCUCCUAGCAAACUCUUUCUGAAGUAAAAGUGUUGCACUCCUGAACUUACUCCCGCCAAACACGAACUUCGCUACCAAACGCGAGGAUAUCCCAUAGGGAAUAUUAGCUACCACGAGAUCAAAUUGUGGAAAAUCAACCUUCAGUGCGUCAUCACGUAUUACCUAAACAGAAAAUAGCAUGAAAUCAGCUUAAAAAAAACUCCUCUGAGGCAUUACAUCAAACAGCUGAUCAUUGUAUCUCACAGUCAACCGGUCUUCAAAUCCUCGCUCAGCGACUUUCUUGUGAAGAAUUUCGACCAUGCGCUUGUCGAUUUCGAUAGCAUUAACUUUCUCCGCAACUUCAAGCAGCUUCAAAGUCAGAUUUCCGGUGCCGGGUCCGAUUUCUAAAACGGUGUCAUUGGGUUUUAUAUUGGAUUUCCUGACAAUAGUAUCGAGGACUCGCGGGUUAGUGAGGAGAUGUUGUCCCCGGCUUUUGAAUAGCUGUAAAUGUUUCUCUGAAACUUUAACGUCGCUUCCGAGAUUGUUAUCGUAGUCAUCCUCGUCAUCUUCUUUAUCCGAGUCUCUGAUGUUGAAACGACGGCUUGAUUUCGAGCGAAUUUGUUGGAUGAGAAAGCUUCUCCUGAUUAUAGCUGCAGAAAAUUUGCUAGGAAGGGACUUGCAACGGUGAAGCAUUUCAGGGAUAGUUUUCCCCCAAGUAUUCGAUGGGUUUUCUUUUUUUUUUUUUUUCCAGAUUUGACCGUUUAAGUUGGAAAAGCGGGCGGGGGUGGCGGGUGGAGGACGAGUUGGCGGGGAAGAUGCAAAGGCUUUCGCAUUUUAUCUUUAGCUUGUGAGAUGGGCCAAAAAAACUGAUGCAGAUAAGCCCAAUAGACGGGAGAAUUGUUGACGUCAUUCAGCAUAAAUUGGCGGACCUUUAAUUCUUGGAAAGGUUAAUGGGCCAUCAGGCCAAAAACUCUUAAUGCGUGCUUAUAAAUUUUUUAGUUUGAUAAUAUUUCUCUCUCUCCCUUUUUUUUCCGGAUAUUGGAUCCGGAACUUUUUACUUACAAUUUUUCUCACCUUAUCAUCUAAUUCAACCCUCCUCCGACUUAAUAAUCUUGAUUUUGGAAGAAACUAUGAGCUGAAACCCAUGGACUAAAACAUUAGGCACAUUUGUAAUGGUAGGAGAAUAAUAAGGACAUUUUUCGAGCGCAAACUUGUGCAUUGGCAUAGCUCAAACGCACAAACAACUUGAGCUUACGAAGAAAAAAAACACACACACACACACACACAAGCAAAUGUAAAAGGAUACAUGAAUCUAAUUCGAAAUUAGAUGUUAGAUAAACUUAAGUGCUAUAUAAGCGGACUUCUUCGGUUGGCACUCCACAAAACCAAUAACGCUAGCCUAGCAUGGCUUGGAAUAGUCUCCCCAUUAAAAGUUACUAAAACAAAACAAAUAAUCUUGUGAAUCACUGUGGUAUUUGCCUAACAAUAGAUCUUGGAAAAUAUCAUAGAAAAUCUGAGAAAGCCUUUGAUUUAGGAGGUUGCUUGGUUGCUUUGAUAUGCAGAUAACUUGGACACCUGCUGUCGGUGGCACAAUAGGGUCUGGAUCUCCAUCAGUACUGAUUGUGGUGGUUGGUCGAGAAAUGCUGGCCCAACUUUUAUCUUGUCAAUGGUCCCAGGAGGCCAUGAUAUAAGGUUUUGACAAUGAAAAGCAUUCAAGGGUUCGUGCAUUGGUCCAAAUAUUGCUCUCUCUCUGUUGAAGCAAACUAGUAGGAAACUCGAACACUUAUCAUCUAAAGAGAAAAAAGAAAAUGAACCAUUUCAUCAGGUAUAGAAUCUCCUUUCGGGUUUCCCAUUUCCCCGUGUAAGCCUUGGAGUCUCUUCUAAACAAAACUAAAAAUAUAUAAAGGAAAAGUAUUAACCAUUUGUUUAGAUUUAGCCGUUGGGUGACACUCUAUGAGGAUCAUGAAGGAUUGAGACACUCUACUGUGGUCUUUCUUGGGUUGGCUUUUCAUUGACACGAGAUAUCAUUAAGCUGACCCUAAUUAAGAUGGUUGUUCAGCUGUACAUGUACAAGUGGGGCACAUAAACUCGCCUCAAUUAUGUUUUGCUUCACAAUCAUGUUGUCUAAGAUUUCAAUUUCACACAGUAGCCCAUCAAUCCGAUUGAAGAAGGAUCUUAGGAAAAUUGGUGCAUUUCCAAUGAAUGAGUUUUUUUUUUUUCUUCUUCCCCCCCCCCCCGGAGAAAUAGUGACAAGGUAGGAAGAAGCUCCAAGCCUCAGGAGUGAAAGCAAAAUUUGGGGUCAAUACAAGCUGACUCACUUGACAAGGACGGAUCAUUUUUUUACAAAAAGGUCGCGUGUUCGAAUUUUCCUGUCGAUGUAAGAACUGUAUUGGUGGGCGAUCUGUAAAUAAAGCAAAUUUUGGGAUGGAGGGGGGAAGUUUCAUAUGGUGAGUAUGAUGAUCGCAAAAAAUUUUAUUAGUGCAAUGACAACUUGGUCAGUUCAUUUCGAAUUUGAUAAAAAAAAAAUAAUGCUCAGGGCUUUGUUUUGAGAUUCUCGAAUCUCGAUUAUUGUAAAAGUAAAUGAAUAAGUAAUAGCACGGGCAAAAGUUGAGACGGGUCCCUCCAAAAGUGUAGGAGACUGUCAAGGAAGCAAUCACUUUGCAAGGAAACACAAAUCUAAAACAGGAAUACGAGGUAAUGAAUGUGCCUUGAGAACGAAGGCAAGGCAAAAAUAAAUUGACAGUCUCCCAAGGAAUCAAGUGCCUUUGGGGUUCGUUUGUUUAUUCUGCUUGGCACUAAGCUAUUAUACCAUACCCCGGAAAGGCUGUACUUAGAACUUCAAUGUUCUUGUCCUUUUAAGCAGGCUCAACGGGCUCCAUAUGCUUCUUUUUUCGCUGAUUUUCUACACAUCUACGUUGUUGAUUGAUAUAUCAUCGCAUGCUACUUUUGCAAUGGGGCAUUUUCAGGGGGAUGAAAAUUAACCAGCUACAAAAAAAGAGAACAUAAAUUAAAGCCAUUUCGCUUAGGAUACUUUUUUAUCUAAUCCAGUUGAGCGAAGCCGAAUCAUGGAACGUAGAUUAGGACCUUAGUUAUGUUCGUAUGACUUCAUCCUCUCCCCCAACCAAAAUGAACAUUGGAAACAUGUAAAGAUUAUCCCCCGCCCGCAAACCCCCAAAAAAAAAAAAAUUUAAAAAAGGAGAGUGAACUCACGCUCCAAUAUGUUUAUACCUCGGAAGGAAUAUUAUAUUACCCAUGUUAAAAAGAGGGAGAGAAUUCCAGCAGUAACAGUAACAGAAGAAAAACGAUUUUGUCCGCUUUUACCACCACCGACGCUUAACGGAACCGGUAUCUCGAGGGGGAAAAAGCUAAAGAAUACAACAACGGUCAGAAACGGCACACAACGUUGACGACAGGGUUGGCGGCAAUUAUUUACGGCACAUGCCCUUUAGUUUUUCAGUGGUCCCCACUACACGACCACCAUCCGUCUUUAAUCUUCUUUAGACCUUAGACGACAUCCUUCAUCCUAACAAAAGAUCCCACAUCCCAAAAAAAAAUCUCGUAGACUCGUUCCCCGGUUGACAGCCAAUUUUAUAUUGACUCAUAUAGACACUGAUGAAUAUUUUCCCCAACCCCCAAAAAAAAAAAAAGAAGGAUGAAGUUUGAGCAAGCUGGUGAGGAAUUAAUUUUUAACUACUUGUAAAUUUUUUAGCAUUUGAUAUGAUUUGAUAUGUUUAAAAAGCUUAUGGUCUUCUAAAUCAUCAUACGACUUAAAACAAGAAUUACUAAAAAGCAACAACAUAUAUCAUCACGUUACGCGGUCAUGGUGGACUGGACAAAUUGUUUAUAUGCGCUGUACCAUGCAAGAAAGUGAAUCGUACCUCAUUAGCAAUUGCUAUUACUGUGGAGUUCACUUAAUUAUGUUUCCUUUUUCUCCUAUCUGCAAAUUUUGGACUUGAUUUUCUGGAAUACAUAAAAAAGUGUCAUAGAACAACGAGAAGGUGGAUUUUCAGAACCUUUUCUUAAUUUUUUCUUGGUAAUGUUCGAUCAAUAACUUGAUUGCCUUCGCAACCAGUGGUUUUCAUACAACUCAACAAAAUUCUGAACUAGGGGACACAUCGUCUCUCAAAGAAAAUGACCCCGGCCCUUAGGUCCUGACGCGUUAGGCCUUCAUGUUUCUUUCGAAAGCAAGAUUCUUGAAUUAUCCUUUAAAAGUUGGCCAGAUCCAUCUCAGAGAGGACAAUGACACGGAGUAAUAAUAUGAGUUAGCCUUACCUACUCCAUUUGGCUGCCAAAUGUUUCUCCUUGUUUGUCCACACGAUCUCUCUACCAUUUGACAUUUCUUGUACAUGUGUGCCGUACAAAGCCAUUGUACAAUGGCACUUUCGAGCGAUAAUCUGUUUAUUUUACCAAAGUAAAAGCAAGAGGGAUUUGGAAUCUGCACUAAAAAUGUCCAAAGCACAAGAAUAGCGUAGAAGAGAAAACAAGAAAGGAUUCGUCAGAGGUAUGGUGAUGAGAUUGGAUAAGGGGCCAGACAGAAUUGUUGUAUUGCUUGGACCAUGGUGCUUUGUUUAAAUUUUUGUUUUUUUGGAAAGAUUGGACCAUUUGUGCUGUGUUGUUAAUUAGGCGGAAGUUGCGUAAGAAAGACAUUAGCACAUGCUACUUUACAAGUGCCUAAAUGCAAUCAUGCAAACGAAACUUGUCCCAUGCAUGCAAAAAACCAUUAUAAUGGUAGUAUAAAGAAACCACAAUCAAUGCUUUCUAGAAUGUGGGUUGGUGGGGGGGGGGGGGGUACCGACCUGCUGAAAAGGUUUAACCACAAUGAAUGAUCUCUGACUAGUUUUAGCUUUCUUUGGUAGAAGAUCUCUGAUUGAUUAGUUGAAAUCCAAUAAUGAACAUUAAGAAUGAUGAGUGGAACCUGGCCUAUACAGAUUCCGUCUAUUGAUAUGUACUGAUUUUUCUUCAAGAAAGCUAGUAGUGCAAAAUUGCCAUUACAGGAGGACUGAUGGCUGAAAGAGAACUCAUAAAUUAAAAUGAACCAAAUCAUACCUAUAACUUUUCUUCUUUUUUUUUUUCCGGAUCUGGAGGGGUAUUCUGAAAUCACCCAAACUAAUUUCUCCAGAUUGGACAGAGUUUCACCCCAAAAAUGCCCAAUAACGAUAGCACGUGGGGGUCAAACUUGAGAUCUUGCUGUAACUAUAGACGAUCAGUCCCAACCGAACUAUUCAUGAGGCUAAAUUGUACCUAUAAUUUGAUUGAAUUUAAAAUUCCUUAUUGCAAGAAAUGCGAUGAGGGUUUCCGCUAUCAACCAUUACAAUUUUCACACACACACACAACGAACGAAUUGAUUUGAUCAUAUUAUUAGCCCCAUGCCGAUUGAAUAUAUAGGCCAUAAGUAUAAUACUUAUAUGUAUGCACCAAAAUAUACAAAAGGAACUCUUUCUUGAGAGUAAAUUGUAGGGCCUCUCCCAAACCCCAAUUGCCAUAUGCAAGCGGGCCAAACAUGAGUUCAUAAUGUCAUUGUAACUACCAGACUAUUAACUUUUAACUUAGUUCCUCCUGCGGGGAAAAAGGAGUUAGUUACUAUAAACUUAUAGCAGUGCACUUUCAGUUAAGGAGACAGGAUGAUGGAGACACCUGAAUCAUCUACUGCCAUUGCAGGCAGGUCAGUGUGUGUUGUAGCGCAGGCCAAGGGACAGUGGUUAUGAUUUCGAAGCCAAGCCUUCAUUACUCUGAUCAUUAUCUAAUUUAUAUUCAUUCAGACGGCAUAAACAUCGGAGAAACACGAAUGCCUGUUGCCGUUUAGAUUAAAUCUAGUAGUUUAUGGGUUCACCUGAAUUUAAUUCCAAGCUGUCAAGACAUGAAUCUCCAAACAACAUAAUUAUUGUGUGUGUGUGUGUGUGUGUUUUUUUUUUUUUUUUUUUUUUGGGGUUUGCCGUUAAUUUAGGCCUAGUUGAGGGGUCACAAUACCUGUGAAUUUUGCUCAAUUCACUGGGACUUGGUUUUUUAGUGAUCCUUACAUUAGUGUUUUAUUUUUUUUCUUGGGUGGUUUUUGACCUGUAACUCGGUCAAGCUCCCAAGCACAAGCACAACAUAUUAUUGUGUGUGGGAGAGGCUAAGUGCAUAAAUACCGGAAAAAAUGCGGUGGUGUUUUAUGUUUAUGGUGGCUUACAAGUAGGAUUGCAGGAGUUGGUGGAGAAACAGAUGCAGCAAGUCACGGCGAGGGGCAAAAGAGGAGAGGAUCACAGGACCCAUAUUCUCAGCGUUCCCGCUUCCCAUUUUAGGGCAUAUGUCCGUUUUAAUUAGUCACCAACCUUCCGUCCAUCGCGCCGUUGAAAGCUUAGAAAAGCGCAAGAACGAAAUGUGCAACCCCCCCCCCCCCCCCAAAAAAAAAAAAUGAAGGAACCAACCUAGUUUACUACUCCUAUUGCUUUGAACCCAAAAAAGCGCUUUUUUUUUUUUUUUGUGGGCACAAGCAAAAAAGUGUUAACUACGGUCUAAAGCAGGAGCACCAUAAAGAACUGCACUAAGUCACCAGCUGCGCGGCAUCGGGCAUCCCGUGCUUAAAUUAAUGUCCUUAUUGACUGUUGCUCAGAAGAUUUAGGGUACAUUAUUGUUUAUGUCAUAUUAUAUCGUUAAAAAUUGGUAAAGAAGACCAUGGUCCCUCCAAAUUACUAAUUCACUAAUGUUCUUUUGACCGUGGACUACUCUCUAGUCUCUACUAGCUACCCAGCUCAAUUUUGCUACGCAUGCAUUUUUGGGGCAUAUUUUGCUCGAAAUGCUACUAUAAAAUGAUGAAUUACUCGUAUAUUCCUUUAAUUUCCGGAAGUAUAUUUGCAAAUUGCAAUAUUUGGUACUACCAUAACUUAGUCGUUGCACAAGCAUCACGAGGAAAUCACAGAAAACGCGACAUGAAACUUUGCACGUUAAGUACUAUUGUUGUUAAACUUGUUAUGUUACUUUUAAUUGAUGUGAAUAAAAUGCACUAAGGAGAAAAGAAAGUGGCUGGUUUAGUGCUUUGUCUUUUUUUUUUUUUUUGCUGACGGAGUAGGUGUCCGGGCCUUUGGCUCGACUAAUCCCACUCCAUUCCGGGAGAGAAGGUCUCACUCCACUCCGAAUACGGUAGUAAAGGGGCUCGAAC
rnacentral:lncRNA from 1 species